GGGUAGCUAGCAUUAUGCUGUCUGUUAGGUAGCUAUAAAGUUGCAGUCGAUUUCUGUUAAUGGAAUCCACGUUGAAUAAUCUUCUAAUCUCUUCUGCUCCAAAGUUUUCAAUUGGUUCCACCUUGAAUAGAUCUUCAACCUCAGUCAAUUUUUCACAUCCAAAAAUAUUAACACAUCGUGUGGAAGAAAAGAAGCGUGGAAGAAGUGAAGAAUUGACUCCAAAAAUAAAGUUGCACUCAAAAACAUCAAGCAAGACCGGAAGCUUUGGAAUCAUUUGGAGUUCAGUGCAAGAAGUCAAUAGAAGUUGAUCAAGUUCUGUAAGGUAUUUUAAGCUCUCGGGUAGGUAACGAAUUGGGUUUCUACUUAAAUUUAAAGAUUUCAAGGAUGCCAAGUUACAAAGAUCAUUGGGCAUGACAUCAUUAGAUAAUUUGCAACUUUCAAGGCUUAACUUUACCAAAGAGCCCGGUAGAGAUGCCCAAGAGAAACCCAAUCCUUUGCUUCUUUUCAGUAAGAGCCACUGCAACCCCAAUCUUGAUUGAUAUAUGGCAGUUUCAUCUAAAUUAAGCACCUUCAAUGAUUCCAUAUUAUGCAACUCCCUAGGAACAUCAUCAAGUCUUGAACAACCAGAUAAGAUAAGCUCUUCAAGUGAUAUUAAUGAACCAAUUGUCCUUGGAAGUUUCCUAAGACUUGUGCAAUCUUUAAGGUUCAAGAAAGUAAGCAUCUUUAGCUCACCAAUGGAUUGAUCAACUUCCACCAAAUUUAUGCAGUCUUUAAGCAUCAACUUCUCAAGGCUAGGGAGUCCUGAAAAGCUUGGGGUUUUAAGAAGGCUAUGUGAAUGGUUGAGAUUAAGGAUCUUUAAAUUUGGGAGGCACUGCANNNNNNNNNNNNNNNNNNNNNNNNNNNNNNNNNNNNNNNNNNNNNNNNNNNNNNNNNNNNNNNNNNNNNNNNNNNNNNNNNNNNNNNNNNNNNNNNNNNNNNNNNNNNNNNNNNNNNNNCGAGAACAACUAGUUCAUUGAUAUCAAAAUCCACCGGAAAAGAUUGCAUACAAAACCCAUGCCAACGUAACCAUCUUAAUCUUUUUGGGUAAAGGUCUUUGAAGUCUCCUUUAAGUCUCACAUAAUCCAGUUGAAGCAGUUUAAGUCUCUUCAUCUUUGCAAAUGCUUGAGUUUCCAUAUCAACAUCAUUUGCCAUGAGAAACUGACUUUUGGAAUGCUUUGGAAAAUGUAGAGUUGUAUUUGUCCUUUUAGCCUUGUCUUCUAGCAAUCCUUUUAGGUCAAGUGUGAGGCACUUAACUGUUCUGGAACCCUGCAUCAGAAAAACUUUUUUAAAAAAUAAAAAGAAAUUUGAUAAAAAAGAAAAAAAGUAGUUUACAUGCACACAAGAAAAAAGUUGAGUAAAAUGAUGUUUCGUACAAUUUUUUCUCUUACUACAUCAAAAGCGUUCUUAUGCCACAAUCUGCUUCGCUUCCCAAUAUCACAAGAUUCUUGACGAAUAAUUUCUCGUCCCAUAUCUCUAAUCAUUUGAUGCAUCAUUAGCUUAUUUUUUUCAUUAAUGAUUAAGAGAGACAUGCCUACUAGAUUUUCAAUUCCAAUUGUUGUAUAGAAAUCACAACCAUCUAGAAUUGUAGUCGUGUAAUCUCUAUCCUUCCCAAUGAAUAAACAAACUAUGUCAAGGAAUAAAUUUUUGUCAUGAUCGUCUUCCAAAGAAUCAUAGCUUAUUCUUAGAAUCUUUUGAAUUUUGCUGUCAGGGAUUUCUUCCAAUUUCUCCAAUGCACUUUUCCAAGAACUCACACUUUUGCUAGAUAAUGAAGAGCCCAAAACUUGAAGAGCUAAUGGGAGCCCACCACAGUGUUUCACUAAACUUUUUGCAUAUGCCAUUGAACUUUCAGGCACAGAGUUAUGACCAAAAGCAUACCAAUUAAAAAGUUGUAGCGAUUCACUUGAAGCUAAUUCUUUUACUUCAAAUAGCUUACUUAAGCCUCCACAACUAGUUGAUGCUUCCGAAUCAAACAUUUGGCUUAUAAAAUGUGCAUUCAAUAGGCAUCGGUUUCUACUAGUUAUGAUGAUUUUACUUCCCAGAUGAAAAGGAAUUUGAGUUCCCAUUAAUUUUCUUAUUUUUUCCAAUUCAUCAACAUCAUCAAGAACAAGAAGAACUCUUCUACAACAUACAACUUCUUUGAUCUUGUUAAUUCCAUUAUCUAUAUUGUAUAUUUUAUGUGAUUUUCCUUUAAGAAUAUCUGAAAGAAGUUGGCUUUGCAAACGGACUAAACCAUUGCAAUCUUGACUUGUUUCUCUAACAUCAGCAAGGAAACUAUAACCUUCAAACCUCGGGAUAUUUUGAUUGUAAACAACUUUGGCAAUGGUUGUCUUCCCAAUGCCUCCAAUGCCACAAAUAGUUGCAAUGCCAACUUUAUUUGCUCCAUCUUGUUCUAACCAUUGAUUAAUUUGUGUCACGAGAGAAUCUAUUCCAACUAAAUAAGGAGGGACAUACAACGAAAUAAGAUGAAGUUUAUUUUGAACUUCCUUAACAAUAUCUUGGAUGAAUUGUGAUUCAUGCCUGCAAAUUUAAAAAAUACAACUCAAUGGUAAAAUCUUGGAAAUUAAGUAAAAGUUACUAAUGUAUUUUCUCUUUUCUUGCAUAUAUUUUGAUUGCUUUUAAGAGAUUAUAUGUUCAAGUAAAAGUAAGAAACUAAUGCAACAUUUCAACAUAUAUGAUAGAAUUAUUACAUUCAAAAUCAAAUUAUAGAAUUAUUACUUUCAAAAUCAAAUUAAAUCAAAUAAAAAAAAAGCAACAUAAAAAUUAAUGAAAUUCAUUCGAGGAACAACCUAUACUCAAAAUUUCAACCUUCUCUUUGUGAAAGUUUAAUAAAUUCAUGUUAUUUACAUGAAUAUAUAUAUUAAUUUUUAUUUAUUGUAAUAUUUUGAAUAUGUGUAGACCUAUUACAUGAAUAACUUGGAUAUGAUUGUUGGAAAUAUACCACUGCAAAAUAGAAUUGUUACAGGAGAUCAAACUGAAUGUAAAUAAAAUAAGAAUCUCUGUAUCGUGGAAGAACCACUGCAUUAGAGGCAAAUUCGCCAUGAUCGGUGUAAUCGUGUAGUGGACGUUAUCCCCCAACACAAUACUUUAAUAUUCGUACACCCGAAUAAAGAAGGUGGAACACGAUUGACAUUACUCUUCCCGAAAAAAAAGUUCAAUUCCCAAUAAAGAUUAAAGGGGUCAAAAAUAGUCUCGCUUAAAACCUAAUCUCUUAGACAGAAUUUUCCUCUCGUGUAAUUUUGCAGAACACUAGAAUUUAGAUAACAUAGAGAAGUUAUUUUUCUCUUGUUGUGUUAGGUGGGAGAAUCACCUCCUAUUUAUACUAUUUUUUUAUAGGCAAAAUGGUAAAAAAACAAUUUUAGCUUCCAAAAAUAGCAAAGAAUUUUCCUAACUAAAAAUAGUCUAAAAAUAUUUUUUAUAACAGUCAAAGGAUUUUCCAGAAUUCAAAAUAUUCUUUUGCAUUACCAACAAUGACAUCUUAGAAAACCACUAAUAGUGUCAUUAAAUUCAAGAGGCUAUUUCUUUUUGUUUUCAACUCGUCAAGUCCAAAUUGUUCACGUGAUAAGUGCAAACGUAUUUAAAUUUUGAAGGUUCUUUGUAAAAAUAUUAUGAAGGUUCUUUGUAUUUUAAGUUAUAUUAUAUUUUGUUUCUUCUAUUUAAAAAAUAGUAAUUUAGUCAUUGUAUAUUAUAUUAGAAAGUAAAUUAGUUCUUUUGUUAAAAAAAUUAUCUAUUGUUAUUAUUAAAAAUUGGUCCAUGUAAUCAACAUGAGGUACAUGUGACAAGCCACAUGCGAUUAUCUAGUUAUUUCGUCAUUCACAUUAGUUUUUAACAACAAAAAUGAAGGAAAUUUUUAAUAAAAAUAAUAAAUUUAUUCUUUUAUUUAAUGUAUAUGGACUAAUUUACUUGUUUUUAAAUACAAUUUAACUCUCAAUAGAAUGAUCUCUAUGAUACUUUUACCACCUAAUACCUUGGUAGAUACACUCAAUAAUUAAACCACAACCACAAUAUAUCACAUAGACAUCACAUUAAAUAUUCAAGUUCGGUAUAGUAAAGAAACAAUUUUAGUAUCUAUGCAUGAAUGAAGAAUUAAUUGUUUUUGAAAAAGAAUUGGUCAUUAAAUUGAUCAGAUCGUCAAUUUUUUUUAAUUUGUUCGUGUUAUCUAAAGUAAAUAAAUUUUUAAAAAUAAAAAAAUAAAAUUCACGUAUAUUGCACGUUAAAGUAAAUUGAAAAUGAGAAUUGAGAGGGACAUAAGAGAAGGAGAAUAAUUCCGUAAGUAUCUGGUGUGGAAAAUAGUGGCAGUAGAAAACGCGUUUCAAUCGCUUUUCAUUUCGGAGUCAUGCUUACGGUCCAUUUGGUGUGGAAAAUAGCGGUACUAGAAAACGCGUUUCAAUCGCUUUCCAUUUUGGAGUCAUGCUUACGGUCCAUUUGGUGCUCAACAUUUUUAUUAAAAAUAUUAUUUGAGUAGAGUUUUUCAAGAGAGGUAGUAGAAAGGAAGGAAAACGUUAAAGUUGUUCACUAUAAAAAAAAUAAAUAUUAUCAGACCUUAAACAAUGAAUUAUCGGCCUUAAAUUAGCAAUUAAAGAGGAUGGGAUAAGGGUAAGGUUGAGUAAUUGAUCCAAAAUUUCAUGCUGAGGGCAACUAGCACAAAAUUGUUUAAAUAUUUUCCAAUAUUCAUUAAGGAUUAGAGGUGAUAAUGGGUCGGGCGGUCCGGCCCGGCCCGACGGCCCGCCCAAAAUAUGAGAGAGUUUGGGUAAAAAUAUAGGCCCAAAGUAUGUAUUUGGGAAAAAAUGAGGCCCGUUUUCGGGCCUUGGGCAAAAAAAUUUUGGUUCGGGCCCGACCUAGCCCAGCCCGAAUAUAAUAAAUAUAUAUUUUUUUAAAAAAUAAAUUUCUCAUUUCCCCUCCCCAUUUCCCAUUUCCCAUUUUCUUAAGCCCAUAUAUUUUGAAAUUUAUUUUUUAUUUUUAUUUUAAAAUUUUUAAUUUUUAUAUUUCAAAUUUUAAAUUUUAAAUUUAAUUAUUAGUAUUGUUAAAUUUGUUGAUAUGAUAUUUCAUGGGCAAGGGUUCUACUCUAAAAUAAUAAUAAAAAAUUCUUUUUUUAACUCUUUAUAAUUUAUAAAAUUUUAAAAUAGUAAUGGUAAAAUUACACUUUGCCCCUCAAAUGAUAAAAAAUGUUAAUUUAAUAUUUUAAAAACGGGUCGGGCUCGGGCUUAGUAUUUUUCCCCGGGCCGAGCCUGGACAAAAUUUUAGGCCCAUAUUUCGGGCCGAGCCAGGCCUGGGCCUAGGAAGCGAGCUGAAAAUUUUUUCUGGGCCCAUGAUCACCUCUAUUAAAGAUCUUCAUAUCCUUUUUGUGGUAUGGCAUAGAUUUCUUUCCUAAUUGAAGCACCAAGUUAAGAAAAAGCAAAUUCAACGAAUAUUCUUACCAUAUCUAUUUUAAAAUUUUAAUAUAAUUAAUGAAAAACAAUUCACAUAUAUGAAUCAUCAAAUUUGACGUGCUUAGAAAACAUCAUGUGAUAGCCUGAUGAUUAAGAUUGUUCAUCACCCUAAAUGUGGCCUAAAUUUGAAUCGCGCUACUUGCGUUGGUUAUUCAAACUUUACUUGUUAUUGUAAUUCAAAAAAAUUAACACACUUAAAUAAAUAUUGAAUUUUGUCACAUUUAAUAUAGAGGACAUAAGAGGAGGAUAAUUCCCAAGUACUUGGUGUGGAAAUUAGUGGUACUAGAAAAUGCGUUUCAAUUACUUUUCAUUUUGGAGUCAUGCUUACGUUCCAAGACUUUAGCCAUUAGCAAUUAAAGAGGGGCCUCAACAAAAUUAUGGCCCCAACUGUUUCACCUAACAUAAAAAAUUCGUUGGCUAACCAAUUUCAGUGCAAUAAAAGUAGUGAAGAGGAUGGGUUAAGGUUAAGGUUUACAUUGUUGGUAAUGCAAAGUAGAAUCCCUCGUUGCAGCCUUCAAAUUUUUUGGUUCACAAUAUUUUAGGAAGAACUCGAUUCAAAUAAUAUUUUUUGGUGAUUGUUUUUUUCAAUAAUAUUAUCUUUAAAAUUUAGAUCUAUAUUUUUUAAAAAGUAUAAUAUGUCUUACCAUUAUGUCUAACACUUACUAAUUAUUCAAAUAAUAAUGUUAACAAAAAAGGUUGAGCACCAAAUGGUUUGAUAAGUACCAACAAGCUCAUGGUCUAAAGUCUAGAUCGAGUAGCACUAUUAUCCAAAACAUAGUGCAACAAAUCAAUUCUUUCUCCGACGUUUGUUAUAGGGAACUCUACAACCUAGUCUACUAAUUAUCAAUUUUAUUGUUGUGACUCCACAACUAAAAUUUACCCGAUCCCUUCAUUCAAGAGUAUAAUUAUUCGAAUAGGAUUAUGUCUCUUUUAUGGUGGAACACUAAUUCAUUUUAUUACAUGGAUUUGUUCAUAAAAAUUCUCUUAAAAUAUCGAACAAAUAUCAGUUAGGUGUUUUGAUUUAAAUAUUUAGUUUUUAAGAGAAUAUAUUCUUACCUCAUUAUGACUUCUCGAAGAUUUAUGUCAAAUCCAAACUGAUGUGAGUUGGUAGCCAUAUAUUUUUAUUUUUAAGGAUUUUAGUCCCUCUAUAUUUUUGAGAUUUCAAAACUCAAAUCCAAUUGUUAACACUGCUAAUUUUUUUUGUUAAAUUCAAGUUAAUUACAACAUCAUUUUUGUAAUUACGUGGUUACUAAAUAAGUUUUUUUUUAAUUUUAAAAUGCCACCCUAACACAUUUAACAAAAAAAUUGAAAAUGUUAACCAUAAGAAAGUAAAGAGACUAAUUUUUUGGAAAUGAAAGUACGUGUUCCAAACUCCAAAAUUUGUAAAAGUACAAGAACUUAUGACAUAUUUUAACCUUUUAACUUAUGGGUCGAGCUACCCAUCCAAUCCCCGCUCGAGAUUUGGGAGGAUUUAGACAAAAUUAUCAAGCUCAAAAAAUGGACUUGGACAAAAAGUUAGUCCGAUUUAAAAUACGAGUUGGGCUCGGGCAUAAAAAUUCAAGGCCCGAGUCAUUUACUAAUUUUCUAAUAUAUUAUAUUAUGUUAUUUUUAAAAUUAUAUAAUUUAUAUCAAAAAAUAAAUCUAUAGUAAUACAUAUGAUACUAUAAUGUAAACAUUAAAAAAUGUUAAGAUGUCUAUAUAAAAUGUUAAGAAAUUUGGGAAAAAAUUCAAUUCAAUUAGGCUCAAAACAAUUUGUGGGUCAAUUAAUUUAACAUCUCUAUUCAAAUCGACAAUGGCGAAACCUAAUAGAGGCUCAGGGGGCCAUGGCACCCCCAAGGAUUAAAAUUUUUUCAAUUUAGCCCUUUGUAGAUAUACUAUGGCCCUCCCAAACAUAUAAGUAGCACCCCAAGGUUUAAGAUUUUUGUAAUUUUCCAAAAAUAUUGCUUCUUUUGGAUCGAUUAUCACGUUGGAAUAGUGCUUCUUUUGAGUCAAUUCUUUAUAUGUUUAAAUCGAUUGUCAAGUUGGAACACUACUUCUUUUGAAUCGAUUGUGUAUAUGAUUAAAUUGAUUGUUAUGUUGGAAUACUGCUUCUUUUUAAUUGAUUGUGUAUAUGAUUAAAUCGAUUAUUAUGUUGGAAUAUUACUUCUUUUGAAUCGAUUGCUUAUAUGUUUAAAUCGAUUGUUACAUAACACAUCUAAUUAAUUUGUUCUUUGCUUCUUUGAUUGUUGCGUAGCAUUUCCUUUUAUUCUCUACUUCUUUGAUUGCCUAAAAUGAUAAGGGACCAAAUGAAUAUCAGCAAAGAAUUUAUGUUGGAGUUUGAAUCGAUUCUUCGCUUAUUUCAAUUGAUUGUUUGUUGUUUUGAAUUAAUUCAUUAUUGUUUAAAUUGAUUCAAACUCCUACAUAAAUUCACUGCUGAUAUUCAUUUGGUCCCUUAUCAAUAUUGACUUACACAGGUGUAUGUAAGUUCUUUUUCCCUCAAACCUCCUGCUGUACUUGUGAAGCAAGCAAAGGUAUAUUUACGGUUGUUCUUACUCUAGAAGAGAAAUGAUUCCUCAUACUUUAUACAGUGUAUUUACAUAUUUGCCCUCAACCGAAUAUUGAGGGAAUCUCCCUUUACUUUUGACACGGUCAAUAGAAAGUUUAAGGGAAAAGAACUAAUUUACACCGGUGUAUAUAAGUAUUGAUAACUCAUUGAUACCAAAUGUUUAGAUUAAAUCGAGAAAUCAUUAUAUAGUAUUUUCCUAUACUAUGUGUUAUGUUUAUUAAUAAAACAUAUUUUUAAUUUAAAUGAUAUACUAAAAACUGCUCAUCUACACAAUCAUUGAUAUGUUGAUUUAGGAUCCAAACUUGAAUCAUAUAUUCUUACGUAGUGAAACUAAAAAGGGCCUCGUCGCCAUUCUCCAUCUAUUCCUAUAUAUUCAUCUGUUCGAAAGGAACUGAACUUAACAAAACACCAUGAAAGCAUAAUCGAUAUUUUUUUCACUUUUAAGAAAUAUAAGUUGUUAAUAAUAUCAAACCCAAUAAUACAAUAUAUCAACAAUCAAAUCAAAUCAACAACCAUACCACAAGCAAAAAGAUAAAAUCAAUUCAUUAGGAAGGGUCUUCCACCUCAUUAUCUGCAUGAUUUUCAUACGAAUCCAGUUGUAAAGUAAUGGUGUUUAACACUUUGAAUCGAUUCAUUAUUGUUUGAAUCGAUUCAAACUCCAACAUAAAUUGGUUCUAAAUUUACUUAUCUAUCAUCACUAUUUUUGCAUGUUUUCGGUAAAAGGUAAAUUUUUCUUUUGAUAAGUUGGGAUGGUACACUUAUGGUUUGACCUAUUUAGCUAUUUAGUUCUUUACACAUAAACUUUUUAAUAACCUAGACUUAGUGGGUAAGAAAUUUUUAGGAAUUAUGAGUUUGCUUGACUGCCUACCUUAUAUCGUCUUUCAAAUAAAAAAACAAAAAAAAAAUAAUGCGCCUCUGAUAUGAAUGUUAAGAGUGAAAAAUUGGGGUUAUACAUCGGGCUGAGUAACCGGAACAUGGUGCUUGGGUUGUCAUCAUAUCUCGCGUAAAAAGGUUUGUGUGGCUGUCUAAUUUCUUUGCACUCACUCCGCUAACAAGGUAUCACGACUAGGGUGAAAUAACCCGCUUAGAGACGUCUGAAUUGAGUAACCGGAACAUGGUGCUUGGGUUGUCAUCAUGUCUCGCGUCAAAAAAUUCGAAAAUGUCCUAAGUACAAAAUAAUAAAAUAAAGGGUAAGUCUAUCAAGCUCUAAUAAAUUCCAAUAUAUAUUUACUUACUUCUUAGGCUAGGUUAUUUGAGAUGUUAAUGUGCUAGGAUUAAAUUGUUGAAUUGUACAAACCAUGAGGGCCAAGUCCUAUUUUGGAGGAAAUUUUUUCCCUUUUGCAGAUACAUGCAUAAUGCUCGAGGAGUAGCAUAAGCUAAGUAGAGGGGAUUUGAUUAAAUGCUAAAGUUACAUAUUUUAUGUAAUUAAAUUGGUUAAUUUAUGAAAGUGCACCACUAAUUUUUCCAUGUUUUUAUUGAAUUUUGUGCAAGGGUGCAAUUUAGGGCUAAAUAGAAGAAAAAGAAAACAAUUGGGCUAGAUUGAAGAAAGAAGCAAAGAAUGAGGGGCCAAAGUAGAAUUUUUCCAAGAAUAAUUAGCUGAAAUUUUUAUUGACUUAGUGGGAGAUUAUUUUGAGAUUUUUGUUAUAUCAUGGAAUAUUUUUCCUUGAUUUUCUAUACUAGUUUGCUCUGAAUUUAGCAAAGCGACUAGUAUAAAUAGUGGUCUAUUUUGUUCAUUUUAAUCAUCAAUUGAAAUAUCAAGCUUUCAUCUUUCAAUACUUUCUCUCCUUCCUAUUCACGAAUUUAUUUGCUGCCUUUAGUUUCUUUUCCUUCAAUUUAUUAAUUCCUAGUAACCACCAACUUAAGCCAUUUGCAAUUCCUUUUUCAAAUUCCCUUUUCAUUUCCAGUAGUCAACCACCCCACUUUAAUAAAUUACUAAAUUUCCAGCCCCCAUACUUAAUCACGCCACCAAUCCUUUUCACCCAAUUUUACCUUAUAUAAUUUAUCCAAUACCAACAUGCCCCAAACCUUAGUUAACUAAAUUCAUUUUCAGCUUUAGGUUGGAAUUAGCCUCAUCAAAACUCGUGAGUUACGAACCCGAGCUAUUUAACUCCUAAAUUCCAGUACUUAUUAUUUCUCUGGAUUAAGAGUAUGAUUUUGUCAACUCACAAAGUCAGAUCAACAUUAAGUCAAAAAAGACGUCGUUUGAUUUAGUGUGGUUAGACGUAUAGUUGAAAUUUUGAAAUGAUCGAUUGUCUAAUCGGUUUUCCGUGAACAUAUUGGCGUGCCAAGUAGAGAUUGUUGUUUGGUUCCGUCAAAGGAAGUAGUAACUGGAUUUAAAUAUCCCACGGGUUGAGGGUAUUGGUUCGAGCUAGGCUCUUCUAGAACGCAAAGCUGCCGGAGUUCUAAAUCACUAACGUUUCGUUGGUUGUUCGAUCGAUAAGGGUUAGUUAUUGGACGUUCCAUAACUAAUUUACACAAGGAAGAGUUGGUGUCUGAGGCGUCCCUGAUAGCUAUAACUAGCUUAUUGGUAAAAGGAGUUCAUCUAAUUUCGAGGAUCGAUUCAAAAACGAGGAAAAAUUCGUGCCUAAAGCUGAGCUUAUUUUAAUUAAUUUUUCUUCAGAUUUAUUUAAUUUAUUUUAUUUUAUUUUCAGCUUUUACUUUUUACGCAUUUUGUUUAUUUAUUUCAGGUUCCUGGUUUUCGAUUUUAUCCUCCCCCUAACUUCUUGGGCACGACAACUGCCCCGACAUAAAUCUGGUCAAGAGAGCAACAAUUUGCAGUAAACCCAGUCUCUGAGGGAUCUACCCUACUCCCUGUACUGCUUAAAUUUGCAAAAUUAGGUGUAGGUUUAUAUUGGUGGAUUCGACACCCAUCAGGGCAAACGAUGUACUCAAUUCUGUAAGAUGAUCCUUAAUUUGACAGGUAUUUGUAAGUGCAAUUGAAGCUAAAUGUCGAAAUAGAAGUUGACAUCUGAUAUUGAGCUCGAUUGGAUAGAUUCAUUGUUUGAGAUUGUGGUUGGCAGGAAAUGUUGAAUUUUUAUUUGUUUAUUAAUGUUGUUAGUGAAAUUUUGGUAAGAUUUUAUUAUGAGCCUAUGAACUUACUAAGCUUUCUGUAAGCUUACUUGUGUGUGUUUAUUGUUUCUUGUAGAUUGAUAUAUAUAUGUUCAGAGGAUCGGAUCUACAUCAACGAUCACACUAUCCCGAUUUACUCCGGUAGAUUUUGUUAAACAACUUUUUGAUUUAUAUGGCAUGUAUUGGGAGUUGGUCAGUUUGUGUGUAUUUUUAUGAUAUGGCUAAGAAGUAGCAAGUAAAUAUUCGAUAAUGAUUAACUAUUGAAUUGGCUAUAUAAGAAUGUGUUUUGGUAUUGUGUAUGCUUAAAUGAUAGUUAAAGCAAAGAAAUUAUAAAAGAGUAAAAAUUAUAAAGAAAUUAUAAAAGAAAUUGAGUGUAUUUUCAAUAGAAACAAACGAGAAUGUUAUCCGAAUUCUGUACAAUGAGAUAAUUAAUUUUUAGUGAAUAGGGGUCAGAGUUGUCAAAUAGUGAAACAGAGGAGAGUUUAAAGAAUAAACUGUACUAAUUGGCUAAACCAAAAAUUCUGAAAAUUUUAUGGUAAGAAGAUAUAUGAGUCUAGUUUCAGGGAAAAUUUACGGAUCUAAAUUUUGAGUUUCGUAACUUGAGUUAUAAUUAAUUAGUGACUGUUGCGCAGGUGGACAGUUUUAUUGUGAAUUUGUUUUAGUAUUUGAAAAGUAAUUAAUGUUCCCGGUUUGGACUUGAACUGUUUCUAUUGCAUGAUUUAGGGUCUCGAGAUUCUUUUUUAGGGACAUAUUGAAUGAACGUGAGUGAAUUAAUUUUUAAAAGCAAAUUUUUAUGCUCUAAACUAGUAAGUUAAGUUAGGUAAUGCCUCGUGCUCGACUCCGGUAACGGUCUCGGGUAAGGGGUGUUACACUAUGUAUGUAUUAUAUUUGAUAAUUCUUUAAUACCUUAAGGGUCAAGAUCGUAUCACCAGCUCAGAUACCCUAAGGUACAAGCAUAUUCUGGUGUGGUUGGUGAGGUCGAUGCAUUUAUGCUCGAUUAGCACUUCAGUACGUCUACUUCUUUUUCCUCCUCUUCUCCAUCAUGAAAUCAAUUUAAUUUUUCAGAAAAUUUUUGGAUCAAUUUUUGGAUUCCAAUCGAUAUCAUCAAUAUACAUAUCAGCUGCAUAACUUGGCAACUUAUCCUUGUAAGGAAAAUCAUGAUAAUUUUCCCAGAACCUCUGUUUAGGUUCCUAAAAAGCUUUUAAAUUAGUCGAAUCAUCUCAUUCGAAUACUUUAUAAGCUUUAUACAAAGUAUUCUUCGCAUCAAUAAAUAUUUUCCAUGACAUUGCACCCACUUUCAUGCAAAAAUUUUAAAACGAAUAAAUCAAUUAAGAUUUUAAUUAUUAAACCCAUUAGACCAUAAGCUAUUUACAAACCCAAACCCAAAGUAAAACAUUAAAUCCAAAUUCCCAUUAAAACUCGUUAUUCUUACAAAAUUAUAGCCUAUUAAAACUUUAAAAUCCAAUACCUUUUCUAAGUCAUGCUAUUCCAUAAGUGCAGAGGUAACCCAUGAACUUCAAGCCAAGUUGCCCUCCGCUCAGGAAGGAAAUCAACUAACCUACAUCAUCUGAUUAAAAACACAAUAACUCCACAACAUCUGAUUGAAAGCACAAGUUAAUUGGAUUACCAAUAAUCAAUAUCAAUAACUUACAUAAAAGAAUAGAGAUUAAAUAUAAGAUGAAAUCAACCAAGCCAAGCUGGCAAUGUCUAAGCCAAAAUAUUCAUUUACCUCAUUUCAAUCCUACAAUAGUCAAGAUUUGACUAAACUUUGCAACCUAUACAAGUCUUUUUGGGAUUUUGACAAAAUAUAAAUAAAAGCCCCAAGAAGAUACUUAAAACAUUCACUCAUCCAUGGCAACUGACUGAAAGAAUUGGGGUUGUCAUCUAGGUCAUAAUCAAAUACAAGGUCAAUACCGAAUUCUAGCACAGAUAAAUCUGAAAGAACCCGAAGAGUAAUACGAUCACCUGCUUCUAGUUCACCACCCCUAAAGUCCCAACAAGUAAACCAGUAUAAGGUAUUCUUGGUUCCAAGAAUUCCUGUGAAAUGUUUGGAGUAGGUCCACUUUGUACCUUUGGUCUCGUUCACAAUUUCAAGGAAUGGUAAAAAUUCAUUUGUAUUAUCAUUCUUGGCAGAAAAAAUGAUAAUCGAAUUUAAGAAGCAACUAAUCUUUCGACUAAAGUUUGGGGGCACUGAUAAUGAAACCUCAGUCUUGCCAGCUUGAUUGCCAAAGUAGUGGCCAUAGUAAUCAAAUGGCAUUGGAUCAAAUGCUGUAAUUAUGCCAUAAUCGUAUAGUACCUGUAGCAUUGGAUUAAGGAAUUAGUUAUUAAAAAUAUAUAGUAUAUAAAUAAAUUUUGAAACUUGGAACUCGUAAGGAACCUUUGGGGAAGAAACCACUUUUGAUUCUUCUAUAUAACUGCAAAGUUGCACUUUAACAUUUCCAUAAGAUUCCAAACUGAGUAAGUUUUUAGUUAGGUCCAUCUUGAUAUUUCUUGGGGCAACCUCAUCUCCUAAAAUGUGUACAAUAAUGUGUUAUUUAUCAAUUUUAAUGAUCAUCAACAUAAUAUGCCUAUUAUAAUACCAAAGUAUUGGUUUUGACAUGAAAAAAAACGUUGAUUAAAGUUUUUAUCAGACACCCAUAUAAUACGGGUUCAAACUGUGUAUGAAAAAAAAUAUCAAACAACUAAUUUUAUGCAUUAUGACUAAAAUAUGUUAUAAGACUUGUUAGAAAUAACCAAUUAUACACUUUUUUGAAAAAAAAUCAAUUAUAUCUGUAUCUUUUAUUUUUAUAUAAAAUAUCAACUUUAAAAAUACCACUUUUAACUUCAUCCAUUAUUUUAGUUUCCACUUAGGUGAUAGAUUAAUCAUCUAUCAAACAAUUAUUUAUUUUGAUUAGACCUCAAUUGCAACAUAAUUUUAUAAUUAUUAUUUUAUUAUUAAGCUAAAUUUUUCUCAGAAUCUAUUAAAUGAUCAGAUUUCUUAAGUAAUAUUUUUAUUGUAUUGGAAAGUCUUUUAGAGAAACAUAUAUCAAUUUUUGAAUUUUUUUAUUGACAUCUAAAAGGAAACAUAUGUUCAAACAAUCUAAAGGGGGCAUUAAAAUAAAUAUAAUAGGAUGUAUUAACUAAAAUACAAUCUUACCAUUGAAAACACAAUUAGAUAUUCAUAUAAUUCAUUGUUUCAAUAAGGAUUUAUCUUUUUAGCCAUGUGUUUUACUCAUUAAUGUUAAUAGUGCAUUGGGUAAUAUGCCAUAAACAUAAUUAUUUGAAAUCUACUCAUACCUGGAGAUAAAUAUGAAAAACCAUAUUCAUAUCUAAUGUUGUGUUCGGAUUCAUAAGUAACGCCAAAUUUUCUUAUGCGGAGAUGAAUAGGCACUAUCAUGCAACUCACAAGGUCACCACCUUCAAACUGACAAUCCGUUACUGGCCAAUGGAUCAACCACAACAUUGUGUUAUCGUUAGUCUUAGGAAUUCCAAUGAAACUGGAGCAAUAUCUCCCCGUGGUCCUUUUGGUCUCAUUGAAAAUGUAGACACUUGGUGGAAGGUCCAAUAUUUGAUCACUAUCUAAAGAAAAAACAAUGCAUAAGCUGAACCAACGAAUCUUUUCAUCUGGAUGAGAUGGUGUUGGCAAAAGAAAAGAGAUUCGAUGCUCGUUAGUGCGAUGCUUAUACCCAAUCGGAACUUCACUUCCUAAAAUUAAUGUGCUUGUUAUACCACAUUCCUGCAAGACCUGAUAGAAAAGAAAACUGUUAGAUGAUUACGAAUGUGUUGAUUAAGUAAUAUAAGACAAAAAGAAAAAGAUUUAAAAUUUAAGUUGGAGAACUAUUGGACCUGUGGGGUAGCAAGCAUUAUGUUGUCCGUUAGGCAAUUAUAAAGUUGCACUCGAUUUUUGUUGACGGAAUUCACGUUGAAUAAUCUUCUAAUCUCUUCCGCAUCAAAGUUUUCAAUUGGCUCCAACUUGAAUAUAUCUUGAACCUCGGUCAAUUUUUCACAUCCAAAAAUAACACAUCGUUUGGAAGAAAAGAAGCAUGGAAGAAUUGACCUAAAGCUUUUUACUGCAGAUACUGUCGAGAACCCAGAAACAUUGGGCAAGAAUGGAAGCUUUGGAAUCAUCUGGAGUUCAGUGCAAGAAGUCAGUACAAGUUCAUCAAGUUUUGUAAGUUCUUUUAAGCUUUCGGCUAAGUAAUGAAUUGGGUUUCUACUUAAAUUUAAGGAUUUCAAGGAGGCCAAGUUACAAAGAUCAUUGGGAAUGACAUCAUCAGAUAGUUUGCAACUUUCAAGGCUUAACUUUACCAAAGAGCCCGGUAGAGAUGCCCAAGAGAAACCCAAUCCUUUGCUUCUUUUCAGUAAGAGCCACUGCAACCCCAAUCUUGAUUGAUAUAUGGCAGUUUCAUCUAAAUUAAGCACCUUCAAUGAUUCCAUAUUAUGCAACUCCCUAGGAACAUCAUCAAGUCUUGAACAACCAGAUAAGAUAAGCUCUUCAAGUGAUAUUAAUGAACCAAUUGUCCUUGGAAGUUUCCUAAGACUUGUGCAAUCUUUAAGGUUCAAGAAAGUAAGCAUCUUUAGCUCACCAAUGGAUUGAUCAACUUCCACCAAAUUUAUGCAAUCUUUGAGCAUCAACUUCUCAAGGCUAGGGAGUCCUGAAAAGCUUGGGGUUUUAAGAAGGCUAUGUGAAUGGUUGAGAUUAAGGAUCUUUAAAUUUGGGAGGCACUGCACAAAAAGAAAACCCUUCAUUUAUAUUUUAUUGUUUCACACACACACAAAAAGAAGGAAAAUUAGUAUAUAUCAUACCUCUGUAUCCUUCCAAACUUGUUUAAGUUUACUGUUGCGCAUGUCGAGAACAACUAGUUCAUUGAUAUCAAAAUCCACCGGAAAAGAUUGCAUCCAAAACCCAUGCCAACGUAACCAUCUUAAUCUUUUGGGAAAGUCUUUGAAGUCUCCUUUAAGUCUUACAUAAUCCAGUUGAAGCAGUUUAAGUCUCUUCAUCUUUGCAAAUGCUUGAGUUUCCAUAUCAACAUCAUUUGCCAUCAGAAACUGACUUUUGGAAUGCUUUGGAAAAUGUAGAGUUGUAUUUGUCCUUUUAGCCUUGUCUUCUAGCAAUCCUUUUAGGUUAAUUGUGAGGCACUUAACUGUUCUGGAACCCUGCAUCAGAAAAACUUUUUUAAAAAAUAAAAAGAAAUUUGAUAAUAAUAAUAAAAAAGGUAGUUUACAUGCACACAAGAAAAAAGUUGAGUAAAAUGAUGUUUCUUACAAUUUUUUCUCUUAUUACAUCAAACGAGUUCUUAUGCCACAAUCUGCUUCGUUUCCCAAUAUCAGAAGAUUCUUGACGAAUAAUUUCUUGUCCCAUAUCUCUAAUCAUUUGGUGCAUCAUUAGCUUGUUUCUUUCAUUAAUGAUUAAGAGAGACCUGCCCACUAGAUUUUCAAUUCCAAUUGUUGUAUAGUAAUCACAACCAUCUAGAAUUGUAGUCGUGUAAUCUCUAUCCUUCCCAAUGAAUAAACAAACUAUGUCAAGGAAUAAAUUUUUGUCAUGAUCGUCUUCCAAAGAAUCAUAGCUUAUUCUUAGAAUCUUUUGAAUUUUGCUGUCAGGGAUUUCUUCCAAUUUCUCCAAUGCACUUUUCCAAGAACUCACACUUUUGGUAGAUAAUGAAGAGCCCAAAACUUGAAGAGCUAACGGAAGCCCACCACAGUGUUUCACUAAACUUCUUUCAUAUGCCACUGAACUUUCAGGCACAGAGUUAUGACCAAAAGCAUACCAAUUAAAAAGUUGUAGCGAUUCACUUGAAGCUAAUUCUUUUACUUCAAAUAGUUUGCUUAAGCCUCCACAGCUAGUUGAUGCUUCCGAAUCAAACAUUUGGCUUAUAAAAUGUGCAUUCAAUAGGCAUCGGUUUCUACUAGUUAUAACGAUUUUACUUCCCGGAUGAAAAGGAAUUUGAGUUCCCAUUAAUUUUCUUAUUUUUUCCAAUUCAUCAACAUCAUCAAGAACGAGAAGAACUCUUCUACAACAUACAACUUCUUUGAUCUUGUUAAUUCCAUUAUCUAUAUUGUAUAUUUUAUGUGAUUUUCCUUUAAGAAUAUCUGAAAUAAGUUGCCUUUGCAAACGGACUAAACCAUUGCAAUCUUGACUUGUUUCUCUAACAUCAGCAAGGAAACUAUAACCUUCAAACCUCAGGAUGUUUUGAUUGUAAACAACUUUGGCAAUGGUUGUCUUCCCAAUGCCUCCAAUGCCACAAAUAGUUGCAAUGCCAACUUUAUUUGCCCCAUCUUGUUCUAACCAUUGAUUAAUUUGUGUCACGAGAGAAUCUAUUCCAACUAAAUAAGGAGGGACAUACAAAGAAAUAAGAUGAAGUUUAUUUUGAACUUCUUUAACAAUAUCUUGGAUGAAUUGUGAUUCAUGCCUGCAAAUUUAAAAAAUACAACUCAAUAGUAAAAUCUUGGAAAUUAAGUAAAAGUUACUAAUGUAUUUUCUCUUUUCUUGCAUAUAUUUUGAUUGUUUUUAUGAGAUUAUAUGUUCAAGUAAAAAUAAGAAACUAAUGCAACAUUUCAACAUAUAUGAUAGAAUUAUUACAUUCAAAAUCAAAUCAAAUCAAAUAAAGCAACAUAAAAAUUAAUGAAAUUCAUUCAAGAAACAACCUAUACUCAAAAUUUCAACUUUCUCUUUGUGAAAGUUUAAUAAAUUCAUGUUAUUUACAUGAAUUUAUAUAUUUAUUUUUAUUUAUUGUAAUAUUUUAAAUAUGUGUAGACCUAUUACACGAAUAACUUGGAUAUAAUUAUUGCAAAUAUACUACCGCAAAAUAGAAUUGUUAAGGAGACCAAACUGAAUGUAAAUAAAAUAAGAAUCAUUGUGUCGUGGAAGAACCACUGCAAUAUUAGAGGCAAAUUCGCCCUGAUCAGUGUAAUCGUAUAGUGGAUGUUACCCCCCAACACAAUACUCCAAUAUUCGUAAACCCAAUAAAGAAGAUGGAACACGAUUGACAAUACUCCAAACAGUCCUGCUUAAAACCUAAUCUUUUAGACAGAAUUUCUCUCUCGUGUAAUUUUGUAGAACACUAGAAUUUAGAGAACAUAGAGAAGUUGUUUUUCUCUUGUUGUGUUAGGUGGGAGAAUGACCUCCUAUUUAUACUAUUUUUUGAUGAGCAAAAUGGUAAAAUAACAGAUUUAGUUUCCAAAAAUACCAAAGGAUUUUCCUAACUGAAAAUAUUCUAAAAAUAUUUUCUGCAACAGUCAGAGGAUUUUCUGCAAUUCAAAAUAUUCUUUUGCAUUACCAACAAUGACAUCUUAGAAAACCACAAAUAGUGUCAUUAAAUUAAAGAGGCUAUUUCUUUUUAUUUUUAACUCGUCAAAUCCAAGUUGUUCAUGUGAUAGGAGCAAACGUAUUUAAAAUUUGAUCUAUGUGUUUUAAAAACAUUCCACAUCAGAUUCGAGCAUGCUUAAGCUGAUGACUUGUUUGAUAGAAAGACCUUAUUGAUACAAAACUAAUAUUUUAAUGACUCAAUUAAAACAUGUUAAUGUUUGAGAAAUAAUUUAAAAUCUGAGUUAUAAUUAACCCUUUAAAAUGGAUUAAAGUAACCAUUUUAAUUUCCAAACGCUACCUAACAAUAUUUUCUAUUAAUUUUCUUUCUACUCUAUCUAUCAAGUCUUAAUGAAAAAGAUUGAAGUAACCAUAUGGAACUUGAUUAUGUGUAUAACGUACCUGUCGUGUAGAACCAUGCCUCCUAUAUCCGCAACUUCUUUUAAAGCAUUCCUCCAUCUUUGUACCAUGUUGGUUUCGGACUUGAAGUUUUGUUCAUGUUGGGUAAAUGCUUCUGCAUAACUUCCCGUCUGGUUCUUGACUUGACUGGGAUCCACAUCAUAGAAAACUGGCAACACACUAUGUUUAGAGGAUUUCUUGUGCUCCAAUAUCAUUACAAGUUCGUUAAGACACCAUGUGGAUGCAGCAUAAUUCUUUGAGAAAACAACGAUAGAAAUUUUGGAGUGGUGUAGUAUUGCUUUUUCAAUUUCAUCUUUUAUGUUAUUCCCUCUCUCGAUUUCCUCAUCAUCUCUAAAUGUUUGAAUUCCUAAGUGCACCAAAGCUGUGUAAAGAUGAUCCGUGAAACUUUUACGCGUAUCUUCACCUCUAAAACUCAAGAAUACAUGAUAACUACAUCGCGAGAUUUCUGACACUGUCAUUGAAGAAGAAAAUGAAGUUGUCCUGUAUUUUUAUGUAAUAACAAGGUUCCAGCAUAUAUAUAUAUAUAUAUACAUAUACGGAUGGAAAAGCAGAUAUUAGUAGCUGUCAAGUGGCAGUUCAUGGUGGGUCAAUCCUUCCACCGAAGAAAUUCAUGUCGACCAUGUUCCAAUCGCUUUUCAUUUCGGAGUCAUGCUUACGGUCCAUUUGGUGCUCAACAUUUUUAUUAAAAAUAUUAUUUGAAUAGAGUUUUUCAACAGAGGUAAAAGUUGUACACUAUAAAAAAUAUAUAUUAUCAGACCUUAAACAAUGAUUUGUCGGCCUUAAAUUAGCAAUUAAAGAGGAUGGGAUAAGGGUAAGGUUGAGUAAUUGAUCCAAAAUUUCAUGCUGAGGGCAACUAGCACAAAAUUGUUUAAAUAUUUUCCAAUACUCAUUAAGGAUCUUCAUAUCCUUUUUGUGGUAUGCCAUAGAUUUCUUUCCUAAUUGAAGCACCAAGUGAAGAAAAAGAAAAUUCAACGAAUAUUCUUACCAUAUCUAUUUCAAAAUUUUAAUAUAAUUAAUGAAAAACAAUUUAUAUAUAUGAAUCAUCAAAUUUGACGUGCUUAGAGAAUCUCAUGUGAUAGCUUGAUGAUUAAGGUUGUUCAUCACCCUAAAUGUGGCCUAGAUUUGAAUCGCGCUACUUACAUUUGUUAUUCGAGCAUUACUUAUUAUUGUAAUUCAAAAAAAAUUUAACGUGCUUAAAUAAAUAUUGAAUUUUGUCACAUUUAAUAUAGAGGACAUGAGAGGAGGAGAAUAAUUCCCAAGUACUUGGUGUGGAAAAUAGUGGUACUAGAAAACGCGUUUCAAUUACUUUUCAUUUUGGAGUUUCCAAGACUUGAGACCAUUAGCAAUUAAAGAGGGGCUUCAACAAAAUUCUGGCCCCAACUGUUUCACCUAACAUAAUAAAUUCGUGGGCUAACCAAUUUCAGUGCAAUAAAAGCAGUGAAGAGGAUGGGAUAAGGUUAAGGUUUAAAUUGUUGGUAAUGCAAAGUGGAAUCCCUCGUUACAGCCUUCAAAUUUUUUGGUUCACAAUAUUUUAGGAAGAACUCGAUUCAAAUAAUAUUUUUCGUAAUUAUUUUUCUCAAUAAUAUUAUCUUUAAAAUUUAGAUCUAUAUUUUUCUUAAAAGUAUAAUAUGUUUUACCAUUAUAUUUAACACUUACUAAUUAUUCAAAUAAUAAUAUUAACAAAAAGGUUGAGCACCAAAUGGUUGAUAAGUACUAACAAGCUCAUGGUCUAAAGUCUAGAUCGAGUAGCACUAUUAUCCAAAACAUAGUGAAACAAAUUAAUUCUGUCUCCGACGUUUGUUAUAGAGAACUCUACAACCUAGUGCUACUAAUUAUCAAUUUUAUUGUUGUGACUCCAUAACUAAAAUUUAGCUGACCCCUUCAUUCAAGAGUGUAAUUAUUCGAAUAGGAUCAUGUCUCUUUAUGCUGGAACACUAAUUCAUUUUAUUACAUGAAUUUGUUCAUAAAAAUUCUCUUAAAAUAUCAAACAAAUAUCAGUUGGGUGUUCUGAUUUAAAUAUUUAGUUUUUAAGAGAAUAUAUUCUUACCUCAUUAUGCCUUCUCGAAGAUUUAUGUCAAAUCCAAACUGAUGUGAGUUGGUAGCCAUAUAUUUUUAUUUUUAAGGAUUUUAGUCCCUCUAUUUUUUUGAGAUUUCAAAACUCAAAUCCAAUUGUUAACACUGUUAAUUUUUUUUGUUAAAUUCAAGUUAAUUACAACAUCAUUUUUGUAAUUACGUGGUUACCAAAUAAGUUUUUUUUUAAUUUCAAAAUGCCACCCUAACACAUUUAACAAAAAAAUUUAAAAUGUUAACCAUCGGAAAGUAAAGAGACUAAAUUUCUGGAAAUAAAAGUACGUAUUCUAAACUCCAAAAUUUUUAAAAGUACAAUAACUUAUGGCAUAUUUUAACCUUUUAACUUCUGGGUCGAGCUACUCAUCCAAUCCCCGCUCGAGAUUUGGGAGGAUUUAGACAAAAUUAUCAAGCUCAAAAAAUGGACUUGGACAAAAAGUUAGUCCAAUUUAAAAUACGAGUCGGGCUCGGGCAUAAAAAUUCAAGGCCUGAGCCAUUUACUAAUUUUCUAAUAUAUUAUAUUAUGUUAUUUUUAUAAAUUAUAUAAUUUAUUUCAAAAAAUAAAUCUAUAGUAAUACAUAUGAUACUAUAAUGUAAACAUUAAAAAAUGUUAAGAUGUCUAUAUAAAAUGUUAAGAAAUUUGGGAAAAAAAUUCAAUUCAAUCAGGCUCAAAACAAUUUGUGGGUCAAUUAAUUUAACAUCUCUAUUCAAAUCGACAAUGGCGAAACCUAAUAGAGGCCCAGGGGGCCAUGGCACCCCCAAGGAUUAAAAUUUUUGCAAUUUAGCUCUUUGUAGAUAUACUAUGGCCCUCCCAAACAUAUAAGUAGCCCCCAAGGUUUAAGAUUUUUGCAAUUUUCCAAAAAUAUUGUUUCUUUUGGAUCUAUUAUCAUGUUGGAAUAGUGCUUCUUUUGAGUCAAUUCUUUACAUGUUUAAAUCGAUUGUCAAGUUGGAACACUACGUCUUUUGAAUAAAUUGUGUAUAUGAUUAAAUUGAUUGUUAUGUUGGAAUACUGCUUCUUUUUAAUUGAUUGUGUAUAUGAUUAAAUCGAUUAUUAUGUUGGAAUAUUACUUCUUUUGAAUCGAUUAUUUAUAUGUUUAAAUCGAUUGUUACAUAACACAUCUAAUUAAUUUGUUCUUUGCUUCUUUGAUUGUUGCGUAGCAUUUCCUUUUAUUCUUUAUUUCUUUAAUUGUUGGUUGUUUUAAAUCGCUUCUUUUCCUAAAAUGAUAAGGGACCAAAUGAAUAUCAGCAAAGAAUUUAUGUUGGAGUUUGAAUCGAUUCUUCGCUUAUUUCAAUUGAUUGUUUGUUGUUUUGAAUUAAUUCAUUAUUGUUUAAAUUGAUUCAAACUCUUACAUAAAUUCACUGUUGAUAUUCAUUUGGUCCCUUAUCAAUAUUGACUUACACAGGUGUAUGUAAGUUCUUUUUCCCUCAAACCUCCUGUUGUACGUGUGAAGCAAGAAAAGGUAUAUUUACGGUUGUUCUUACUCUAGAAGAGAAAUGAUUCCUCAUACUUUAUACAGUGUAUUUACAUAUUUGCCCUCAACCGAAUAUUGAGGGAAUCUCCCUUCACGUUUGACACGUUCGAUAGAAAGUUUAAGGGAAAACAACUAAUUUACACCGGUGUAUAUAAGUAUUGAUAACUCAUUGAUACCAAAUGUUUAGAUCAAAUCGAGAAAUCAUUAUAUAUUAUUUUCCUAUACUAUGUGUUAUGUUUAUUAAUAAAACAUGUUUUUAAUUUAAAUGAUAUACUAAAAACUGCUCAUCCACACAAUCAUUGAUAUGUUGAUUUAGGAUCCAAACUUGAAUCAUAUAUUCUUACGUAGUGAAACUAAAAAGGGCCUCGUCGCCAUUCUCCAUCUAUUCCUAUAUAUUCAUCUGUUCGGAAGAAACCGAACUUAACAAAACACCAUGAAAGCAUAAUCGAUAUUUUUUCACUUUUAAGAAAUAUAAGUUGUUAAUAAUAUCAAACCCAAUAAUACAGUAUAUCAACAAUCAAACCAAAUCAACGACCAUAACACAACCAAAAAAAAUAAAAUCAAUUCAUUAGGAAGGGUCUUCCACCUCAUUAUCUGCAUGAUUUUCAUAUGAAUCCAGUUGCAAAGUAACGGUGUUUAACACUUUGAAUCGGUUCAUUAUUGUUUGAACCGAUUCAAACUCCAGCAUAAAUUUAUUGUUUAUAUUCAUUUGGUCCUUUAUCAAUACUUGCACAACAUUUGUCCCUUAUCAAUACUUGCAAAAAAAUAACUUGUGAGUACUGCUUUUUUCGAAUAGAUUGUUUAUAUGUUUAAAUUGAUUGUCAUGUUGGAAUAUUGCUUCUUUUGAAUCGAUUGUUUAUAUGUUUAAAUCGAUUGUUAUGUUGGAAUACUGUUGCUUUUGAAUCAACUGAUUAUAUGUUCAAAUUGAUUGUUAUGUUGGAAUACUGCUUCUUUUGAAUCGAUUGUUUAUAUGCUUAGAUCAAUUGUUACGUAGCACGUCUAAUUUUAGCUUGGCCCCCAAGAUUAACAUCCUGGCUCCGCCACUACGGAUCGAUAUAUUAGUCAAUUCUUGAUUCAAUUGAUCGACUAAUCCUAUUUAAUCCGAUUUAAAUAACUAUCUCACAUAUAUACAUAUUUCUAAAAUAAUAUGUUAGUAUAAAAAUAUUUAAUCAAUUUGAGUUAUGAAAUUGUGGUCUAACAAUAGUUUUGGGUGUCUUAUAAACUCAAAAUUUUCAAAUUAUGCUGGUGUCCAUUUGUGCUUUAUGGUACAAGUUCUUUUUGGAGUUAUACCAUAUAUUAUAUAAUUUAAAAUAUUCUUAAAAAAUAGAUUGAAGUAAAUUAAGCCUAAAACUUAAAUGUUUAAGUCAAAGCUUAAUUGAUAGUUUAAAUGAGAUUAUUCUUUUUUUUUAACUCAUUUUUUUAAUUUUAUCAGACCGCCUCUAAAAAAUAAAUAAAAGAUUGUUGUUAGUCUUUUCCUAUAUAUGAGCAACAAUCUUUGGGCAGAGUAUAAAAAAUAGUUUUUGUAUUUUUUUUUUACGAAAUUAAGGUAUCUGAUUUUGCAGUAGACCUGUCCCGGGCUCGGAAAAAAUUUUCGGCCCGGCCCGACCAAAAAUAUGGGCCUAAAAUUUUGCCCAGGCCAGGCCUAGGAAAAAUAUCAUAAGCCCGAGCCCGGCCCGGCCCAUUUUUUAAUAAACAUUAAAAAAUUGUUUUAAAAAUAAAAAAAUAAAAAUAAAAAUAUUUUAAAAGUAUUUUAAAAUUAAAAAAUAAAAAUAAAAAAAUAUAUAUUUAUUAUAUUCGAGCCGGGCCCGGGCCAAAAAAGUGAUGCCCGAGGCCCGGCCCCUUUUUUAAACGGGCCUCGUUUUUUUGCCCAAGCCCAUAUUUCGGGCCUAUAUUUUUACCCGAACCCUCCCAUAAGCCCAACGGCCUGCCCGGCCCAUGGACAGGUCUAUUUUGCAGUGGUAACUAAUCUUUUCAUCGCGACUACUAUUCAAAAGAUAAUAUGUAAAAAAUAAAAUUCAAUAAAAUGGUAAUACAUAAUUUACUUGUAAUUACGGUACGUUUAGUUCGUUAGAAUGAAAUAAAAUUAUAAUAGAAUAACAUUUUUUAGGAAUGAAAUAGAAUUGUAAUUGAAUGGAAUAAAUAUGAUAAUUUGGUUGGGUAGAAUAUUUUUGUAUCUUGAUUUAAAAAAAUGAUAGUAAAAAUCAUCUAAAAAAAAGAUGAAAUUCAAAGUACAACACCAAGUCUUCAUCAAGCAGUGUACAUGUCCAAAUUACUAUAUUGAUUAAUAAUAAUAUUAAUAUUGAUUGAACUCCUUUUUUAAAUGGCUUAUGAGUAAAACUUUUUUAUUAGUUUGAAGAGUUGUGAGUUUAAUACCCUCUGAAUUAAUUCUUUAAUCAAUUUUCAAUUCAACCAAUUUAUCAGUCGAUCUAAUUCGGUUCAGACAACCCUAAUUAUAUGAAUUUCAAGCUGUUGAAGUUACAACUGAUAUUAAAAUAAAUCGGAACCUUCUCGGUCUCACCAAACUUACUCUAAACCAAGAGCAUAAAAAAUAAAAUAAAAAAAAUCCUCCUCUAAACCAUGCAGUGUCAGCAAUCAUAAGAUCUGUUAGUGAACCAUUGAGUAGAAACUAUAGAUGACAACAAGUGGGAACCCUCACCUUGUCAGAGAUCAUGAGAAGUAUUGAACUCUUAUAAUUAGAAUAAUCAAGUUCCACUGAAAAUAACGAUAUAAAAACGCAUACCAUGAACAUACAGUUCAUAAUAUUCUUUGAAGUUUUAGACUCUUGACAAUAACCAGAAAAGUCAAACACAAACACAGUACGUAUCUUCAGUUCAUAAACAUCCCAAUAAACCAUUGGGAUUCAAACACAAAACCAUCACACAAACACAUAUUGUCUGUAUCUUCAGUUCAUAAACAUCCCAAUAAACCAUUGACAUUCAAACACAACCAUCACACAAAUGCAUACUGACAAUAUCUUCAGUUCAUAAACAUCCCAAUAAACCAUUGAGACUGUAUUUCAAAGAAGCAAAUUACUCAACCCGUGGCUUUUUCUGCAACCUGGCUAGCUUCAGUUGGUUUUCUUUUAACUCAGCUUCGUCCUGAUCCAGCUUCAGUUUCUUCUCUUUUAAGUCAGCUUCGUCCUGAUCCAGCUUCAGUUUCUUCUCUUUUAAGUCAGCUUCAUCCUUCUCCAGCUUCAGUUUGUCUUUUCUAACAUUAGCUUUCCUCUUCUCAAAUCUCUUCUCCUCUGCUUGAUACUCCAUUUCACGAGCCUGCAUCAACUUAUUCAUGAUGUCUUGCACCAUUGCCUCCAUAGUUGUGAUGACUUUUAGCUCAAGUAUCUCUGGGUUACUUUCUAUUUUAUGGUAAACUUCAGCUAGUGAGUUCAUAAUGAUCCUUUGAACAUCUCCAUGACUACAUAAAAAAAUUUGUUAUCAGUAUAAGGGUGCUUUUGAAAUGUCGGUGAGCACUUGAGUUCAUAAAUAUUGUAUACCCCUGGACAGUUGACAGCUUCAUAUCGUCUUGAUUUGCUCUGACAUCACCGCUGCCUUCAGUCAGAUCAUUGUAUAUCUUGUCGUCUAGAAAACAAAGUAAUUAAAGUAGGAAACAUAAAAGAUAUUAAUAUUUACAACUGACAAGUAAAAAGCUGAGGAUUUUAUAAGAUCAUUUAUCAACUUGCAGCAAUUACCUGACAGAAGAAAGUCUUCAACAUCAAAAAACUGAAGUGACAGAAGAACCUGUAGAAAAAGAGAAUCAGAUCUGAUCCAAAAAUAAGCAAUUUGAAUUUAAAAAAUAUAUACAGGCCAAAACUUACUGGAUCAACAUUAAGCCCCUUUUCUAGUGAGUCUACUUCAUGAUAACCCUGCAAAUAAGGAGAGAAGUACACAACAUAAUGCGUCUUUUCCGACUCAGGACUUUUGUGUGUGUUUGACUAAUAUUUCUAUGAUUGCGGUUAUCUGGAUUUGAUUCCAAUUCAUUGAAAUCAUCCAUGUAUUCCUUGAAUGAACGUACAAUCUAAGAACCAUAAGAAAAAGGACAUAAAAGGAUCAUAAGACAUAAAAAUCCGAAUAUUUAAACUACAAAUAUUUCUGUCUGCUAACUAAUGUUCAGGUAGAACAAUCUGAGUUCAACAAUUGCUUACAAAGAAAGUAACAAACAUUUCUGGCCAAUAUAUAUAUGUGUAACCCAGAGAAUUAAUAAAAAGAAGUGAUAUUUUUGGUUGUAUCACCUUAUAGUUUGCAAAAGAUGAAAUAAACUGCCCGUCAAAGAAAUUAAAGGGAUGACAAGUUGUACUUAUAUGACAGUAGGAAUGGCUGAGAAGGGUUAAAAUUUUCAUUGGUUAAGAGAGAAUCUAUUAUUACAACAGAGGAUUAAACUUGAUUUUUGCAUCAUUUAUUGAAAGGAUUGAAUAGAAAACUAGUCGACAAUACAUGAUUGCCUAUUCAAGUCAUAAUUUGCUCAACAAAAAUCAAAAUUCGGGUCUAAGUGAAAAAAAAGAACAGAACAGAACAUGAGAGCCAAAAGACAAGUUAUUCUGUGUACACCUCCAGAAGACUGUGAUAUGGAAAUCAACGCCAAUUUCAAUCACCAUUGGCUAGGACUGCUGAUCUUAAACCUCGACAACAAGUAAACCUCUUUACUGUCGGGUUGGUAGAGGAACUUAGAAUUGAUAUUGAGAUGCAACAACCGGAAAACCUUGGAGUUGCAAUGAAUAUGGCUCAAACAUUGGAACGUAAACAAAAUGUCUUUUUCUAAACUGUCAUCUCCAGCUAUCCUGAACUGGCUAACUUCCCAAAACACUGGCAGCAAUUCAAUCAUUCAAACAACUAAGAGCAUUGUAAAGAAAGGGGGACAAACAACAAAACCAACAGGGAACAACGGCAAAAUAGGUUCUUCUGCACCAUUUGUUAAGAGAUUGACACAGACAGAAAUGGUGGAAAGAAUGGCUAAGGGGUUGUGUUAUAAUUGUGACGAGUCCUAUUCCAUGGGACACAAAUGUAAAAGGUUAUUUUGGAUAGAAAUACCAGAUGUUGAAGGCAAGCAAGAUGAUGAUGAGGUAGAUGAUGAGCUUGAGGACAAGCUCAACUCCAAGGAGGGGAGUAAUGAUAUGGACGUUUUUAUUACAAUAGGAGUUUUAGUUUUAUUUAUUUAUUAUAUUAAGUUUUACCAAGAGUUUUAGUUUUACUUAUUUUCUCUAUUAUAUUAGGUUUUUAUUUCCUUCAUACACUCUAAGUUAGGAAUUCUAUUAGGACUCUUUCCUUUGUUAUUAACAGUCUAUAAAAGGUUGUCAAUUGAAAUAAAGAGAUAAGCAAUUAUUCUAUAAAAAAAGAAACCUUAUUCUGAGAGUGGGUUCAAUCAAGGACGAAUCUGCCUUUUGAGUAAGCAUAGGUCGAGGCAAGAAUUCUUUCUCAUCUAGACUUAUGAUUAGAUCCUACGCUAAGGCGCAUAUCAGACUGUUUCUAAAUAAACUUCCCACAUCAACUCUAAAAAUUUAAUAAUGCAAGAACAAAUUACCAAGAAAGAAAAGUCAUGCCGCUACUACUAAGUUACAGAGUCAUGUUUUCUACAAUAAUUUUCAUGAUAAAAGUAAAAUCUAAAGCUCCAUUGAUUAAAAUACUAAUGACAAAUUGGGUGCUUCUACUCAAAAUGUUUACCUGUAGAUUGAUGUGAAUCUUAGCACCACUGGUACAAUCAGGGGUUAGAGGAAAAUGGAAUAUUAAGUGUUCAUCUUCCAUUUGCACAAGAUCUUGAAUACUAACAGGAUUUGUAAGCUUUUGGUUCUUAAAAUCUUGUAGCAUUACUAAAAAAGAAGCCAAAACUUUGUUUACUAUUUUUGCCACUAUGCUAAAGACCUUAGCCUCUGAGAUUAAUUCCUCUGUUUGGUCCACAAUAGCCUCUCCCUGCAAUGCUUUUACUGAAAUAUAAAGAAAGCAGAUAACAAAUUUUAAUUUAAAUGAUCAAAUCAAGAUUAAUAUAUUUAUAUAUGUAAAAAGAGUUAUUAAAACAUGCCUAGGAUGUCUAUCUCUGGCAUUCCUUUAGCAGUCUCCAGAACAUCAACAACAAAUGGCAUUAAUCAACAUAAAAAUCGUACCUACGAGUGAGAUUAAGUGAGGAAGGUCCUUGCAAAUCUCAUCAGCACACUCUAUGUUCCGGACUGGAUUUGUUGACUGAUUCAAAAAUGAAUCAAGCUCUUGAAAUGCAUUUUCGAUGCUAAGACUGGAACUGGCAUUAUCGACAAUCCUGGGCUGCAUCAAAUUUCUCAAUCGUUGCAGUAAGAGUUGAGGGUCAUGAAGCCGAUUCAUCCCUUCCACUACUAUCUCUUUCUUUUCUUCCCAUUUCCUCUACAUUCAAAAAAGUUACUAAAAGCAAUUAGAAACAUAAAUGAACUUGCACCCUCAGUUUUUUAGCUCAAUAUUCUUUUGAGUAAAAACAAAACCACAAUAAUCUGAUACUUGUAGUAAAAAAUUGGACACACUUCUGCUAUUUGGAAAAAAAGAGUCAGAAAUUGCAGGAUUGACAUGUUACGUUGUAGUGGGAGUCGGAUUGACAUGGAUUAGUUUGCUCUUUUUUCUUUUUUUUUUUCAAAAUACAAAUUAUAAAAAGAGAGGAAAAGUCUCACAGCAGCUCGAUAUCUGUCAUCACCAUCCAAUAGCAUACGCAUCAAUUCUCCCACCAGCUCGUUACAGUCCUGCAUAUAUAUGGAGAGUAACUAUUAUUAAACAAACCCUAAACGAUAAAGAAUUGCAAGAAAGGAAAGAAAAUGAAUAGGUACCUUGAUUCUUUUACGGCUGAGCUUAUCUUUAUCUGAUUCCAAUUCAAUGAAAUUCCCCAUAUAUUCCUUGAACGAAGUACAAUCUGAGAAUCAAGCAAAAUGAUAUAAAAAGAUCUUAGAAUAUUCUGUAAGUUCAAAUUUUGCUUUAAAAGCAAAAUAUAUUUCUAAAAAAAGCAAAGUCAAACUCAAUUCUAUCCAGUAGACCAGAGAAAAAAAUAAACGAAACUGGAUUAUAUUCCAGCAAAGAGAGAAGAGAAAUGAAGCUUAAUAUUGCUUACGAUUGCAGAGUAGAGACUUGUUAUGCCGUCGCAGAAAUCUUUUAUCACUUUUUUCUCAAAACUUUUAUUUCUGAUGCAUUCGCACGAUCGUGCGAAUUUCGCUUUUCUGAACUAUUCGAAAAAAUAUUAAAAAGAAAUUGAUUCAAUCCCAAAUUUUGAAAAAGUAGUCUAUUUUCCAUAUGUGUGUUCACAAUAAUCUGCAUUUACUGUUGAAGUUAUCAAUAAUUCUCGUUUAUCCUGUUUGAGAAAAAUUAAGUUGAUACGUUUGCAGGGGUAUUGCCAAGGGUGCGUUAGCAAAUGUCAGCUAAAAAAUUAAAUUACUCAACUUUCAAUAAAAAAAAUUCCUCUAAACUAUAAAAAGUUAUAUUUUAAUCACUAAUAUUUUUUUAGUGAAAAAUAAUAAAUAGAAAUACAAUGUAUCAACUAUUGAGCCUCUAAAGGUUUUGUCUUGUUGGAUAGCUGUAACCACUAAAUCAGAAGGUACUUCAAAUAUCUGAAGGGGGUCUGCCAAGAGAAAUUAAUCUUUGUCAAUUGAUUUGCAAUUAAAUUACACUCUCUAGGAACAUACUUAAUUUUCCAUUGACCUACAAAACGCAAAAUACGUUUAACUCUUCUAAACAAGGUAAUACUAGAGUCCAUUGACUCCUCCAUGGACAAGGCACUAACCACCUCAAGGUUAUCUGUCUAAAUCCUGACUUUCUUGUAGUCCUUAUUUAAUAAAAUGAGAAUUUCAUCAAGAAUACUCCAAAGUUCUGCCUCCAAAGGCGAACAUCUGCCUAAAUAAUGAUUAAAGCCCAAAAUCCAAUUGUCAACCUAAUCACGAACCACCCCACCCAUGGAUGCAUUUCCGGAAGCUCUAGCCAUUGCUCCAUCAGAAAAUAAAUAGAUCCAAUUGCCUUUAUAAUGGGAAUGAAUUUCCGAAUUUGGUGAACUAGGCUUGGCCUCAUUUAGAAAAGGUUCAAAUUGUUAGGCCCAAUUGAGAGAGACUUUUACAAUUUCAUAAGUCGUCCAGUUAAUGUUUUGGAAGAUGAAAAGAUUCAUGUUCUUCCAAAUUCUCCAAGUAAUUAAUCCAAAUAAGCUUGACCAAGUAAUUUCCUUAUCCUGCAUCUUAAAAUGGCAACAAAGGUUAGUGGAAAACCAAUUUUGAAGGAAUCAGAAAAAAAACCUAAUUUGUAUCUUAGGAAGGACUACAAGCUUCCAUGCUUCCUUAGCCAUCAAAUAGUCUCGGAGUACAUGCAUAAUGUCCUUAGUAUCAUGAUCACAUAAAGAGCACGCAGUGUUCUGCCCAAUUCCUCUCUUAACGCGCUUUGAAUUAGUAAGAAGCCUCUGUUUGACCACAAACCAAAGAAAAAGACGAACUCUCUGUGGGCUUUGAUAUUUCCAAAUAGACUUUCAACUAUCAUCUUUAGGACUCCAAGAAUCUUCUUUUAAAACCCAAUAAGCAUUACGAACAGAAAAAGACCCUCAAUCAGAUUGAGCCCAAAUGAUCCCAUCCUCUCCACCAAUAGAGUGAGAAUGGGGGAUACUUACUACACGCUUUAUCACGUCAUCAGGUAGCCAAAUAGGAAGCAAAUCAACUUUCCAAGAACCAUCAAGAAGAACCCAAUCCCUCAAAGUGCUCUCCAAACCGAGGCUUGCAUGAGCUGGGACAUAAGAAAAAAGAGGACCAACUUCCAGUAUCCAAGAAUCUUUCCAACAACAAAUUAUAGAGCCAUCACCUACAGACUACAUAAGAUCCUCACAAAAAAAGGGGUCACACCUUAGAAAGGGAACGGCAAAGAUGAGAGCAUUGAUUUUUGUGGAUAGAAUUUGGAAGCUGAUUCUUCCACCCAUAUUUCGAAUAAAGGACACAAACUCAUAAAGCACCCUUUGUAGAGACUAGAUUGAACCCAAUCUUCAUAAGGAAGGAAUUAUUUUGGUCUUGGAGGUGCUGAAACCCAAGGCCCCUCAAGACCUAAGCUAACAAAUGGACUCCCAAUCUACUUUUGGAUGCCCAGCAGAACCCCUCAAGACCUAAGCUAACAAAUGGACUCCCAAUCUACUUUUGGAUGCCCAGCAGAACCACCCCAAAUGAACUGCCUUGCUAUCUUCUCUCCUUUCGGGAUUAACAAGGACUGCAUAAAGUAGUUUGAACUAUUAAAAGAAAUAAACAUUAGCACUAUACUCUUAUUAUGUUUUAUACUUAUUUUAAUCAAAAGAUAAAAAUAUCUAUAUUUCAAUUAACCGACCAAAUUAACCAAAAUAAUUCAAUUCGAUUAAUGUAUUUGAAAAAAUUUCAAUUCAGUUCACGGUUAAAACUUUUUAUAUUUCAAGUAAUUCGGUUCAAAUAUUAAUCGAACCAACCAUUUGAACAAUGCAAUCGAGACCCUUACUGAAUGCUUUUAACUGGACCGAUUAAAUUAUCCAACGAAUUCUACAAGAAUAAAUUUAGAAUUGAAUUGGAGUUUGUUCGUAUAUGAAAUACACACAAAGUCCAUGUAAACCAUUCUUGGCAAAGCCAAUCCUUGAAUAUCCUCUUGUAGCUGUUGAGCAGGUCCUGCUGGCGGCACACUAAAAAUUUGCAUGCCAACAUUCUGGUUUGAAGAAAGACAAAGCAUCAGCUAGCCGAUUCGCUUCCCUAUGCACAUUCUGAAUUGAAGUCAGCAAAGCCAAACCAUUCUUCCAAGUUGUAAAAACUCCUGAUUCAAACACAAAAACAUCCCACUAAACCAUUAAAAGAUUCUAUUCCAACGUCAAAUAGAUUUCGACUUACUUGACCGCAAUAACAAGUAGCAAUUAGUCAAGCAGUGGUUUCUUGGCCAGCUUCAGUCAGCCUUCUCUUUUUCUUAGAGAAGCACAAGCAAUUACUGAGAUUUAUAAAUAUAGACACGAACCAUAAAUGAAAAUUAGGGGUUGGAGUAUUAACAGUUCAUUCACUAUUUGCACAAUGUCCUUGAGAAGGAUUUGCCAAGUUCAAAAUGUCGUAGAUCUUAACAUAAGUCGUUGCUUGUUUCUUCUUGCCUUCUUGUGGUCACAAAAGACAUUUUCCUGGAUAUGCAAAGUAAGAAGAAAAUCGGAGUUUGCUGCUUUGUAGCCAAGGAGGAGUGUUUAAAAGGUGGCAACGACAGCAGCAAAGUUUAAGAAUCCAUGCAAAAACCCACGUUGCAUGCAAGAAUCCAUGCAAAACCUACGUUGCAUGCACGAAACCAGAAGCUCGGCUGAAGCAUGUUAAAAUCCAUGGUGCAAUUCGACAAGCCUUGUUUAUUUAGUUGACUUUUGUUAGUCUAUGGUGUAAUCAUUAUUUGCUUUGAUCAGCUAAGGUUAAAAUGUGUGCUUAGCUGAUUUAGUAGUCAAAUUAGGUUGUCAUUUUGUUGAUGUAAACCUUUGGUUACUUGCACAAGCAAGCUUUGUUUUCUUUCUAUGUAGUUUUUGUUCUAUUUAUGUAUGUAACCAUGCACUUAUUCGGGUAAUGAGAAAAACACUUUGCUCAUUCAACUUUCUGCUUGUUCUUGCUACUGUUUUAAUCUUUCAAACAUCUAAAACAUUCAUCUAAGUUGUUUUUAAACUUUGUUUGCUAAGUUAAAAACCAACACACCCAAAUCAUAGUAUAUCUCGUUGCCUACAAAACAUAAAGGUAACCAAUACAAGUAAAAAGGCUAAGGUUUUAUAAAACCAUUAAGUUUGUUAUACUGACGGUUUAAGUAUGUCCAGAACAAAUUGUCCAAAUCACAAGAAAGACUUGUAUAAUUUGGCACGGGAAAGUCCAAAUAAAGAAAAUGAUGCCAAAACUUAACAUAUCAAAUUUAUAUCCUUUAUUUGGUGAGUCUGCCUCAUGAUAACCCUGUAAAAUGUAAACAGCAAUUGCAUAGAAUUAAAAAUUGACAACUUUCCUACUCAGGAUUUUUUGUGUCACUGUUCGUCUGAUAUUUCUUGUUUUGAUUUGGUCUCUUAUGAACAAGUGGGAAUCAAUCAAACAGUGUUGAAAUGACAGUAUGAAGUUUAAAUGCUUAUACUAUCUAGUAGUAGCUCUCUUAUAGUUAUACUGAAUUUUUUAAACUGGAACAUAAAACUUGAAUGCACAGUAUGAUCUACAAUGCAUGAUUGCAUAUUCAAGUCGAAUAAAGGUCAUAAAUUUGCUCUGUAAAACUCAAAAUUCAGUCCUUACCAUCUCUUGUUUUGUUUGUUGCGGUUUCAAUAUUAGUUUCACUAGUAUCUCUCCCACACAUGCCAAGGUUAAAUUUACCUCCUUUGCUGGUUCCUCUUGAUCGAUCACCCACAUUUGAAAUAUAUAGAUGCAUAACAAAGUAAAAGAAAGAACAGAACACGAGAUGAAAUAAAAAUUAGUAUAUAUCCAUCACUCGAAGAUUGUUUCUCGAUGAACUUACCCCGUUGUCCAUAUAAACUCAAUAACACCAAGACACAUUACCAACAAAGUAAAGUUAUGCCUCAACUACUCUUUAUUAACCUGAUGACAAGGUUGUUAUACUAAGUUACAAACUUAUUGUUCAAUCAUUUAACAUGGUAUCACAAAAGGGUCUACCGUUCCUUUUGCCAUAUAAUCCCUAGUUCUUACCUCAGGGUUGUUGUGAAUCUCGGCUCCUUUCCCAGUGUCUGGGGGCAGAGGAAGGUAGAGAAUUAACUGUUCAUCCUCUUUUUGCACAAGAUCUCCUUGAAUACUAAGAGGAUUUGUUAGCUUUUGGUUGGUAAUAAGCCGUAGCAUUUCAAGACAAGAAUUCAAAACGUUGUUUAGCAUUUUUGUGACUCUGCCGAAAACCUUUUCCUCUUUUACUAAUUGUUGCAUUUGGUCCACAAUGGCCUCUUUCUGCGUUGCCGGAAUAGGAAAUGAACAAUGAUAUAUCAAAGUUAAUUCUAUUGAUCUAAAAUGUCUAAAUCCACCAUAGCUAAGUCCAAACCCAAGCAAAGGUUGCGCCCAAGCAAAUGAUGUGAACAUGUUGCCAGACAAAUCACAAUAGGUGAGCACUUUUGAGCCUCUAAAUUGGUUAGAUCAGAGCUCGAAAAGGUAUCUCAAAACCCACAUGACAAGCUCUCUUUGUCCAAAAAUAGCUCGAAAGAUUGCCAAUCAAAGUUCGUCUGGAAAGGUAUAAAUAACCCAACCUAAGUACACCCCCUUAACCCAAUGUUACUAUGAUGAGUUUUCUCCAAACCCUUUCUCAUCCAUAUAUCGAUAUAAGCAUUCGGGAACUGUAUUUUUAGGCAUUUCUCAAUUAGACUCCAAAAAAUCAAUAAAUGCCAUUAAUGAACACGUACACUUAAAAAAUUAAUAUCGAACCGAAUUUGUUUAGUUAAUUUGAUCAGUUAAUCAAAAUUUAUAUGUUUUUGUCUUUUAAUCAAAACAAGUAUAAAACAUAUAAAAAAAUAUAUUGAUAAUGUCCAUUGGUCUUGAAAGUUAAUUGACUUAAUCGGAAUUUUAAGUCUUGAAACACUACAUAAUUAUUAAAUUCGGUUAAUUAGCUGAUUUCGAAUCAAUUUAAUCGAAACCAAAAUUUCAAAAAAACAUUAACCGACUUUCGACCAAAUUAAAUUUGACCAUCAAUUGAUUAACCAAAUUAAUUCGAUUUUAAUCAAAGUUUCAACCCUAAUAAUCUCCGCCUCACUUCAAUGAAAUCCACCCAAGAGGCCUAUCCUGCUAAAACUCAUCUUUCUAAUGAGAGUAACUUCGUUAUAUAUCAUCUGUCACUUACGAUUAUACAUUAAAAAUUGGUUGGACUUUCAAUAAUAACUUAUUUAACGAGUUUAUAAUGGAUUUUUCACUGGAAAAUGUACUGCAAUAGUUGCUGGUGUACAUUUGUUUUUUUUUAUUUUGGUACUACUUUCUUUUGGAGCCAUAACUACACGAGUAACAACUUAAUAUCACAUACAUUAAAAAAACCAUUACUUAUGAAAAUUAUGCCAAUUCAACAAACGUCAAUUACGGUCUUUCGCGUAGAAGCUCGGGUUAUUCUUGAAGGUUUACGUAUUGCAUGGGAAAAAGGUUACAACAGUUGGAGAUUGAAUGCGACAAUACACUACUUGUAGAGUCCGUUCUUAUGGGUAGUGCUGCCAGUAGUAAUCUAGUUGAAUUACGUUUAAUCAAUGUUUACCUUAAGAGGAAUUGGAAUACAAAAAUCUGUCACAUUCCUAGAUCUCAGAAUAUGCCUACUGAUCGAAUAGCGAAAUGUACUUAUAAGAAUCUUUGUUUAAUUGAUUACCAUUGAAUACUUUAUCAGUUUUAAACAAAUUAUUCUUCGCAUCAACAAACCUUUUUCAAUAUAAAGUAAUUUUAAAAAUAAUGAUUAUAGAAUAAAGAUUUAUAUUUUUAUAAAAUUUUUGAAAUAAUUAUAUAUAUUUUUAAUUUUCAAAACAAAAAUUGUUUAAAAGAACAUUAUAUUUCUUUUCUUUUCUUUUUUAAACUACGUUGCUAAAAGAUUGUCCGACUCUCGUGAUUGAUUGAUAUAUAUAUAUAUAUACUUGUCGCAAAUUUAAGUAUUAAUUUUGCAUCGUAUAGGUAAAUAAAUAAAAUCUGUUUUUUUUUUAUCAAAUUAUUGUUUUGGUUAUUAUAUUCAAAUUUGAAGUUUAAUUUUUUUAAUUUGACAUAAAUUAACAUAUUUUUAUGUUGAAAUGAAAACUCUUUAAAGUAGUAUCUUCGACUCAUUAUGCUGGUAUGGUUUUGUUUUAUUUUAAAUGAGAAAUUAAUAUAAAAUAGACUUGUUUAUUGGCUGGACACUCGAUCCACCCAAAAAGUGGGAGGAUUUGGAAAAAAAUAUAAGCCUGAAAAAUGAGCUGAGGCAAAAAAAAAAAAAGUCCAUUUUAAUAACAGGUUGGGCAUUGGGUAAAGUUUUUUUGGACUGAACCCAACUUGACUCAAAUUAGCCAAAAGACAAAGAAAAAAAUGCUAUUUUCUUGUUGUUUUAUCACUAUUUUGCUAUCAUUUCACUAUUAUGUUAUUACUAUUUUUUUUGUUAUUUUUUAGAUAUUGUAUAACUCUUGUUUUAUAUUUAAAUUUGUUAUUACUUUAGAGACAUUUGCUUGUUAAGUUGCACUUAUCUUAACGCUAUUUAAGUAUAAAUAUUUUUUAAAAAAAUUUAUUUUCAAUUUUUUAGGAAACAUUUAUUUUAAUAUUUUUUAGUGUAUCUAGUGUAUUAUAUUUUUAAAGUUUUAUAUAAGAAAAAUUUUAAAAAUAAAAAGGGCAGAUCUGGACCGGACCUAAAUUGUAACAUUUUUAUCUAGGCCGAACUUAGGUAAAAAUUUAAACCCAUUUUUCGGGUCAGGCCAAACUCAAACAUAUCAAUCAAACCUAAAAUUUUGUUAGUGAAUACCCAACCAAUCAACAAAUCUAGUGUAAUCCCAUAGUGUUGACUACUUUUAUUGCCCUGAAAUUGGUUAGCCCAUGAAUUUAUUAUGUUGAAGCCCCUCUUUAAUUGAAAAUUUGAGGUUGAUAAAUCAUUAUUUAAUGUCUGAAUUUGAUAAUAAUUUUUUGUGUGGUACAACUUUGACCUUUACCUUCCUUAUUACUACCUCUGUUUACCACCAAUUUUUGGUCGCAACAUUAAGAAAAAACUCUAUUCAAAUAAUGAGCACCAAAUGGACCGUUUUCUAGUACCACUAUUUUUCACACCAAAUACGUUGGAAUUAUUCUCCUUCUCUUGUGUCCCUCUCAAUUCUCAUUUUCAAAUUUACUUUAGUGUACAAUAUACGUGAAUAUUUAAUAAUAAUAAUAUAGAUUAUAUGGAUCAAUUUUUAAUAAUAAUAAUGGAUGAAUUUUUUUAAUAAAAGAAUUAAUUUAUUCUUUGAUUUUAUCUACAAUGACUAAUUUAUUUAUUUUUUAAGUAAAAAGAAAAAUAUAGUCUAACUUAUAAUAUAAAAACCUUCAUGAUACUUGUUGAUAUUAGGUUGAAGAUGAUCUUUACGUGUUGUUUAUAUUACGUGUUGUGUUGACUAUAACGAAGAAGUUAAUUAAUACAUAUUGUAUUUGUCAAGCAAAAUUAAUAAUAUAAAAUAAGUAUCCCAAGUUGGUAGAUUUGAGAAAAAGGAACAUGGUCGACAUGAAUUUCUUCGGUGGAAGGAUUGACCCACCAUAGAUUGGGAACUGCCACUUGACUGCUACUAAUAUCUGCUUUUUCAUCCAUAUAUGUGUAUAUAUAUAUAUAUGCUGGAACCUUGUUAUUACAUAAAAAUACAGGACGACUUCAUUUUCUUCUUCAAUGGCAGUGUCAGAAAUCUCGCGAUGUAGUUAUCAUGUAUUCUUGAGUUUUAGAGGUGAAGAUACGCGCAGAAGUUUCACGGAUCAUCUUCACACAGCUUUGAUGCACUUAGGAAUUCAAACAUUUAGAGAUGAUGAGGAAAUCGAGAGAGGGAAUAACAUAAAAGAUGAAAUUGAAAAAGCAAUACUACACCACUCCAAAAUUUCUAUCGUUGUUUUCUCAAAGAAUUAUGCUGUAUCCACAUGGUGUCUUAACGAACUUGUAAUGAUAUUGGAGCACAAGAAAUCCUCUAAACACAUUGUGUUGCCAGUUUUCUAUGAUGUGGAUCCGAGUCAAGUCAAGAACCAGACGGGAAGUUAUGCAGAAGCAUUUACCCAACAUGAACAAAACUUCAAGUCCAUGGUACAAAGAUGGAGGAAUGCUUUAAAAGAAGUUGCAGAUAUAGGAGGCAUGGUUCUACAAGACAGGUAUGUUAUACACAUAAUCAAGUUCCAUAUGGUUACUUCAAUCCUUUUCAUUAAGACUUGAUAGAUAGAGUAGAAAGAAAAUUAAUAGAAAAUAUUGUUAGGUAACGUUUGGAGAUUAAAAUGGCUACUUCAAUCCAUUUUAAAGGGUUAAAUAUAACUCAGAUUUUAAAUUAUUUCUCAAACACUAACAUGUUUUAAUUGAGUCAUUAAAAUAUUAGUAUUGUAUCAAUAAGGUCUUUUUAUCAAACAAGUAAUCAGUUUAAGCAUUAAAUGUAAAUAACAUGAAUUUAUUAAACUUUCACAAAGAGAAAGUUGAAAUUUGAGUAUAGGUUGUUUCUUAAAUGAAUUUCAUUAAUUUUUAUGUUGCUUUAUUUGAUUUGAUUUGAUUUUGAAUGUAAUAAUUCUAUCAUAUAUGUUGAAAUGUUACAUUAGUUGCUUAUUUUUAUUAGAACAUAUAAUCUCAUAAAGACAAUUAAAAUAUAUGCAAGAAAAGAGAAAAUACAUUAAUAACUUUUACUUAAUUUUCAAGAUUUUAGCAUUGAGUUGUAUUUUUUAAAUUUGCAGGCAUGAAUCACAAUUUAUUCAAGAUAUUGUUAAAGAAGUUCAAAAUAAACUUCAUCCUAUUUCUUUGUAUGUCCCUCCUUAUUUAGUUGGAAUAGAUUCUAUCGUGACACAAAUUAAUCAAUGGUUAGAACAAGAUGGAGCAAAUAAAGUUGGCAUUGCAACUAUUUGUGGCAUUGGAGGCAUUGGGAAGACAACCAUUGCCAAAGUUGUUUACAAUCAAAACAUCUCGAGGUUUGAAAGUUUUAGCUUCCUUGCUCAAGUUAGAGAAACAAGUCAAGAUUGUAAUGGCUUAGUUCGUUUGCAAAGACAACUUAUUUCAGAUCUCCUUAAAGGAAAAUCGCAUAAAAUAUACAAUAUAGAUAAUGGAAUUAACAAGAUCAAAGAAAUUGUAUGUUGUAGAAGAGUUCUUCUUGUUCUUGAUGAUGUUGAUGAAUUGGAAAAAAUAAGAAAAUUAAUGGGAACUCAAAUUCCUUUUCAUCCGGGAAGUAAAAUCAUCAUAACUAGUAGAAACCGAUGCCUAUUGAAUGCACAUUUUAUAAGCCAAAUGUUUGAUUUGGAAGCAUCAACUAGCUGUGGAGGCUUAAGCAAGCUAUUUGAAGUAAAAGAAUUAGCUUCAAGUGAAUCGCUACAACUUUUUAAUUNNNNNNNNNNNNNNNNNNNNNNNNNNNNNNNNNNNNNNNNNNNNNNNNNNNNNNNNNNNNNNNNNNNNNNNNNNNNNNNNNNNNNNNNNNNNNNNNNNNNGGGCUCUUCAUUAUCUAGCAAAAGUGUGAGUUCUUGGAAAAGUGCAUUGGAGAAAUUAGAAGAAAUCCCUGACAGCAAAAUUCAAAAGAUUCUAAGAAUAAGCUAUGAUUCUUUGGAAGACGAUCAUGACAAAAAUUUAUUCCUUGACAUAGUUUGUUUAUUCAUUGGGAAGGAUAGAGAUUACACGACUACAAUUCUAGAUAGUUGUGAUUUCUAUACAACAAUUGGAAUUGAAAAUCUAGUAGGCAGGUCUCUUUUAAUCAUUAAUGAAAAAAACAAGCUAAUGAUGCACCAAAUGAUUAGAGAUAUGGGACGAGAAAUUAUUCGUCAAGAAUCUUCUGAUAUUGAGAAACGAAGCAGAGUGUGGCAUAAGAACGCAUUUGAUGUAAUAAGAGAAAAAAUUGUAAGAAACAUCAUUUUACUCAACUUUUUUCUUGUAUGCAUGUAAACUACUUUUUUUUUUUAUCAAAUUUCUUUUUAUUUUUUAAAAAAGGUUUUCUGAUGCAGGGUUCCAAAACAGUUAAGUGCCUCACACUUGACCUAAAAGGAUUGCUAGAAGACAAGGCUAAAAGGACAAAUACAACUCUACACUUUCCAAAGCAUUCCAAAAGUCAGUUUCUCAUGGCAAAUGAUGUUGAUAUGGAAACUCAAGCAUUUGCAAAGAUGAAGAGACUUAAACUGCUUCAACUGGAUUAUGUAAAACUUAAAGGAGACUUCAAAGACUUUCCCAAAAGAUUAAGAUGGUUACGUUGGCAUGGGUUUUGUAUGCAAUCUUUUCCGGUGGAUUUCGAUAUCAAUGAACUAGUUGUUCUCGACAUGCGCAACAGUAAACUUAAACAAGUUUGGAAGGAUACAGAGGUAUGAUAUAUACUAAUUUUCCUUCUUUUUGUGUGUAUGUGUGUAACAAUAAUAUAUAAAUGAAGGGUUUUCUUUUUUUGCAGUGCCUCCCAAAUUUAAAGAUCCUUAAUCUCAACCAUUCACAUAGCCUUCUUAAAACCCCAAGCUUUUCAGGACUCCCUAGCCUUGAGAAGUUGAUGCUCAAAGAUUGCAUAAAUUUGGUAGAAGUUGAUCAAUCCAUUGGUGAGCUAAAGAUGCUUACUUUCUUGAACCUAAAAGAUUGCACAAGUCUUAGGAAACUUCCAAGGACAAUUGGUUCAUUAAUAUCACUUGCAGAGCUUAUUUUAUCUGGUUGUUCAAGACUUGAUGAUGUCCCCAGGGAGUUGCAUAAUAUGAAAUCAUUGAAGGUGCUUAAUUUAGAUGAAACUUCCAUAUGUCAAACAAGAUUGGGAUUACAUUGGCUCUUACCGAAAAGAAGUAAAGAAUUGGGUUUCUCUUGGGCAUCUCUACCGUGCUCUUUGGUAAAAUUAAGCCUUGAAAGUUGCAAAUUAUCUGAUGAUGUCAUGCCCAAUGAUCUUUAUAACUUAGCUUCAUUGAAAUCCUUAAAUUUUAGUAGAAACCCAAUUCAUUGCCAUCCCGAAAGCAUAAAAAAACUUACAAAACUUGAUGAACUUCUAUUGACUUCUUGCACUGAACUCCAAAUAAUUCCAAAGCUUCCAGUCUUGCCCAAUGUUUUUGAGUUCUUGACAAUAUCUCCAUUUAAAGGAUAUUGGGCAAUUCUUCCAUGCUUCUUUUCUUCCACACGAUGUGUUAUUUUUGGAUGUGAAAAAUUGACUGAAGUUGAAGAUCUAUUCAAGUUGGGACCAAUUGAAAACUUUGAAGAAGAAGAGAUUAGAAGAUUAUUCAACCUGGAUUCCAUUAGCAGAAAUCGACUGCAACUUUAUAGCUACCUAACAGACAGCAUAAUGCUUGCUACCCCACAGGUUCUCCAACUUAAAUUUUAACUUUAUUUUUUUCUCUUACAUUACUUAAUGAACACAUUCGUAAUCAUCUAACAUGUUUUUUUUGGAUCAGGUCUUGCAGGAAUGUGGUAUAACAAGUACUUUUGUUGUGGGAAGUGAAGUUCCUAUUGUGUUUAAGCAUCGCACUAACGAGCACCGAAUCUCUUUUUCUUUGCCAACACCAUCUCAUCCAGAUGAAAAGAUCCAUCGGUUCAGCUUAUGCAUUGUUUUCUCUUUAGCUAGUGAUCAAAUAUUGGAGUUUCUACCAAGUGUCCACAUUUUCAAUGAGACCAAAAGGAUCAUGCAGAGAUAUCGCUCAAGUUUCAUCGGAAUUCCUGAGACUAACGAUAACACAAUGUUGUGGUUGAUCCAUUGGCCAGUAACGGAUUGUGAGUUUGAAGGUGGUGACCUUGUGAGUUGCAUGGUAGUGCCUGUUCAUCUCAGCAUAAGAAAAUUUGACGUUACUUAUGAAUCACAACACAAAGUUAGAUAUAAAUAUGGCUUUUCCCACGUAUCUACAGGUAUGACUAUGACUUCAAAUGAUUAUGUUUAUGGAAUAUUAACCCAUGCACUAUUAACACUUACUAAACUAAAGAUAUAUCCUUAUUGAAAUAAUAAUUUUUUUGACAAAGGAAAUAAUAAAUUAUAUGAAUAUUUAAUGUGUUUUCAGUGACAAGAUUAUAUAUUAGUGAAUACAUCCUAUUAUUUUUUUAAUGUUUCCUUUUAGAUGUCAAUAACAAAUGUUUAAGAAAUGAUAAAUGUUGCAAUUGGGAUCUAAUUAAAAUAAUUUAAUUGUUUGAUAAAUGAUUAAUUUACAAGUCUUAUAACACAUUUUAACAUUUUAGUGAUAAUAAUAUUAGUUUUUAAUUUUUUUUCAUAUAAUAUUAAGAGGAAGGAAUGGGGUCACACGGUUUGAAUCUGUGUCAAAUAGGUGUCUGACAAAAGAUUUAACCAUCAGUGUAUUCAAGUUAAGACUACUAUUUUAAUAUUCUAAUAGGCAUACUACAAUUGAUAAAUAACACAUUAUUGUACAUAUUUUAGGAAAUGAAGUUACCACAAGAAAUAUGAUGAUGGACCUGACUAAAGACUUACCCAGUUUGGAAUCUUAUGGAAAUGUUAAAGUGCAACUUUGCAAUUUUAUAGAAGAAUCAAAAGUGGUUGCUUCCCCACAGGUUCCCUUUACAAGUUUCAACUUUUAAAAAAUAUUUAUAUAAUAUUUUUUAAAAUUUUAUUCUAUAACCCAAUGCUACAGGUAUUAUACGAUUACGGCAUAAUUACAACAUUUGAUACAUUUCCAUUUGAUUACAUUGGCCACUACCAUGGCCUUCAAGCUGGCAAGACUGAGGUUUCAAUAUCAGUGCCCCCAAACUCUAGUCGAAAGAUAAGUUGCUUCUUAAAUUCGAUUAUCAUUUUUUCUGCCAAGAAUGAUAAAACAUAUGGAUUUUUACCAUGCCUUGAAAUUGUGAACGAGACCAAAGGUACAAAGUGGACCUACUCCAAACAUUUCAUGGGAAUUCCUGAAACCAAGAAUACCUUAUACUGGACGACUUGUUGGAACUUUAGGGGUGAUGAACUAGAAGCUGGUGAUCAUAUUAGUCUUCGGGUUCUUUCAAAUUUAUCUGUACUAGAAUUUGGGAUUGACCUUGUAUAUGAUUAUGAGCUAGAUGACAACUCAAAUUUUUUCAGUCAGUUGCCAUGGAUGAGUAAAUGUUUUAAGUAUCUUUUCGGGACUUUUGUUCUUAUUUCGUCAAAAGCCCAAAAAAACUUGUAUAGGUUGCAAAGUUUAGUCAAAUGCUGAUUAUCGUAGGAUUGAAAUGGAGCAAAUGAAUAUUUUGGUUUAGUCAUUGCCGCCUUGGCUUGGCUGAUUUCAUCUUAUAUUUAAUCUCUUAUUCUUUUAUGUAUGCUAUCGAUAUUGAUUUUUGCUCAAGUUCUUCAAUGAAGCACCUUGUUCUUGGUAAUUCAAUUAACUUGUGCUUUUAAUCAGAUGUCGGAGUUAUUUUAGUAGACUUAAUUGAUUUUGUAUAUAUGGAAGUAAAGUAAAUGUGAGCUUAGCUCGCUUUCAGGGAAGAGUAGUGUACCAAAAGAAAGUUGAAAAUGGUAAGCUAGGAGGUGAUGAUCGUAGAGAUGAAAUAUUAGAAGGAGAAAACGAGAAAAAGCAUUCUUGGGAGAUGAUUUGAUUACCAUUUGUGGAACACUAAUUCCUAUAACUACGUGGGCUUGUUCAUAAGACUUCUCUUAGAAUCUCGAACAAAUAUCAGUUGAUUGUUCUGGUUUAAAUAUUUAAUUUUUAAGAGAAUAUAUUAUUACUUUAUUCUACCCUCUCGAAGAUUUAUAUCAAGUCCAAACUGUUGCGAGUUGAUAGCCAUGAUGGAAAUCAAUUUUGAGCAAUUUUUUGAAGGAGCUGAAAUAAAAUUGUAUAUUUUUAUAAUAGUAAAAGUAAAAUUUCACCAUUUUAAUAGUCUAUAUAUUUAUAAUUUUUAAAAAAUUAAAUCAAAAUUUUCUCAUUCUUUUACUUGAACUGUUUCACUCAACAUAAUAAAUUCGUGCGCUAAUCGAUUUCACGGCAUUUAAAGUAGUGAAGACGAUGGGAUAAGGCUAAUGUUGAUAUGGGAUCUGAAAAAGCAGGUAAGAGUAGUAGACUAUGAAAAGUCAUAAUAUAUUAUAAACAUUUCUUACGUUACAUUUCAACCACCUCUUUAAUUCCACCAGAAUCCGGUACUACUCGCUCUUGAGUGCUAACACUCUCCUCGUUACGGCCCUCCAACUUUUUCCUCCACAAUAUUUUAAGAAAAACUCAAUUCAAAUAAUAUUUUUAUAUUUGAGGUUUAUGAUUAUUUCUCUUAAUAAUGUUGUCUUUAAAAUUCAGAUAUCUAUUUCUCUUGAAAAUACAAUACCUUAAUUAUUCAAAUAAUAGUCUUAACAGAAAGAUUAAGCACCAAAUAUUCUAUAAAUACUAACAAGCUAAUGGUCUAAAGUCUAGAUUGAGUAGCACUAUUAUCCAAAUUCCGAAACAUAGUGCAACAAAUCAAUUCUUUCCCGGCGACCAAAUGACGUUUAUUAUAUAUAUAGAACUCUACAACCUAGUGCUACUAAUUAUCAAUUUUAUUGUUGUGACUCCAUAAACUAAAAUUUAGUUGAUCCCUUGACUCAAGAGUGUAAUUAUUCGAAUAGGGAUUAUAUCUCUUUUACAGUGGUACACUAAUUCGUCUUAUUAUAUGGGUUUAUUUAUAAGAGUUCUCUUAAAUAUUUAUGUCAAAUCCAAAUUGUUGUGAAUUCUUUUAACAUUUCAAGGAGUUUUGUCCAUAAGUAAAAGUCUUUGGUAAAAGUAUUAGAUAAUAAGUAAUUGAUAAAAAAUUUCAUUCUAAAGGCAACUAGCAAAGAGCUGUUUAAUAUUUUUCAACAUUCAUGAAGGGUUUUUAUGUACUUUUAUUGAAUGGAAUAGAAUUUUUUUUUCCUAAUAAAUGAACCACGAGAAGCAAAAUGUUUUCCAAGGAAUAUUCUUACCAUAUCUAUUUAAUAUGUAAUUCGCAACUUGUUCUUGAAAGGAAAACCAUAAUAAUUUUCCUAGAAUCUCUAUUUGGAAACUUGGAAGUCUUUUAAAUCAACCGAAUCAUCUUACUCGAAUACUUUAUCAACUUUAUACAAAUUAUUCUUUGCAUCACUAAAUAUUGUUCAUGACCUUGCACCCACUUUCAUGCAGAAUUAUUUCUCCCAUGCAGGGAAUGGUCUCCAUGAAUUAUUGCCAUAUUUCCAUUUAGGAUUAGUAAAUUUCAAUAACUUUUUUGGUGGACGUGAUAUCUAUUUUGAUGAUAUGACAUGGUUUGUUUUGAUCCAAAAAAGACGAUGAAUGACAUGAAAUUGAACUAUGAUUUUAAAGAAGGGACUUGAGUUUAUAUAUGAUUAUAUAGGCGGUAAUUCAAUUUUCCUUUCCUUGUUGGAAAAGGAAUUCCAUUUUGACUUUAAUUGUAAUUUUUAAGUUGUUGUUUUCUUAUUGUUAAUUAUUUAAAAAAUAAUCGCAUUUUAACUUGCAAACUUAAAUAUUAAACUAUUAUCUUUAUGUUUACUUUUUAAUGAUAAUUAACAAAAAUAUUUGGUUUUAAAAUUUUAAUACAAUCAAUGAAACACAAUUCACACACAUGAAUAAUAAAAUUUGACGUGAUUAAAUAAAUAUUGAAUUUUGUUAUAUUUUUAAUAAUAAAUAUAGGUAAAAUGGUAAUAAAUUGGGAUUUUAAUGUCAUUUAAAACGUGUCAAAUAAAUAUUAGAUUAGAUAUUCAAUAUUAAAAAUUAAUAUAUAUUAAUUGAAUUAUAAACGAGUUUAGAAAUUCAAAAUUGUAAAAAUUAAUAUAUAUUGAAUUAAAUGACUACCAUACAUAAUCUUAUUCGAAUAAUAAUAAUGAAAAAUAAAACUGAGUAUUUAAGACAAUUUCGUUGUAUUUGUUUGUUCUAUGAUCCAACUAUGGUAGGUAAGCGUGAUGUAGGUUCAUCGUACUCCCAUCCAGUGGCUUUAAUUUGCUCUAAUGGAAUCGAAAACGAAUCAAUCCUUUUAACAUCGGAAAUCGACUUUAUUUUCAAAAAAAGUUUUGGGUCGAUUUUGGAGUUCCAAUCAAUAUCAUCGAUAUACAUAUCUGCUGCAUUACUUGGCAACUUAUUUGUGCAAGGAAAACGAUGAUAAUAUUCCCAGAAUCUCUGUUUGGCUUUCUGGAAAGCUUUUAAACCAGUUGAAUCAUCCCAUUCGAAUACUUUAUCGGUUUUGAACAAAUUAUUCUUUGAUUCAACAAAUUUUUUCCAUGGCAUUGCACCCACUUUUAUGCAGAAUUUUUUCUCCCAUGCAAAUAAUGGUUCACAUGAAUUACCGUUAUCAUUCAGUUUGGGUCGAGUAAAUUUCAGACUGUAGUACCUUUCUCGACGAUUAUGAUAUCUUCUUUGAUAAUAUGACAUGAUUUCUUGUAAUCCAAACAAAUAAAUGAAUUGAAAUCGCUAAUGAUAUCAAUUUACAGUGAGGAGACUCGUUGGGUUUAUAUAAUAUUAUUAGAGUCAGUGGUGACUCAAUCCUUUUCCUUGUUGGAAAAGGAAUUCCAAUUUCAGUUUGAUUAUGAUUUCUAUUUUCUAAAUAUUUGUAUAAUAAAAUUAUUAAAAAAAAUAACUAUAUCUGUAUUGAUAAUAUUUUCUUAUUAAAUGGGUUUUAUGAGUUAAAUAACAAUCAAACCAAGACUGGGAGACUGAACUGCAUCAGGUCUUAGGGGUGAUCCAUCGCUUCAACCACUAUCCACCAUCUACAUCCUUCCCCUGUAUAAACUCUGUUAAAUAUAUACAGAGAGAGAGAGAGACAAACAAAUUAUAACGAUAGUAAAAAAAAUCAAAACUAAAAUAUAAGCAUUUUUCUUAUAAGGUGAAAAGAAAUAAUGGACUUGAGUACUUGAAAGAACUAACCGACCUAAGUUUAUAAAUUAUUAUUUAGUACAAUGAUUCGAACUCAAUUGCUUUUAAGAAAAAUUAACACUCGACCAAUAUAUUACAAUAUGAGUUGUUAUUAUGAUUUAAUGUAACAUUCAAUCAAUAAAAGAUAACCAAUUCCUGAACGCUACCUAACAAUAUUUUCUUUGCCAAAUACUUUAUCAGUCUUAAACAAAUUAUUCUUUGCAUCAACAAAUCUUUUUCAUUUAUCAGUCUUAAACAAAUUAUUCUUCGCAUCAACAAUUUUUUUCCAUGACAUUGCACCCACUUUGAUGCAUAUUUUUUUCUCCCUUGCGGGUAAUAAUUUCCAUAAAUUACUGUCUUUAGGUUUGAGAUGAAUAAACUUCUGUAUGCAGUAAUUUUCUUGACGAUUAUAAUACGAGAAAUAUGAAUUUAAAGUGAAGGGACUUUCCUUGUUGUGAAAGGAAUUUCAGUAACUAUUUGUAAAAUAAAAUUAUUAAAAAAUAAUUAUAUCUAUAUUGAUAAUAUUUUUUUAUUAAAUGGGUUUUAUUAGUUAAAUAACUUUAUUAAUUAGUUGAAUAGCAAUCAAACUCAACUUUAAAAUUUUAAAAGUAAUAUUACUGAAUAAAGAAUUAUAACUUAGUAACAACAUUCUAUUUGAACAUUGCAACAGUAAUUCAGUUUGAAAAUUGCAACAGUAAUUUAGUGAAAUUGACUAAAAAGAUUACUCUAUCUUCUUCCAAGUUGCAUCUUUCAAUCCAACCAAUUGGAAGCAUCAACACCAUAGAAUCAUAUAAGAAAAUCUACAAACUACGGUGCGACACCAUAGAAUCAUAUAAUUAAGAACAUCUACAAACUAUGUAGACACGGCUUCUUCACACAUUAGAUUUACCCUUAUGAAAUAGAAUAGGAGAACCCUCUGACUUGGUCAAUCAUAGCCCCUGUACUGUUCAACUUCCCAAAUCUAAGAAUAGUACCAUCCACGGGACUGACUUGUUAUUUAACAGAACACACUCUUAGCAAUACUUCAGAGUGACAUUAAUGAAAAUAUUAACAUGUCCAACAUGUUCGUAACCAGUUUCCAGACUAUAGGCAUUAGGUUGAGAGGCCUGUAACCUUCUUUCAAUGUGAAAAGUGACUUUUAUUAUACAAGAUGCAUCUUCUUCAAAAGAGAGAGCUGCUACUUCUAGGUCUUAAAUGCAAACCAAAAUACCACAUCAUAAGUUAUUCUUCAUUUUCAGUUGACUGUGCAUUCAUCCCAUCAAUCGAAAAAAGCGAUCUAAAGUUAUUCUUCAUGAUAAACAUACUUGAGUGGAAAGCACAAGCCCAUGCUUUAUGAAAUUUGUUUUCACAAGGAAAACAUGAUAAAUUUUCUAGAAUUUUUAUUUGACUUCCUGAAAAGCUGUUAAACCGGCUAAAUCAUUUCACUUGAACACUUUGUCAUUUUCAUACAAAUUCUUAUUUGUUUCAACAAAUCUUUCCCAUGGCAUUGCACUCCUUUCUAUGUAGAAGUUUUUCUCCCAUGCAAGCAAUGGUUUGGGUUUGGGAUGAGUGGUCCUUUGUUGUGAAAAUAACGAAUAGAAAUAUCAUUUAUAGAAAUGCCAAAUAGAUAUAUCUUUCUAUAAAAUAUAAUGCAUCUUGUAAUAAAAUAUCCUUUCAUAAGGUUAUAUUAUUUUAUAAAAUAAUUUUAUAUAAAAUUAUGUAUUUAUAUAAAAAUUUUAUGUACAUCUACACAACAUUAUUAUUCAUUAAUCAAUAAGUGUAAUAUACAUUUUUUCUAGAUAAUAAAAAGCGACCGCCAAAUGAUUUUAUUUUUUCAAUCGAAUUUUUGUUUUAGUCAUUUUAUUCAAAUUUGAAGUUUAUUUUUUUUAAUUUGAUAUAAAUUAACAUAGUUAAAUAUUCUUGUGCUAAUGUGAAAACUCUUUAAACUAUUAUUUUCGAUUCAUUAUGUUACUAGGGUUUUUUAUUUUAUUUUAAAUGAGAAAUUGAUAUAAAAUCCCAUUAAACUUUAAAAUUGGACUGAUUUUUUAAAAAAGUUAAAUUAUAUGUUUAACUGUGAACAAAAUAUGUUUAGCAAAAUAUGUUUAACAUGCAUUAAAAGGCAUCGUGGUUCAUUGGUUUCUAGAUGCGAACAAAUUAUGUGGCUUUAUAACUUCUGAGAAAAGUUUUGAGUCGAUUUCAAGAUUCCUAUCAAUAUCAUUGAUAUAUAAAUCAACUGCAUUACUUCUUACAAGGAAAGCCAUGAUAAUUUUUCGAGAAUUUUUGUUUGACUGAUUGCCACUGAAUACUUUAUCAGUUUUAAAUAAAUUAUUCUUUGCAUCAACAAACCUUUUUCAAUAUAAAGUAAUUUUAAAAAUAAUGAUUAUAGAGUAAAGAAUUAUUUUUUUUAUAAAUUUUUUGAAAUAAUUAGAUAAACAUAAAGAUGCAUUAUAUAUAUAAUAAAGAUAAAGAUAAAGAUAAACAUGAUUAAUUUUACCUUUAUUUUAAAGUAUAGCUUUUAUUAUCCAUUAAAUUAAAUAUAAAAUUAAUUUUACCUUUACCUUAAAUAUUUAAUUAGAUAAACAGAAAUUAUAGAAGUCCUUUUUGUCAUAGACCUUCAACUUGAUAACAUAUAAUUGUAACAACAAUUCAGUGAAAUUUGACUAAAAAUUGCGAAAUUGACUAAAAAAUGCAUCUAUAGAUACAAAUAAUCUCCAAUUCAACAUUUAUCAUUCAUUAAUUAAUAAGUAUAAUGUACUUGAUUUUUUGUAGAUAAUAAAAAACGUUUGAAAUUAUUUCACAAUAUAAUUUUUGUUUAUUAAGAUUUUAUUUUGUUUUUUCAUCUUUUCAGAUGUCAUAUGAUAUAAUCAUUUUAGCCCUAGCAUAGGUAAAUAAAUAAAAUUUAUUUUUUAUCAAAUUAUUGUUUUAAUAUUUAUAUUUAAAUUUGAAGUUUAAUUUUUCUAAAUUUGACAUAAAUUAACAUAGUUAACUAUUUUUGUGUUGAAAUGAAAACUCUUUAAAGUAGUAUUUUCGAUUCAUUAUGGUUUUUUUUAUUUUAAAUGAGAAAUGAAUAUAAAAUAUACCUAUUCAUUGGUUGGGCCACCCGACCCACCCAAAAAGCACGAGAGUUUGGGCAAAAACAUAAGUCCGAAAAAUGGGCUUAGGCAAAAAAACUAAAAGGGUCUAUUUUAAUAACGGGCUGGGCAUUGAGUAAGGUUUUUUUAGCCCAGACCCAACCCGACCCAAAUUAGCAAAAAGACAAAUAAAAAUUGCUUCUCUUGUGUUUUCUCACUAUUUUGCUAUCAUUUUACUAUUAUGUUAUUACUACUUUUUUUGUUAUUGUUUAGAUAUUGCAUAACUCUUGUUUUAUAUUUAAUUUUGUUAUUAUUUUAGAGAAAUUUGCUUGUUAAGUUGCAGUUAUCUUAAUGCUAUUUAAGUAUAAAGACUUUUUUUUAACUUAUUUUCAAUAUAUUAAGAAAUAUUUAUUUUAAUAUUUUUAGUGUAUUUGGUGUAUUAUAUUUUUUAAAUUUUUAUAAAAAAUAAACUUUAAAAAAGUCAGACCUAGGUUAUAGCAUUUUUAUCUGUGCAGAACUUAAGUAAAAAUUUAAACCUUUUUUUAGAUCAAACCAAACUUGAACAUAUCAAUCGAACAUAAAAUUUUGUUAGGAAUUGACCCGACAAACCAAAUAUUCCUAUCCCAUCGUCUUCAUUACUUUUAUUGCCCCGAAAUUGGUUAGCCCAUGAAUUUAUUAUGUUGAAGCCCCUCUUUAAUUGCAAAUUUGAGGUUGAUAAAAUCAUUAUUUAAUGUCUGAAUUUGAUAAUAUUUUUUUGUAUUGUUCAACUUUGACCUUUAACUUCCUUAUUACCACUUCUGUUUACCACCAAUUUUUGGUCGCAAACCAAAUGGACCGUUUUCUAGUACCAUUAUUUUCACACCAACUACUUUGGAAUGAGUCUCCUUCUCUUGCGUCCCUCUCAAUUCUCAUUUUCAAAUUUACUUUAGUGUAUUUUUUUUUAAUUUAAAAAAAAUUAUUUACUUUAAAUAAGACAAACAAAUCAAAUAAAAAAUUGACGAUUUGAUCAAUUUAAUCGCUAACUUUUUUUGAAAAACAAUUGGUUAAUAAUACUUUAUUCAUGCAGAGGUACUAAAAUUGUCUUUUUAUUAUACUGAAUUGAGAUGUGUUGUGGUCGUAGUUUAAUUAUUGAGUGUUAUCCAUCAAGGUAUUAGCUGAUAAAAGUAUCAUGGAGGCUCUAAUAUUGAGAGUCAAAUUGUAUUUAACUCCUUUUAUUAAAAGAGUAAGUUAAUCCAUGUACAUUAGAUAGAAGAGUAAAUUGAUCAUUUUUAUUAAAAUGAUUCAUCUUUUUUUGUUGUUAAAAACUAACGUGGUUGGCAAAAUAAUCAGGCAAUACCUUAUGUUGAUUACAUGGAUCAAUUUUUAAUAAUAAUGGAUGAAAUUUUUUAAUAAAAGAACUAGUUUACUCUUUAAUCGGACCUACAAAGACUAAUUUAUUUAUUUUUUUAAGUAGAAAAUAUAAAAUACAAUCUGACCAAGAAUACAAGAAGAUACUUUUACUGAUAUUAUUAGGUUGAAGAUGAUGCUUCCGUGUUGUAUUGACGAUAACGAUGAAGUUAAUCAAUACAUUGUAUUUGUCAAGCAAAAUUAAUAAUAUAAGAAAAGUAUUCCAAUUUGGUAGAUUUAAAAAAAAGGAACAUGGUCGACAUGAAUUUCUUCGGUGGAAGGAUUGACCCACCAUAGAUUGGGAACUGCCACUUGACUGCUACUAAUAUCUGCAUUUCCAUCUAUAUAUGUAUGUAUAUAUAUAUAUAUAUAUAUAUAUGCUGGAACCUUGUUAUUACAUAAAAAUACAGGACGACUUCAUUUUCUUCUUCAAUGGCAGUGUCAGAAAUCUCGCGAUGUACUUAUCAUGUAUUCUUGAGUUUUAGAGGUGAAGAUACGCGCAAAAGUUUCACGGAUCAUCUUUACACAGCUUUGGUGCACUUAGGAAUUCGAACAUUUAGAGAUGAUGAGGAAAUCGAGAGAGGGAAUAACAUAAAAGAUGAAAUUGAAAAAGCAAUACUACACCACUCCAAAAUUUCUAUCGUUGUUUUCUCAAAGAAUUAUGCUGCAUCCACAUGGUGUCUUAACGAACUUGUAAUGAUAUUGGAGCACAAGAAAUCCUCUAAACAUAUUGUGUUGCCAGUUUUCUAUGAUGUGGAUCCCAGUCAAGUCAAGAACCCGACGGGAAGUUAUGCAGAAGCAUUUACCCAACAUGAACAAAACUUCGAGUCCAUGGUACAAAGAUGGAGGAAUGCUUUAAAAGAAGUUGCGGAUAUAGGAGGCAUGGUUCUACAAGACAGGUACGUUAUACACAUAAUCAGGUUCCAUAUGGUUACUUCAAUCCUUUUCAUUAAGACUUGAUAGAGUAGAAAUAAAAUUAAUAGAAAAUAUUGUUAGGUAGCGUUUGGAAAUUAAAAUGGUUACUUCAAUCCAUUUUAAAGGGUUAAUUAUAAUUCAGAUUUUAAAUUAUUUCUCAAAUAUUAAAAUGUUUUAAUUGAUUUAUUAAAGUAUUAGUAUUGUAUCAACAAGGUCUUUCUAUCAAACAAAUCAUCACCUUAAGCAUUAAAUGUUAGCUCGAAUCUAAUGUGGGAUGUUUUUAGAACACAUAGAUCAAGUUUUAAAUACGUUUGCACCUAUCACAUGAACAACUUGGAUUUGACGAGUUGAAAACAAAAAAAAAAGAAACUCUUGAAUUUAAUGACACUAUUUUUGAUUUUCUAAGAUGUCAUUGUUGGUAAUGCAAAAGAAUAUUUUGAAUUGUGGAAAAUCCUCUAACCGUUGCAGAAAACAUUUUUAGAAUAUUUUCAGUUAGGAAAAUCCUUUGCUAUUUUUGGAAACUAAAACUAUUAUUUUACCAUUUUGCCCAUCAAAAAAUAGUAUAAAUAGGAGGCGGUUCUCCCACCUAACACAACAAGAGAAAAACAACUUCGCUAUGUUCUCUAAAUUCUAGUGUUCUGCAAAAUUACACGAGAUGGAAAUUUUGUCUAAGAGAUUAGGUUUUAAGCGGGACUGUUUGUGACCCCUUUAAUCUUUCUUGGGAAUUGAAUUUUUUUUUUCCGGGAAGAGUAAUGUCAAUCGUGUUCCACCUUCUUUAUUCGGGUGUAUGAAUAUUGGAGUAUUGUGUUGGGGGGUAACGUCCACUACACGAUUACAUCGGUCAAGGCGAAUUUAUCUCUACUGCAGUGGUUCUUCCACGACACAAUGAUUCUUAUUUUAUUUACAUUCAGUUUGGUCUCCUGUAACAAUUCUAUUUUGCAGUACUAUAUUUCCAACAAUCAUAUCCAAGUUAUUCGUGUAAUAGGUCUACACAUAUUCAAAAUGUUACAAUGAAUAAAAUAUAUAUAUAAAUUCAUGUAAAUAACAUGAAUUUAUUAAACUUUCACAAAGUGAAAGUUGAAAUUUUGAGUAUAGGUUGUUUCUCGAACGAAUUUCAUUAAUUUUUAUGUUGUUUUAUUUGAUUUGAUUUUAAAUGUAAUAAUUCUAUCGAAAUGUUGCAUUAGUUUCUUAUUUUUACUUUAACAUAUAAUCUCAUAAAAACAAUCAAAAUAUAUGCAAGAACAGAGAAAAAACAUUAGUAACAUUUACAUAAUUUCCAAGAUUUUACCAUUGAUCAGUUGUAUUUUUCAAAUUUGCAGGCAUGAAUCACAAUUCAUCCAAGAUAUUGUUAAAGAAGUUCAAAAUAAACUUAAUCUUAUUUCUUUGUAUGUCCCUCCUUAUUUAGUUGGAAUAGAUUCUCUCGUGACACAAAUUAAUCAAUUGUUAGAACAAGAUGGAGCAAAUAAAGUUGGCAUUGCAACUAUUUGUUGGCAUUGCAACUAUUUGUGGCAUUGGAGGCAUUAGGAAGACAACCAUUGCCAAAGUUGUUUACAAUCAAAACAUCCCGAGGUUUGAAGGUUAUAGUUUCCUUGCUGAUGUUAGAGAAACAAGUCAAGAUUGCAAUGGUUUAGUCCGUUUGCAAAGGCAACUUAUUUCAGAUAUCCUUAAAGGAAAAUCACAUAAAAUAUUCAAUAUAGAUAAUGGAAUUAACAAGAUCAAAGAAAUUGUAUGUUGUAGAAGAGUUCUUCUUGUUCUUGAUGAUGUUGAUGGAUUGGAAAAAAAUAAGAAAAUUUAAAUGGGAACUCAAAUUCCUUUUCAUCCGGGAAGUAAAAUCAUCAUAACUAGUAGAAACCGAUGCCUANNNNNNNNNNNNNNNNNNNNNNNNNNNNNNNNNNNNNNNNNNNNNNNNNNNNNNNNNNNNNNNNNNNNNNNNNNNNNNNNNNNNNNNNNNNNNNNNNNNNNNNNNNNNNNNNNNNNNNNNNNNNNNNNNNNNNNNNNNNNNNNNNNNNNNNNNNNNNNNNNNNNNNAUGCAAGAAGUUUAGUGAAACACUGUGGUGGGCUUCCGUUAGCUCUUCAAGUUUUGGGCUCUUCAUUAUCUAGCAAAAGUGUGAGUUCUUGGAAAAGUGCAUUGGAGAAAUUGGAAGAAAUCCCUGACAGCAAAAUUCAAGAGAUUCUAAGAAUAAGCUAUGAUUCUUUGGAAGACGAUCAUGACAAAAAUUUAUUCCUUGACGUAGUUUGUUUAUUCAUUGGGAAGGAUAGAGAUUACACGACUACAAUUCUAGAUGGUUGUGAUUACUAUACAACAAUUGGAAUUGAAAAUCUAGUAGGCAGGUCUCUCUUAAUCAUUAAUGAAAAAAACAAGCUAAUGAUGCACCAAAUGAUUAGAGAUAUGGGACGAGAAAUUAUUCGUCAAGAAUCUUCUGAUAUUGGGAAACGAAGCAGAUUGUGGCAUAAGAAGAUGUAAUAAGAGAAAAAACUGUAAGAACAUCAUUUUACUCAACUUCUUUCUUGUGUGCAUUUAAACUUUUUUUUUUCAAAUUUCCUUUUACUUUGUAAAAAAGUUUUUCUGAUGCAGGGUUCCAGAACAGUUAAGUGCCUCACAAUUGACCUAAAAGGAUUGCUAGAAGACAAGGCUACAAGGACAAAUACAACUCUACAUUUUCCAAAGCAUUUCAUAAGUCAGUUUCUCAUGGCGAAUGAUGUUGAUAUGGAAACUCAAGCAUUUGCAAAGAUGAAGAGACUUAAACUGCUUCAACUGGAUUAUGUAAGACUUAAAGGAGACUUCAAAGACUUUCCCAAAAGAUUAAGAUGGUUACGUUGGCAUGGGUUUUGUAUGCAAUCUUUUCCGGUGGAUUUCGAUAUCAAUGAACUAGUUGUUCUCGACAUGCGCAACAGUAAACUUAAACAAGUUUGGAAGGAUACAGAGGUAUGAUAUAUACUAAUUUUCCUUCUUUUUGUGUUUGUGAGAAACAAUAAUAUAUAAAUGAAGGGUUUUCUUUUUUUGCAGUGCCUCCCAAAUUUAAAGAUCCUUAAUCUCAACCAUUCACAUAGCCUUCUUAAAACCCCAAGCUUUUCAGGACUCCCUAGCCUUGAGAAGUUGAUGCUCAAAGAUUGCAUAAAUUUGGUGGAAGUUGAUCAAUCCAUUGGUGAGCUAAAGAUGCUUACUUUCUUGAACCUUAAAGAUUGCACAAGUCUUAGGAAACUUCCAAGGACAAUUGGUUCAUUAAUAUCACUUGCAGAGCUUAUUUUAUCUGGUUGUUCAAGACUUGAUGAUGUCCCCAGGGAGUUGCAUAAUAUGAAAUCAUUGAAGGUGCUUAAUUUAGAUGACACUUCCAUAUGUCAAACAAGAUUGGGAUUGCAUUGGCUCUUACCGAAAAGAAGUAAAGAAUUGGGUUUCUUGGGCGUCUCUACCGUGCUCUUUGGUAAAGUUAAACCUUGAAAGUUGCAAAUUAUCUGAUGAUGUUAUGCCCAAUGAUCUUUACAACUUAGCUUCAUUGAAAUCCUUAAAUUUAAGUAGAAACCCAAUUCGUUACCUUCCCGAAAGCAUAAAAAAACUUACAAAACUUGAUGAACUUCUACUGACUUCUUGCACUGAACUCCAAAAGAUUCCAAAGCUUCCAGUCUUGCCCAAUGUUUUUGAGUUCUUGACAGUAUCUCCAUUUAAAGGAUAUUGGGCAAUUCUUCCAUGCUUCUUUUCUUCCACACGAUGUGUUAUUUUUGGAUGUGAAAAAUUGACCGAGGUUCAAGAUAUAUUCAAAUUGAAACCAAUUGAAAACUUUGAAGAAGAAGAAAUUCGAAGAUUAUUCAACCUGGAUUCCAUUAGCAGAAAUCGACUGCAACUUUAUAGCUACCUAACAGACAGCAUAAUGCUUGCUACCCCACAGGUCCAACAGUUCUCCAACUUAAAUUUUAACUUUAUUUUUUUUCUCUUAUAUUACUUAAUGAACACAUUUUUAAUCAUCUAACAUGUUUUUUUUUUGGAUCAGGUCUUGCAGGAAUGUGGUAUAACAAGCACAUUUGUUAUAGGAAGUGAAGUUCCGAUUGUGUUUAAGCAUCGCACUAAUGAGCACCGAAUCUCUUUUUCUUUGCCAACACCAUCUCAUCCAGAUGAAAAGAUCCAUCGGUUCAGCUUAUGCAUUGUUUUCUCUCUAGCUCGUGAUCAAAUAUUGGAGUUUCUACCAAGUGUCCACAUUUUCAAUGAGACCAAAAGGAUCAUGCAGAGAUAUGGCUCAAGUUUCAUCGGAAUUCCUGAGACUAACGAUAACACAAUGUUGUGGUUGAUCCAUUGGCCAGUAACGGAUUGUGAGUUUGAAGGUGGUGACCUUGUGAGUUGCAUGGUAGUGCCUAUUCAUCUCAGCAUAAGAAAAUUUGGCGUUACUUAUGAAUCACAACACAACGUUAGAAAUAAAUAUGGCUUUUCACACUUAUCUACAGGUAUGACUAUGACUCCAAGUGAUUAUGUUUAUGGAAUAUUACCCCAUGCACUAUUAACACUUAUCUAAACUAAAGAUAUAUCCUUAUUGAAAUAAAAUUUUUUUUGACAAAGAAAAUAAUAAAUUAUAUGAAUAUUUAAUGUGGUUUCAAUGACAAGAUUAUAUAUUAGUGAAUACAUCCUAUUAUUUUUUUAAUGUUUCGUUUUAGAUGUAAAUAACAAAUGAUUAAGAAAUGAUAAAUGUUGCAAUUGGGAUUUAAUUAAAAUAAUUUAAUUGUUUGAAAAAUGAUUAAUCCUAUUGUUAGUUUACAAGUCUUAUAAUACAUUUUAGUGAUAUAAUAUUCGUAUUUUGAUUUUUUUCAUAUAAUAUUAAGAGAAAGGGAUGGGGUCACACGGUUUGAAUCUGUAUCAAAUAGAUGUUGGACAAAAGCUUGAACCAGCAACCUAUUCAAGUCAAGACUACUAUUUUAAUAUUCUAAUAUGCAUAUCAUGUUGAUGAUCACUAGAAUUGAUAAAUAACACAUUAUUGUACAUAUUUUAGGAGAUGAAGUUGCCACAAGAAAUAUGAUGAUGGAUCUAACUAAAGACUUACCCAGUUUGGAAUCUUAUGGAAAUGUUAAAGUGCAACUUUGCAGUUAUAUAGAAGAAUCAAAAGUGGUUGCUUCCCCACAGGUUCCCUUUACAAGUUUCAACUUUUAAAAAAUAUUUAUAUACUAUUUUUUAAAAUCUUAUUCAAUAACCCAAUGUUACAGGUAUUAUACGAUUACGGCAUAAUUACAAUAGUUGAUCCAUUGCCAUUUGAUUACAAUGGCCACUAUUUUGGCCAUCAAGCUGGCAAGACUGAGGUUUCAAUAUCAGUGCCCCCAAACUCUAGUCGAAAGAUAAGUUGCUUCUUAAAUUCGAUUAUCAUUUUUUCUGCCAAGAAUGAUAAAACAUAUAGAUUUUUACCAUGCCUUGAAAUUGUGAACGAGACCAAAGGUACAAAGUGGACCUACUCCAAACAUUUCAUGGGAAUUCCUGAAAUUAAGAAUACCUUAUACUGGACGACUUGUUGGAACUUUAGGGGUGAUGAACUAGAAGCUGGUGAUUGUAUUAGUCUGCGGGUUCUUUCAAAUUUAUCUGUACUAGAAUUUGGGAUUGACCUUGUAUAUGAUUAUGAGCUAGAUGGUAACCCAAAUUUUUUCAGUCAGUUACCAUGGAUGAGUAAAUGUUUUACGUAUCUUUUCGGGACUUUUGUUUCUCUGUUGUCACAAUCCCAAAAAAACUUGUAUAGGUUGCAAAGUUUAGUCAAAUGCUGAUUAUUGUAGGAAUUGAAAUGGAGCAAAUGAAUAUUUUGGUUUAGUCAUUGCCGCCUUGGCUUGGCUGAUUUCAUCUUAUAUUUAAUCUCUAAUUCUUAUGUAUGCUAUCGAUAUUGAUUUUUGCUCAAGUUCUUCAAUGAAGCACCUUGUUCUUGGUAAUUCAAUUAACUUGUGCUUUUAACCAGAUGUCGUGGAGUUAUUUUUAACUAUUAUUAGGCUAAAUCUUUAGAGAAAAUGGUGAUUUCUAUUUAUGUUUCUAAUAUUCACGCCUGUUUUCAUUGGAAGGGACUCUGGAAAAUCUCUAAGUACCAUGGCAAAGUGUUGGGUGUUUAUUCCUAACAAUAGGAAUUGAAAAGAUCUAUCUUUUGGUUUUGUAAGAUUUGCAAGAAUUAUGGAUGCUAAGAGGGCGAUUAGUAGACUUAAUUGAUUUUGUAUAUAUGGAAGUAAAGUGAAUGUGAACUUAGCUCGCUUUGAGGGAAGAGUGGUGUACUAAAAGAAAGUUGAAAAUGGUAAGCUAGGAGGUGAUGAUCGUAGAGAUGAAUUAGGAGUAGAAAACGAGAAAAAGCAUUCUUGGGAGAUGAUUUGAUUACUAUUUGUGGAACACUAGUUCCUAUAACUACAUAUGCUUGUUCAUAAUAGUUAUCUUAAAAUAUCGAACAAAUAUCAAUUGGAUGUUCUGGUUUAAAUAUAUAAUUUCAAGAGAAUGUAUUCGUACCUCAUUCUACCCAAGAUUUAUGUCAAAUCCAAACUGUUGUGAGUUGUUAGCCAUGAUGAAAAUCAAUUCUGUAACAGUUUAAUAGGGUGGAGUUAGAAAAUUUUUUGAAGGGAGGCCGAAAUAAAAUUAUAUAUUUUUAUAACAAUAAAAGUAAAAUUUUACUAUUUUAAUAGUCUACAUCUUUAUAAUUUUUAAAAAAUUAAAUUAAAAAUUUUUCGUUUUCACUCCAACUGUUUCACUCAACAUAAUAAAUUCAUUUAAAGUAGUGAAGACGAUGGGAUAAGCUAAUGUUGAUCGUAUGGGAUGUGAAAAAGCAAGUAAGAGCAGUAGACUAUGAAAACUCGUAAUAUAUUUAUAAACAUUUCUUACGUUACAUUUCAACCACCUCUUUAAUUCCACCAGAAUCCGGUACUACUCGCUCUUGAGUGUAAUUAUUCGAAUAGGGAUCAUAUCUCUUUUAUAGUGGAAUACUACUUUGUCUUAUUACAUGGGCUUGUUCAUAAGAGUUCUCUUAGAAUAUCGAACAAAUAUCAGUUGGGUAUUCUGGUUUAAAUAUUUAAUUUUCAAGAGAAUAUAUUCUUACUUCACUCUGUCCUCUCGAAGAUUCAUGUCAAAUCCAAACUGACGUGACGUGAGUUGAUAGUCAUGAUAGAAAUCAAUUCUCUAGCAUUUCAACGAGUUUUGCUCGUAAGUAAAAGUCUUUCGUAAAAAUAUUAGAUAAGUAAUUGGUAAAAAAUUUAAUUCAAAAGGCAACUAGUAAAGAGCUCUUUAAUAUUUUUCAACAUUCAUAAAGGGUUUUUAUGUACUUUUAUUGAAUGGAAUAGAUUUUUUUUUUCCUAAUAGAGGAACCACGAGAAGCAAAAUCUUUUCCAAAGAAUAUUCUUAGUUGAUCUAUUCAAAAUGUACUUGGCAACCAGUUCUUGCAAAGAAAAUCAUAAUAAUUUUUCCUGUUUGAAAUCCUAAAAAUCUUUUAAAUCAACCCAAUCAUCUCAUUCAAAUACUUUAUUAAUUUUACACAAAUUAUUCUUCGCAUCAACAAAUAUUAUUUAUCACCCACUUUCAUGCAAAAUUAUUUUUACUAUGCAAGGAAUUGUCUCCAUGAAUUACUGUCAUCUUUUAGUUUAAGAUGAGUAAAUUUCAACCAGUAAUAACUUUCUUGAUGAACACCAUAUCUAUUUUGAUGAUAUGACAUGCUUUCUUUUGGUUCAAGAAAGGCAAUCAAUGACUUGAAAUUGAACCAUGAUUUUAAAGGACUUGGGUUUAUAUAAGUGGUAAUUCAAUUUCCUUUUCCUUGUUGGAAAAGGAAUUCCAUUUUGACUUUAACAGUGAUUUUUAAGUUGUUGUUUUCUUAUUGUUAAUUAUUUAAAAAAUAAUCGCAUUUUAACUUGUAAACUUAAAUCUUAAACUAUUAUCAUUAUGUUUACUUUCUGAUGAUAAUUAACAAAAAUAUUUGGUUUUAAAAUUUUAAUACAAUCAAUGAAACGCAAUUCACAUAUAUGAAUAAUGAUGAAAUUUGACGUGAUUAAAAAAAUAUUAAAUUUUGUUAUAUUUUUAAUAAUGAAUAUAGGUAAAAUGGUAAUAAACCGGCAUUUUAAUGUCAUUUAAAACGUGUCAAAUAAAUAUUAGAUUAGAUAUUCAAUAUUAAUAAUCAAUAUAUAUUAAUUGAAUUAGACAUUAUAAUUAGUCAUGACUGUCGAAAUUUAAAAUUGUAAAAAUUAAUAUAUAUUGAAUUAAAUGACUACUAUACAUAAUCUUAUUCAAAUAAUAAUAAUGAAAAAAAGAGUGUUUAAGACAAUUUCGUUGUAUUUGUUUGUUCUAUGAUCCAACUAUGGUAGGUAAGCGUGAUGUAGGCUCAUCGUACUCCCAUCCAGUGGCUUUAAUUUGCUCUAAUGGAAUCGAAAAUGAAUCAAUCCUUUUAACUUCUUCUUCUUCCUCUUCAUCAUCGGAAAUCGACUUUAUUUCUAAAAAAAGUUUUGGGUCGAUUUUGGAGUUCCAAUCAAUAUCAUCGAUAUACAUAUCAGCUGCAUUACUUGGCAACUUAUUUGUGAAAGGAAAACGAUGAUAAUACUCCCAGAAUCUCUGUUUUGCUUCUUGGAAAGCUUUUAAACCAGCUGAAUCAUCCCAUUCGAAUACUUUAUCUAUUUUGAACAAAUUAUUCUUUGAUUCAACAAAUCUUUUCCAUGGCAUUGCACCCACUUUUAUGCAUAAAUUUUUCUCCCAUGAGGUAAUGGUUCCCAUGAAUUAUAGUUAUCAUUCAGUUUGAGACGAGUAAAUUUCGGACUGUAGUACCUUUCUGGGCGAUUAUGAUAUCUUCUUUGAUAGUAUGGCAUGAUUUCUUAUAAUCCAAACAAAUAAAUGAAUUGAAAUCGCUAAUGAUUUGAAUUUACAGUGAGGAGACCUGUUGGGUUUAUAUAAUCUUAUUAGAGUCGGUGGUGACUCAAUCCAUUUCCUUGUUGGAAAAGGAAUUCUAAUUUCAGUUUGACUAUGAUUUCUAUUUUCUAAAUUUUUGUAUAAUAAAAUUUUUAAAAAAUAACUAUAUCUGUAUUGAUUCGUUUCCCUCUGAUUGAUACGUUACAUCCCUAGCUUCUCUAGAAUCCUCAUUAACUAUCUGAUCUCUUCACCCAUUGGUGUUCCCCCAAGAGUGUUUUUUCUCGUUUUCUCCUCCUAAUUCAUCUCCACGAUCAUCACCUCCUAGCUUACCGUUUUCAACUUUCUUCCAGUACACCACUUUUCCCUUAAAGCGAGCUAAGUUCACAUUUACUUUACUUCCAUAUAUACAGAAUCCAUUAAGUUUACUAAUUGGCCACUUAUCAUCCACAAUGCUUGCAAAUCUUACUAAAACAAAACGUAUGUAGACCUUUUCGAUGCCUUUUGUUAGGAAUAAACGCGUCCAACACUUUGCCAUGGAACUCAGAGAUUUUCCAUGGUCCCUUCCAAUGAAAACAAGAAGGAAGAUUAGAAACAUAAACUGAAAUCACCAUUUUCUCUAAGGAUUUAGCCUAGUAAUAGUUAACAAUAACUCCACGGCAUCUGAUUAAAAGCACAAGUUAAUUGAAUUACCAAGAACAAUGUUCUUCAAUACUAUUCCAAAUUCAAUUUUGGAACUUCUGUUAUCAUAGCUUUCAACUAUUUGAAACUCUGUUGGCAUUAUUCAAUCACACAUAACUAACAUUUUCUGUAGCAACUUCGUCAUGGUAGAGCUAUCAUCGACAAGCCUGAACAAAUCACCUGUAGUAUACAAUAAAUCCUAGAGAACUACACACUUCUAUAUUAUUUUUCAGAGAUUCCCUAAUUCACAUUUAUCAGGAGUUUAUUCGAAAUAACUCAAAUAUCUUCUGCUGUUAAUAAAAGGUUUAGAAAACUUAUUUCUUGAAAUUAAAAUUCACAUUUAUUGAUUUUCACAAAUAAUUAUUUCUCUCGUAAUAUCUGUACGUAACACUGUUUUUCCAAUACUAAUCGUGUUCAAAUUUUUUCUUCACAUGAAUUGAGUAUCUUUAAUUAUAUAGCAACAACUCUGAUAAGAUACAACUAGAAACUUUUUGUCUAUUAAAUAUAUAAAGUGACUAUGCAAUUGAUAAUCAUAUACAAUAAUCAACAUUUGUCUAAACUUUGCAACCUAUACAAGUCUUUUUGGGAUUUCGACGAAACAUAAACAAAAAUCCCGAGAAGAUACUUAAAACAUUUACUCAUCCAUGGCAACUGACUGAAAAAAUUUGGGUUGUCUUCUAGCUCAUAAUCAUAUACAAGGUUAAUACCAAAUUCUAGCACAGAUAAAUCUGAAAGAACCCGAAGACUAAUAUGAUCACCAGCUUCUAAUUCAUCACUUCUAAAGUUCCAACAAGUCGUCCAGUAUAAGGUAUUCUUAGUUUCAGGAAUUCCCAUGAAAUGUUUGGAGUAGGUCCACUUUGUACCUUUGGUCUCGUUCACAAUUUCAAGGCAUGGUAAAAAUCCAUAUGUUUUAUCAUUCUUGGCAGAAAAAAUGAUAAUCGAAUUUAAGAAGCAACUUAUCUUUCGACUAGAGUUUGGGGGCACUGAUAUUGAAACCUCAGUCUUGCCAGCUUGAUGGCCACAGUAAUGACCAUGGUAAUCAAAUGGCAAUGGAUCAAAUGUUGUAAUUAUACUGUAAUCAUAUAAUACCUGUAGCAUUGGGUUAGAGAAUGAGUUAUUAAAAAGUAUAUAGUAUAUAAAUAAUUUUAAAAACUUGGAACUUGUAAAGGGAACCUGUGGGGAAGCAAUCACUUUAGAUUCUUCUAUAUAACUGCAAAGUUGCACUUUAACAUUUCCAUAAGAUUCCAAACUGGGCAAGUGUCUAGUUAGGUCCAUCUUGAUAUUUCUUGUGGAAACUUCAUCUCCUAAAAUAUGUACAAUAAUGUGUUAUUUAUCAAUUUUAGUGAUCAUCAACAUAAUUUACUUAUUAAAAAAAUAAUAGUAUUGACUUGAAUGGAGUGAUAAUUAUCAAACACCCAUUUGACAAGAAUUCAAAUCGUGACCCAUCCCCAAUACUCAAUAUUGUAUGAAAAAAAGAUAUCAAAAUAGUAAUGUUAUUAUCACUAAAAUAUAUUAUAAGACUUGUAAGAAAUAAUCAAUUAUACACAUUAAAUAACUUUAAAACUAUUAAAUAAGUUAAUCAAAACACCACUUUUAUAAUUUUAUCCAUUAUUUUAGUUUCCACUUCUAUUAGCUAUUGGAUUAAUCAUUUAUCAAACAAUUAAAUUAUUUUCAUUAGACCCCAAUUGCAGCAUAACUUUAUAAUUAUCAUUUUAUUAUUAAGCUAAAUUUCUCUCAUAAUCUAUUAAAUUGUCACAUUUCUUGAUAAUAUUUUUUAUUGUAUUAGAAAGUCUUUUAGAGAAACAUUCAUCAUUUCUUGAACAUUUGUUAGUCACAUAUAAAAUAAAUAUAAUAGGACGUAUUUACUAAAAUAUAAUUAUUUGAAGUCUACUCAUACCUGUAGAUAAGUGCGAAAAGCCAUAUUCAUAUCUAAUGUUGUGUUCUGAUUCAUAAGUAACGCCAAAUUUUCUUAUGCUGAGAUGAAUAGGCACUACCGCGCAACUCACAAGGUCACCAGCUUCAAACUGACAGUCCGUUACUGGCCAAUGAAUCAACCACAACAUUGUGUUAUCGUUAGUCUCAGGAAUUCCAAUGAAACUUGAGCGAUAUCUCUGCAUGAUCCUUUUGGUCUCAUUGAAAAUGUGGACACUUGGUAUAAGCUCCAACAUUUGAUCACUAGCUAAAGAGAAAACAAUGCAUAAGCUGAACCGAUGGAUCUUUUCAUCUGGAUGAGAUGGUGUUGGCAAAAAAAAAGAGAUUCGAUGCUCGGUAGUGCCAUGCUUAAACCCAAUCGGAACUUCACUUCCUACAACAAAUGUGCUUGUUAUACCACAUUCUUGCAAGACCUGAUCCAAAAAGAACUAGUUAGAUGAUUAAGUAGUAUAAGAGAAAAAAUAGAUUUAAAAUUUAACUUGGAGAACUAUUGGACCUGUGGGGUAGCUAGCAUUAUGCUGUCUGUUAGGUAGCUAUAAAGUUGCAGUCGAUUUCUGUUAAUGGAAUCCACUUUGAAUAAUCUUCUAAUCUCUUCUGCUUCAAAGUUUUCAAUUGGUUCCAACUUGAAUAGAUCUUCAACCUCAGUCAACUUUUCACAUCCAAAAAUAAUACAUCGUGUGGAAGAAAAGAAGCAUGGAAUAAUUACCGUAUAUCCAUGAAAUGAAGAAUUGUCUCCAAAAAUAAACUUGCACUCAAAAACAUUGAGCAAGACCGGAAGCUUUGGAAUCAUUUGGAGUUCAGUGCAAGAAGUCAAUAGAAGUUCUUCAAGUUUUGUAAGGUUUUUUAAGCUCUCGGGUAGGUAAUGAAUUGGGUUUCUACUUAAAUUUAAGGAUUUCAAGGAAGCCAAGUUACAAAGAUCAUUGGGCAUGACAUCAUUAGAUAAUUUGCAACUUUCAAGGCUUAACUUUACCAAAGAGUCCGGUAGAGAUGCCCAAGAGAAACCCAAUCCUUUGCUUCUUUUCAGUAAGAGCCAAUGCAACCCCAAUCUUGAUUGAUAUAUGGCAGUUUCAUCUAAAUUAAGCACCUUCAAUGAUUCCAUAUUAUGCAACUCCCUAGGAACAUCAUCAAGUCUUGAACAACCAGAUAAGAUAAGCUCUUCAAGUGAUAUUAAUGAACCAAUUGUCCUUGGAAGUUUCCUAAGACUUGUGCAAUCUUUAAGGUUCAAGAAAGUAAGCAUCUUUAACUCACCAAUGGAUUGAUCAAUUUCCACCAAAUUUAUGCAAUAUUUGAGCAUCAACUUCUCAAGGCUAGGGAGUCCUGAAAAGCUUGGGGUUUUAAGAAGGCUAUGUGAAUGGUUGAGAUUAAGGAUCUUUAAAUUUGGGAGGCACUGCAAAAAAAGAAAGCCCUUCAUUAAUUAUAUAUUAUUGUUUCACACACACACAAAAAGGAGUAUUAGUAUAUAUCAUACCUCUGUAUCCUUCCAAACUUGUUUAAGUUUACUGUUGCGCAUGUCGAGAACAACUAGUUCAUUGAUAUCAAAAUCCACCGGAAAAGAUUGCAUCCAAAACCCAUGCCAACGUAACCAUCUUAAUCUUUUGGGAAAGUCUUUGAAGUCUCCUUAAGUCUUACAUAAUCCAGUUGAAGCAGUUUAAGUCUCUUCAUCUUUGCAAAUGCUUGAGUUUCCAUAUCAACAUCAUUUGCCAUCAGAAACUGACUUUUGGAAUGCUUUGGAAAAUGUAGAGUUGUAUUUGUCCUUUUAGCCUUGUCUUCUAGCAAUCUUUUUAGGUCAAGUGUGAGGCACUUAACUGUUCUGGAACCCUGCAUCAGAAAAACUUUUUUAAAAAAUAAAAAGAAAUUUGAUAAAAAAAAAGUAGAUUACAUGCACACAAGAAAAAAGUUGAGUAAAAUGAUGUUUCUUACAAUUUUUUCUCUUAUUACAUCAAAGGCGUUCUUAUGCCACAAUCUGCUUCGUUUCCCAAUAUUAGAAGAUUCUUGACGAAUAAUUUCUCGUCCCAUAUCUCUAAUCAUUUGGUGCAUCAUUAGCUUGUUUUUUUCAUUAAUGAUUAAGAGAGACCUGCCUACUAGAUUUUCAAUUCCAAUUGUUGUAUAGAAAUCACAACCAUCUAGAAUUGUAGUCGUGUAAUCUCUAUCCUUCCCAAUGAAUAAACAAACUAUGUCGAGGAAUAAAUUUUUAUCAUGAUCGUCUUCCAAAGAAUCAUAGCUUAUUCUUAGAAUCUCUUGAAUUUUGCUGUCAGGGAUUUCUUCCAAUUUCUCCAAUGCACUUUUCCAAGAACUCACACUUUUGCUAGAUAAUGAAGAGCCCAAAACUUGAAGAGCUAACGGAAGCCCACCACAGUGUUUCACUAAACUUCUUGCAUAUGCCAUUAAACUUUCAGGCACAGAGUUAUGACCAAAAGCAUACCAAUUAAAAAGUUGCAGCGAUUCACUUGAUGCUAAUUCUUUUACUUCAAAUAGCUUGCUUAAGCCUCCACAACUAGUUGAUGCUUCCAACUCAAACAUUUGGCUUAUAAAAUGUGCAUUCAAUAGGCAUCGGUUUCUACUAGUUAUGAUGAUUUUACUUCCCAAAUGAAAAGGUAUUUGAGUUCCCAUUAAUUUUCUUAUUUUUUCCAAUUCAUCAACAUCAUCAAGAACAAGAAGAACUCUUCUACAACAUACAAUUUCUUUGAUCUUGUUAAUUCCAUUAUCUAUAUUGUAUAUUUUAUAGUGUAUUUCCUUUAAGGAUAUCUGAAAUAAGUUGCCUUUGCAAACGGACUAAACCAUUGCAAUCUGGACUUGUUUCUCUAACAUCAGCAAGGAAACUAUAACCUUCAAACCUCGGGAUGUUUUGAUUGUAAACAACUUUGGCAAUGGUUGUCUUCCCAAUGCCGCCAAUGCCACAAAUAGUUGCAAUGCCAACUUUAUUUGCUCCAUCUUGUUCUAACCAUUGAUUAAUUUGUGUCACGAGAGAAUCUAUUCCAACUAAAUAAGGAGGGACAUACAAAGAAAUAAGAUGAAGUUUAUUUUGAACUUCUUUAACAAUAUCUUGAAUGAAUUGUGAUUCAUGCCUGCAAAUUUAAAAAAUACAACUCAAUGGUAAAAUUUUAGAAAUUAAGUAAAAGUUACUAAUGCAUUUUCUCUUUUCUUGCAUAUAUUUUGAUUGUUUUUAUGAGAUUAUAUGUUCAAAUAAAAAUAAGAAACUAAUGCAACAUUUCAACAUAUAUGAUAGAAUUAUUGCAUUCAAAAUCAAAUCAAAUCAAAUAAAGCAACAUAAAAAUUAAUGAAAUUCAUUUGAGAAACAACCUAUACUCUAAAUUUCAACUUUCUCUUUGUGAAAGUUUAAUAACAUGAAUUUAUAUAUUUAUUUUUUAUUCAUUGUAAUAUUUUGAAUAUGUGUAGACCCAUUACACGAAUAACUUAGAUAUAAUUGUUGCAAAUAUACUACUGCAAAAUAGAAUUGUUACAAGAGACCAAACUGAAUGUCAAUAAAAUAAGAAUCAUUGUGUCGUGAAAGAAUCACUGCAUUAGAGGCAAAUUCGCCUUGAUCGGUGUAAUCGUAUAGUGGACGUUACCCCCCAACAAAAUACUCCAAUAUUCGUACACCCGAAGGUGGAACAUGAUUAACAUUACUUUUCCCAAAAAAAAAGUUCAAUUCCCAAGAAAGAUUAAGGAGGUCACAAACAGUCUCGCUUAAAACCUAAUCUCUUAGACAAAAUUUCCCUCUCGUGUAAUUUUGCAGAACACUAGAAUUUAGAGAACAUAGAGAAGUUGUUUUUCUCUUGUUGUGUUAGGUGGGAGAAUGACCUCCUAUUUAUACUGUUUUUUGAUGGGCAAAAUGGUAAAAUAAUAGUUUUAAUUUCCAAAAAUAGUAAAUGAUUUUCCUAACUGAAAAUAUUCUAAAAAUAUUUUCUGCAACGAUUUUCUGCAAUUCAAAAUAUUCUUUUGCAUUAUCAACAAUGACAUCUUAGAAAACCACAAAUAGUGUCAUUAAAUUCAAGAGGCUAUUUCUUUUUGUUUUCAACUCGUCAAAUCCAAGUUGUUCAUGUGAUUUAAAAACAUCCCACAUUAGAUUCGAGCUAAUAUUUAAUGCUUAAGCUGAUGACUUGUUUGAUAGAAAGACCAUAUUCAUACAAUACUAAUAUUUUAAUGACUCAAUUAAAACAUGUUAAUGUUUCUGAGUUAUAAUUAACCCUUUAAAAUGGAUUGAUGUAACCAUUUUAAUUUCCAAACGCUACCUAACAAUAUUUUCUAUUAAUUUUAUUUCUACUCUAUCAAGUCUUAAUGAAAAGGAUUGAAGUAACCAUAUGGAAUUGGAUUAUGUGUAUAACGUACCUGUCUUGCAGAACCAUGCCUCCUAUAUCCGCAACUUCUUUUAAAGCAUUUCUCCAUCUUUGUACCAUGUUGGUUUCGGACUCGAAGUUUUGUUCAUGUUGGGUAAAUGCUUCUGCAUAACUUCCCGUCUGAUUCUUGACUUGACUCGGAUCCACAUCAUAGAAAACUGGCAACACACUAUGUUUAGAGGAUUUCUUGUGCUCCAAUAUCAUUACAAGUUCGUUAAGACACCAUGUGGAUGCAGCAUAAUUCUUUGAGAAAACAACGAUAGAAAUUUUGGAGUGAUGUAGUAUUGCUUUUUCAAUUUCAUCUUUUAUGUUAUUCCCUCUCUCGAUUUCCUCAUCAUCUCUAAAUGUUUGAAUUCCUAAGUGCACCAAAGCUGUGUAAAGAUGAUCCGUGAAACUUUUGCGCGUAUCUUCACCUCUAAAACUCAAGAAUACAUGAUAACUACAUCGCGAGAUUUCUGACAUUGCCAUUGAAGAAGAAAAUGAAGCCGUCCUGUANNNNNNNNNNNNNNNNNNNNNNNNNNNNNNNNNNNNNNNNNNNNNNNNNNNNNNNNNNNNNNNNNNNNNNNNNNNNNNNNNNNNNNNNNNNNNNNNNNNNCAAAGCAGAUAUUAUUAGCAGUCAAGUGGCAGUUCCCAAUCCAUGGUGGGUCAAUCCUUCCACCAGUUCAUACAACUGCCCGAAGAAAUUCAUGUCGGCCGUGUUGUUUUUUUCCAAAUCUACCAACUUGGGUUACGUAUUCUAUAUUAUUAAUUUUGCUUGACAAAUACAAUCUAUUGAUUAACUUGAUGGUUAUAGCUAACACAACACGUAAUAUAGACAUCAUCUUCAGGCUAAUAUUAGUAAAAAUACUAUGAAGGUUGUUGUAUUUUAAGUCAUACUAUAUUUUGUUUCCUCUACUUAAAAAAUAAUAAAUUAGUUAUUGUAUAUUAGAUUAGAAAGUAAACUAGUUCUUUUGUUAAAAAAUUUAUCCAUUGUUAUUGUUAAAAAUUAGUCCAUGUAAUAAACAUGAGGUACAUGUGACACGUCACAUGCAACUAUCUAAUUAUUUCGUCAUUCACGUUAGUUUUUAACAACAAAAAUGGAUGAAACUUUUAAUAAAAAUGAUAAAUUUAUUCUUUUAUCUAUGUAUAUGGACUAAUUUGCUUGUUUUUAAAUAAAAUGGGUUAAAUACAAUUUGACUCUCAAUAGAAUGAUCUCCAUGAUACUUUUACCGGCUAAUACCUUGGUGGAUACACUCAAUAAUUAAACCACAACCACAAUAUAUCACAUAGACAUCACAUUAAACAUUCAAGUUCAGUAUAGUAAAGAAACAAUUUUAGUAUCUAUGCAUGAAUGAAGAAUUAAUUGUUUUAGAAAAAGAAUUGGUGAUUAAAUUGAUCAGGUCGUCAAUUUUUUAUUUGAUUUAUUCGUGUUAUCUAAAGUAAAUAAAUUUUUAAAAAUUAAAAAAUAAUAAAAAUUCACGUAUAUUGCACGUUAAAGUAAAUUGAAAAUGAGAAUUGAGAGGGACAUAAGAGAAGGAGAAUAAUUCCGAAGUCAUGCUUAAGGAAAUUAGUGGCACUAGAAAACGCGUUUCAAUCGCUUUUCAUUUCGGAGUCAUGCUUACGGUCCAUUUGGUGCUCACCAUUUUUAUUAAAAAUAUUAUCUGAAUAGAGUUUUUCAACAGAGGUAGUAGAAAGGAAGGAAAACGUCAAAGUUGUACACUUUAAAAAAAUUAUAUUAUCAGACCUUAAACAAUGAUUUGUCGGCCUUAAAUUAGCAAUUAAAGAGGAUGGGAUAAGGGUAAGGUUGAGUAAUUGAUUCAAAAUUUCAUGCUGAGGGCAACUAGCACAAAAUUGUUUAAAUAUUUUCCAGUACUCAUUAAGGAUCUUCAUAUCCUUUUUGUGGUAUGGCAUAGAUUUCUUUCCUAAUUGAAGCACAAAGUGAAGAAAAAGAAAAUUCAACGAAUAUUCUUACCAUAUCUAUUUUAAAAUUUUAAUAUAAUUAAUGAAAAACAAUUCACAUAUAUGAAUCAUCAAAUUUGAGGUGCUUAGAGAAUCCCAUGUGAUGGCCUGAUGAUUAAGGUUGUUCAAAAUACAUGAAUGAUAAAAUUUAACGUGAUUAAAUAAAUAUUGAAUUUUGUUAUAUUUUUAAUAAUAAAUAUAGGUAAAAUGGUAAUAAAUUGGUAUUUUAAUGCCAUUAAAAACGUGUCAGAUAAAUAUUAGAUUAGAUAUUCAAUAUUAAUAAUCAAUAUAUAUUAAUUGAAUUAUACAUUAUAAUUAAGGAUGAGUGUCGAAAUUCAAAAUUGUAAAUAUUAAUAUAUAUUGAAUUAAAUUACUACCAUACAUAAUCUUAUUCAAAUAAUAAUAAUGAAAAAAAUGAGUGUUUAAGACAAUUUCGUUGUAUUUGUUUGUUCUAUGAUCCAACUAUAGUAGGUAAGCGUGGUGUAGGUUCAUCGUACUCCCAUCCAAUGGCUUUAAUUUGCUCUAAUGGAAUCGAAAAUGAAUCAAUCCUUUUAACUUCUUCUUCCUCUUCAUCAUCGAAAAUUGACUUUAUUUCCAAAAAAAAGUUUUGGAUCAAUUUUGGAGUUCCAAUCAAUAUCAUCUAUAUACAUAUCUGUUGCAUUACUUGGCAACUUAUUUGUGCAACGAAAACGAUGAUAACAUUCCCAGAAUCUAUGUUUGGCUUUCUAAAAAGCUUUUAAACCAGCUGAAUCAUCCCAUCAGAAUACUUUAUCGGUUUUCAACAAAUUAUUCUUUGAUUCAACAAAUCUUUUCCAUGGUAUUGCACCCACUUUUAUGCAGAAUUUUUUCUCCCAUGCUGGUAAUGGUUCCCAUGAAUUAUUGUUAUCAUUCGGUUUGGGACGAGUAAAUUUCUUUUUUUUAGUAACUUUGUUGGCGAUUAUGAUAUCUUCUUUGAUAGUAUGACACGAUUUCUUGUAAUCCAAACAAAUAAAGGAAUUGAAAUCGCUAAUGAUAUGGAUUUACAGCGAGGGGACUUGUUGGGUUUAUAUAUAAGAUUAUUAGAGUUGGUGGUGACUCAAUCCUUUUCCAACAAUUCUAAUUUCAGUUUGAUUAUUGAUGGGUGUCGAAUCCACCAAUAUAAACCUACACCUAAUUUUGCAAAUUUAAACAGUAUAAGGAGUAGGGUCGAUCCCUCAGAGACUGGGUUUACUGCAAAUUGUUGCUCUCUUGACCAGAUUUAUGUCGGGGCAGUUGUCGUGCCCAAGAAAUUUGGGGGAAGGAUAAAAUCGAAAACCUGGAACCUGAAAUAAAUAAAUAAAUAAAAUGAGUAAAAAGUAAAAGCUGCAAAUAAAUAAUAAAAGGCAGUUAAAUAAAUCUGAAGAAAAAUUAAUUAAAAUAAGCUCAGCUUUAGGCACGGAUUUUUCCUCGUCUUUGAACCAAUCCUCGAAAUUAGAUGAACUCCUCUUUUCCAAUAAGCUAGUUAUAGCUACCAAGGACGCCUCGGACACCAACUCUUCCUUGUGUAAAUUAGUUAUGGAACGUCCAAUAACUAACCCUUACCAAUCGAACAACCACGAAACGUUCGUGAUUUAGAACUUCUGCAGCUUUGCGUUCUAGAAGAGCCUAGCUCGAACCAAUGCCCUCAACCGCGUGGGNNNNNNNNNNNNNNNNNNNNNNNNNNNNNNNNNNNNNNNNNNNNNNNNNNNNNNNNNNNNNNNNNNNNNNNNNNNNNNNNNNNNNNNNNNNNNNNNNNNNNNNNNNNNNNNNNNNNNNNNNNNNNNNNNNNNNNNNNNNNNNNNNNNNNNNNNNNNNNNNNNGAUCUGACUUUGUGAGUUGACAAAAUCAUACUCUUAAUCCGAAGAAAUAAUAAGUACUGGAAUUUAGGGUGUGUAACUCACGGGUUUUGACGAGGCUAAUUCCGGCCUAAAGCUGAAAUGGAUACUUAAUAAAAAAAACUUGGUAAUAAAAAACUUGAUUAAUAACUUGAUUCAAGACUUGAUGAUAAAAUGAACAAAGUAGUCCACUAUUUAUACUAGUGGCUUUGCUAAAUUAAGAGCCAACUAGUAUAGAAAAUCAAGGAAUAAAAUAUUAAAAAUCCCUACAUAAUCUCCCACUAAGUCAACAAAAAUUUCAGCUAAUUAAUCUUGGAAAAAUUCUACUUUGGUCCUCCUUCUUUGCUUCUUUCUUCAAUCUAGCCCAAUUGUCUCAUUUUUCUUCUAUUUAGCCCCAAAUUGCACUCCUACACAAAAUUCAACAAAAACAUGGAAAAAUUAGUGUUGCACUCUCAUAAAUUAACCAAUUUAAUUACAUAAAAUAUGUAACUUUAGCAUUUAAACAAAUCCCCCUACUUAGCUUAUGCUAGUCCUCGAGCAUUUUGUAUGUAUCUACAAAAAGAAAAAAAAUUUCUCCAAAAUAGGGCUUGACCACCAUGAUUUGCACAAUUCAACAAUUUAAUCCUAGCACAUUAACAUCUCAAAUAACCUAGCCUAAGAAGUAAGUAAAUAUAUUUCAGAAUUUAUUAGAGCUUGAUAGACCUACCCCUAAUUUAUUUUUAUUUAUAAUAAUAAUAAUAAUUUUUUGUGUACUUAGGACAUUUUCGAAUUUUUUUUACGCGAGACAAGAUGACAACCCAAGCACCAUGUUCUGGUUACUCGAUUCGGAUGUCUCUAAGCGGGUUAUUUCGCCCUACUCGUGAUAGCUUGUUAACGGAGUGAGUGCAAAGAAAUUAUAUAGUCACACUUUGCGCGAGAUGUGAUGACAACCCAAGCACCACAUUCCGGUUACUCAGCCUGAUGUACAACCCCAAUAUUUCACUCUUAACAUUCGUAUCAGAUGAGUAUUUAUUCAUUUCUUCUUUUUUUCUCUUUUUUUUCUCUCUUUGUUUUUUUAAAGAAGAGAAGGAAAAAAAUUGAGAUGUGAUAUGAGGUAGGCAGUCAAGCAAACUCAUAAUUCCUAAAAAAAAAAAUCUUUCCCACUACGUCUAGCCUAUUGAAAAGUUUGUGUAAAGAACUAAAUAGCUAAAUAGGUCAAACCAUAAGUGUACCAUCCUAAUUUAUCAAAAGAAAAAUUUUACCUUUCACGAAAAAUAUGCAAAAACAACGACAACGAAUAAGCAAAAUAGAACUAAUAUAUGUUCCCUUCCCCCUACUUAUUUUAUAUUGUCCCUAAUGUAAUUUGAAUUGAAUUAAAUGAUAAAAAGUAAAGGUAAGUAGGGAAAGGAAAAAGAAACUCUCGAUGUAUUUCAACGUCGUGGAGGGUUGCCUAGUAGGUGUGUCCACGGUGUUAAAUGGUGGGUAGGUGGAUUGGGCCUUUGCUGAAAUUAAAAGAAUUUUGUAGGCUGACAUGGGGGAUUUAAUUUUGUCUUGGAAUGUCUCCCUGUUAUUCAAAUUUUGGGCUCCUCGAGAACAAUUGUAAGUGUUGCUAGUCCCCGGCAACGUCGCCAAAGCUGAUGGGUGUCGAGUCCACCAAUAUAAACCUACAUCUAAUUUUGAAAAUUCAAGCAGUAUAGGGAGUAGGGUCGAUCCCUCGAGACUGGGUUUACUGCAAAUUGUUGCUCUCUUGACCAGAUUUAUGUCGGGGCAGUUGUCGGGCCCAAGAAAUUUGGGGGAAGGAUAAAAUCGAAAACUUGGAACCUGAAAUAAAUAAAUAAAAUGCGUAAAAAGUAAAAGCUGCAAAUAAAUAAUAAAAGGCAAUUAAAUAAAUCUGAAGAAAAAUUAAUUAAAAUAAGCUCAGCUUUAGGCAUGGAUUUUUCCUCGUCUUUGAACCGAUCCUCAAAAUUAGAUGAACUCCUCUUUUCCAAUAAGCUAGUUAUAGCUACCAAGGACGCCUUGGACACCAACUCUUCCUUGUGUAAAUUAGUUAUGGAGCGUCCAAUAACUAACCCUUACCGAUCGAACAACCACGAAAUGUUUCGUGAUUUAGAACUCCUGCAGCUUUGCGUUCUAGAAGAGCCUAGCUCGAACCAAUGCCCUCAACCGCGUGGGACAUUUAAAUCCAGUUACUACUUCCCUUGACGGAACCAAACAGCAAUCUCCACUUGGCACGCCAAUGUGUUCACAGAAAACCGAUUGGAAACGUUCCUUUCGGAAUUCCAACUGUACGUCUAACCACACUAAAUCAAACGACGUCUUUUUUGACUUAAUGUUGAUCUGACUUUGUGAGUUGACAAAAUCAUACUCUUAAUCCGAAGAAAUAAUAAGUACUGGAAUUUAGGGUGUGUAACUCACGGGUUUUGUCGAGGCUAAUUCCGGCCUAAAGCUGAAAUGGAUACUUAAUAAAAAAAACUUGGUAAUAAAAAACUUGAUUAAUAACUUGAUUCAAGACUUGAUGAUAAAAUGAACAAAGUAGUCCACUAUUUAUACUAGUGGCUUUGCUAAAUUAAGAGCCAACUAGUAUAGAAAAUCAAGGAAUAAAAUAUUAAAAAUCCCUACAUAAUCUCCCACUAAGUCAACAAAAAUUUCAGCUAAUUAAUCUUGGAAAAAUUCUGCUUUGGUCCUCCUUCUUUGCUUCUUUCUUCAAUCUAGCCCAAUUGUCUCAUUUUUCUUCUAUUUAGCCCCAAAUUGCACUCCUACACAAAAUUCAACAAAAACAUGGAAAAAUUAGUGUUGCACUCUCAUAAAUUAACCAAUUUAAUUACAUAAAAUAUGUAACUUUAACAUUUAAUGAAUUAUGAUUUCUAUUUUCUAAAUAUUUGUAUAAUAAAAUUAUUAAAAAAUAAUUAUAUUUGUAUUGAUAAUAUUUUCUUAUUAAAUGAGUUUUAUAAGUUAAAUAGCAAUCAAACCAAGACUGGGAGACUGAACUGCAUUAGGUCUUGGGGGUGAUCCAUCGCUUCAACCACUAUCUACUAUCCACCAUCCACCAUCUACAUCCUUCCCCUAUAUAAACUCUGCAAAUAUAUAUAUAUAGAGAGAGAGAGAGAGCGACACACACACACACAAAUUAUGGAAGGCAGGAAAGUUAGAUAUCAAAUACGGUUGCAUGGUGGUUUCACAGCCGCUAUUUCAAAAUAGCUAAAGAUCUCAUUAGUUGUGUGAACAAAUUUCAUAUGUUCUUCGAAAUCCAAAGCAGAAAAAUCACAUACAGAGGCUGGGAUCAGAUAACUGAUACUCAUGUACAAAUUUAAGGGCUUCGAAUUUACCUCAUUUGAUCAGAGUCGUGGUGAGAUGCUCGUUUGGGACAAAGAUCCGUACGAAGAGAGAUGAGGGUAGGAAGGAGUUCUUAAAAAACACAAAGGGUUAAAAUCUUCUAUUAGUCCCUGUACUUUGUAAAAGUUGUGAAUUCAGUUCCUAUCUUUUAAUUUGAAUAAUUUCAGUCCCUUUACUUUUUGAAGUAGUAGUUACAUCCAUUAAGUUCAAUUACUAGUAUUGCACUACACGUAUGGUUGUAGGCUUAGUCUAUAUGCCCUAAUUGGAUCAUUCUAAGUCUCUAUACUUUUUAAAUUUUAAAAUUUUAAUCUCGAUGUAAAUGAUAGUUAUUAAUCAAUUAAUUAGAUUUUUAGUGAGUAAUAUGCGAAAAUAAAAAAAGCUAACAUGACAUUAUACAUAGGAUAAUAUGUAGAUUUGGAUUUGGAUCUUUGGGAACAUGUAGAAGAGGAUUACGAGGUCCCACCACUUCCAGCAAAUCCUACUGUGGCACAGAUUAAAGCACAAAAGGAAAAGAAAACAAGGAAAUCAAAGGCAAAAUCUUGCUUAUUUGCAGCUGUGUCUCAAAUGAUUUUUACACGAAUAAUGUCUCUGAAAUCAGCAAAGGAAAUUUAGGAUUACCUCAAGGCUGAGUAUGAAGGAGAUGAGAGGAUUCGUAGAAUGAAAGUCCAGAAUCUAAUCAGGGAUUUCGAGUUGCAGAAGAUAAAGGAGUCUGAGUCAGUGAAAGAAUAUUCUGACAGACUUCUCAGUAUUGCCAACAAGGUGAGAUUGCUUAGUUCUGAGUUGAACGACUCUAGAAUCGUAGAAAAGCUACUGGUCACUGUUCCAAAGAAGUUUGAAGCCACCAUUACUACUCUGGAGAACACCAAGGACAUGUGUCAAAGAUCUCUCUUGCAGAGCUCUUGAAUGCUUUACAAGCACAAGAGCAAAGAAGAUCCAUGAGGCAAGAGGGAGUGAUAGAAGGGGCCUUACCUGUCAAGCAUCAAGACAAUAAUAGGUAUAAAAAGAAGAAAAAUUUUAAGAACCAGUCGACGAGCGGAGAAAAUUCAUCAGGCAAUUAUCAGAAGAGCAAAAGAGGAGGUGUCAAGAAAUCCUACCCACCUUGUCACCAUUGUGAGAAGAAAAGUCAUCCACCAUUCAAAUGUUGGAAAAGACCUGACGCCAAAUGCUCCAAAUGCAAUCAACUUGGACAUGAAGCAGUGAUUUGCAAGGUCAAAGGCCAGGUGCAAGAACUAGAUGCACAGGUAGCUGAUCAAUAAGAAGAAGAUCAAUUGUUCGUGGUUACUUGUUUCUCAGGCAGAGAAUCAAGUGAGAGCUGGUUGAUUGAUAGUGGGUGCACAAAUCACAUGACGUAUGACAAUGAGCUCUUCGAGGAAUUGAGAACACUGAAGUCAAAAGAGUGAGGAUUAGAAAUGGUGAGUACUUGGAAGUCAAGGGAAAAGGCAUAGUAGCUAUUACAAGCUAUGAAGGUACAAAAUUCUUUUCAGAUGUUUUGUUUUUACCUAAAAUUGAUCAAAAUCUCUUAAGUGUUGGUCAGUUGCUGCUGGAUAAAGGCUAUAAAGUGCUAUUUGAAAAUAAGCAGUGCUUGAUCAGAGAUGCUAAUGGCAGAGACUUGUUCAAUGUCAAAAUGAAAUGAAAAGUUUUGCUCUUAAUCCAAUGGAAAAGGAGCAAAUGGCUUUUAAAUCCAGAGUUAGUGCUACUGAGACUUGGCACAAGAGACUUGGGCACUUUCACCAUCAAGGAUUGCUUUAAAUGUAGUCGAAGAAGCUGGUGGAAGGACUUACAGACAUUGAUGAUGAUCUACCUCAUUGUCGAGCUUGCAAAUUUGGGAAACAACAUAGACAACCCUUUCCUAAACAAGCCUGGAGAGCCUCGAAGAAGUUACAACUUGUUCAUACUAAUCUUUGUGGUCCUCAGAGAACGCCUUCGUUAAAUGGUAGCCUCUAUUACAUAGAAUUUAUUGAUGAUAUAACAAGAAUGUGUUGGAUUUUUUUGUUGAAACAAAAAUUAGAAGUUGUUGGUGUGUUCUAGAAAUUCAAAGCUGGAGUUGAGAACGAAAGUGGAUGCAUGAUUCAGAUUUUAAGAUCUGAUAAUGGCAAGGAGUACACUUCAGAAACUUUUAAUAGUUUUUGUGAAGAGGCUGGAAUUGAGCAUCAGUUGACGGCGCCAUACACUCUACAACAAAAUGAAGUCAGUGAAAGGAGGAAUAGAUUCAUAAUGGAGAUGACUCGAUGUAUGCUUCAUGAGAAGAAUCUUCCAAAAGGAUUUUGGGGAGAAGCUGCAAACGCUGCUGUGUUCUUGCAAAAUCAGAUUUCAACAAAAGCUGUGAAGGAUCAGACGCCAUUUGAAGCUUGGUAUGGUUACAAACCCUCUUUAAAGUUUCUUAGAGUGUUUGGCUGCCUGUGUUUCACUUACAUUCCAUAGGUCAAGCAUGAUAAGCUUGACAAAAAGGCAGAAGCUGGCAUUUUUGUUGGGUAUAGCAUUGUAUCUAAAGCUUACAGAGUCUUUCAACCACACACUGGACGUGUUACUGUGAGCAGAGAUGUUUAUUUUGUUGAAAAUAAGCAAUGGAAUUGGGAAGACUCGACCAAGGUGAACCAAACUUAUAGUGUACCAAAUCGUUUUACCAUUGGCAGCAUGUUAGAAGAGCUUGAAGAUGAAGGGCAAGAUGUUUUGGCUGAUGAUGCACCUGUCAGAGGUACAAGGCUGCUCUCAGACAUUUACCAAAGAUGUAAUAUGGCUAUUUGUGAGCCUGCAGGGUAUGAUGAUGCAAAAAAACAGUCAACAUUGGAUGACUGCAAUGAAGGAGGAGCUUGCGAUGAUCGAAAAAAACAAAACUUGGAAGUUGGUUGAUCGACCUCUGGACAAAAAGAUAAUUGGAGUUUGCAACAUCUAAACAAGGAGUGUUAAGAUCAUGUGUUUAAGAUUGCUGCCAUUUAAUUUUUUCUGUUACUAAAUUUGAAUAAUUCUCCUUGACUUUAGGAGAUUAGAUUUUUGAUUUGUUUGCUAUUUUGUUACCAAAUUUUUAGCAGUUUUUUAGAACCUUUUUUUCUAUUUUUAGCUUGAACUUUUGUAUUUAAAUAGUUGAGGUGCAAAUCAAUUAUUUAUUCAAGUCUUCAAUUAUUUUUCUAUUUAAAAACUUCCCGUCUCUUCUUUCUACUUCAAAUCUCUCGAUCAACCAUCAAAGUUCGAGUUCUAAACAUCAACAGUAUCUUUAAUUAUAUAGCAACAACUCUGAUAAGAUACAGAUAGAAACUUUUGUCUAUUAAAUAUAUAAAGUGACUAUGCAAUUGAUAAUCAUAUACAAUAAUCAACAUUUGACUAAACUUUGCAACCUAUACAAGUUUUUUUGGGAUUUCGACAAAAUAUAAACAUAAACCCCGAGAAGAUACGUAAAACAUUUACUCAUCCAUGGCAACUGACUGAAAAAAUUUGGGUUGUCAUCUUGCUCAUAAUCAUAUACAAGGUCAAUACCAAAUUCUAGCACAGAUAAAUCUGAAAGAACCCGAAGACUAAUAUGAUCACCAGCUUCUAAUUCAUCACCCCUAAAGUUCCAACAAGUCGUCCAGUAUAAGGUAUUCUUAGUUUCAGGAAUUCCCAUAAAAUGUUUGGAGUAGGUCCACUUUGUACCUUUGGUCUCGUUCACAAUUUCAAGGCAUGGUAAAAAUCCAUAUGUUUUAUCAUUCUUGGCAGAAAAAAUGAUAAUCGAAUUUAAGAAGCAACUUAUCUUUCGACUAGAUUUUGGGGGCACUGAUAUUGAAAUCUCAGUCUUGCCAGCUUGAUGGCCAAAGUAAUGACCAUGGUAAUCAAAUGGCAACGGAUCAAAUGUUGUAAUUAUACCGUAAUCAUAUAAUACCUGUAGCAUUGGGUUAGAGAAUGAGUUAUUAAAAAGUAUAUAGUAUAUAAAUAAUUUUAAAAACUUGGAACUUGUAAAGGGAACCUGUGGGGAAGCUACCACUUUUGAUUCUUCUAUAUAACUGCAAAGUUGCACUUUAACAUUUCCAUAAGAUUCCAAACUGGGCAAGUGUUUAGUUAGGUCCAUCUUGAUAUUUCUUGUGGAAACUUCAUCUCCUAAAAUAUGUACAAUAAUGUGUUAUUUAUCAAUUUUAGUGAUCAUCAACAUAAUAUACUUAUUAGAAAGUAAUAGUACUGACUUGAAUGGAGUGAUAAUUAAAGCUUUUAUCAGACACCUAUUUGACACGAAUUCAAAUAGUGACCCAUAUAUUGUAUGAAAAAAAGAUAUCAAAGUAGUAAUGUUAUUAUCACUAAAAUGUAUUCUAAGACUUAUCAGAAAUAAUCAGUUAUACACAUUAUAUCUUUAUUUUUCAUUUUUAUACAAAAUAUAAACUUUAAAACUAUUAAAUAUUUUAAUCAAAACACCACUUUUAUAAUUUUAUCCAUUAUUUUAGUUUCCACUUCUAUUAGAACUAUUGGAUUAAUCAUUUAUCAAACAAUUAACUUAUUUUCAUUAGACCCCAAUUGCAGUAUAACUUUAUAAUUAUCAUUUUAUUAUUAAGCUAAAUUUCUCUCAUAAUCUAUUAAAUUGUCACAUUUCUUGAUAAUUUUUUUUAUUGUAUUAGAAAGUCUUUUAGAGAAACAUUCAUCAUUUCUUGAACAUUUGUUAUUCACAUAGAAAAUGAAAAAUAAAAUAAAUAUAAUAGGAUGUAUUCACUAAAAUAUAAUUAUUUGAAGUCCACUCAUACCUGUAGAUAAGUGCGAAAAGCCAUAUUCAUAUCUAAUGUUGUGUUCUGAUUCAUAAGUAACGCCAAAUUUUCUUAUGCUGAGAUGAAUAGGCACUACCAUGCAACUCACAAGGUCACCACCUUCAAACUGACAGUCCGUUACUGGCCAAUGAAUCAACCACAACAUUGUGUUAUCGUUAGUCUCAGGAAUUCCAAUGAAACUUGAGCGAUAUCUCUGCAUGAUCAUUUUGGUCUCAUUGAAAAUGUGGACACUUGGUAGAAGCUCCAACAUUUGGUCACUAGCUACAGAGAAAACAAUGCAUAAGCUGAACUGAUGGAUCUUUUCAUCUGGAUGAGAUGGUGUUGGCAAAAAAAAAGAGAUUUGAUGCUCGUUAGUGCCAUGCUUAAACCCACUCGGAACUUCACUUCCUAUAAAAAAUGUGCUUGUUAUACCACAUUCUUGCAAGACCUGAUCCAAAAAAACAAGUUAGAUGAUUAAGUAGUGUAAGAGAAAAAAUAGAUUUAAAAUUUAAGUUGGAGAACUAUUGGACCUGUGGGGUAGCUAGCAUUAUGCUGUCUGUUAGGUAGCUAUAAAGUGGCAGUCGAUUUCUGUUAAUGGAAUCUACGUUGAAUAAUCUUCUAAUCUCUUCUGCUUCAAAGUUUUCAAUUGGUUCCAACUUGAAUAGAUCUUCAACCUCCGUCAAUUUUUCACAUCCAAAAAUAUCACAUCGUGUGGAAGAAAAGAAGCAUGGAAGAAUUGCCCCAUAUCCUUUAAAUGGAGAUACUGUCAAGAACUCAAAAACAUUGGGCAAGACUGGAAGCUUUGGAAUCUUUUGGAGUUCAGUGCAAGAAGUCAGUAGAAGCUCAUCAAGUUUUGUAAGGUUUUUUAAGCUUUCGGGUAGGUAAUGAAUUGGGUUUCUACUUAAAUUUAAGGAUUUCAAGGAAGCCAAGUUACAAAGAGCAUUGGGCAUGACAUCAUUAGAUAAUUUGCAACUUCCAAGGCUUAACUUUACCAAAGAGCCCGGUAGAGAUGCCCAAGAGAAACCCAAUCCUUUGCUUCUUUUCUGUAAAAGCCACUGCAACCCCAAUCUUGAUUGAUAUAUGGCAGUUUCAUCUAAAUUAAGCACCUUCAAUGAUUCCAUAUUAUGCAACUCCCUAGGAACAUCAUCAAGUCUUGAACAACCAGAUAAGAUAAGCUCUUCAAGUGAUAUUAAUGAACCAAUUGUCCUUGGAAGUUUCCUAAGACUUGUGCAAUCUUUAAGGUUCAAGAAAGUAAGCAUCUUUAGCUCACCAAUGGAUUGAUCAACUUCCACCAAAUUUAUGCAAUCUUUGAGCAUCAACUUCUCAAGGCUAGGGAGUCCUGAAAAGGUUGGGGUUUUAAGAAGGCUAUGUGAAUGGUUGAGAUUAAGGAUCUUUAAAUUUGGGAGACACUGCAAAAAAAGAAAAACCCUUCUGUUAUAAAUGUAUUAUUGUUUCACACACACACAAAGAAGAAGGGAAAAGUAGUAUACAUCAUACCUCUGUAUCCUUCCAAACUUGUUUAAGUUUACUGUUGCGCAUGUCGAGAACAACUAGUUCAUUGAUAUCAAAAUCCACCGGAAAAGAUUGCAUCCAAAACCCAUGCCAACGUAACCAUCUUAAUCUUUUGGGGAAGUCUUUGAAGUCUCCUUUAAGUCUUACAUAAUCCAGUUGAAGCAGUUUAAGUCUCUUCAUCUUUGCAAAUGCUUGAGUUUCCAUAUCAACAUCAUUUGCCAUCAGAAACUGACUUUUGGAAUGCUUUGGAAAAUGUAGAGUUGUAUUUGUCCUUUUAGCCUUGUCUNNNNNNNNNNNNNNNNNNNNNNNNNNNNNNNNNNNNNNNNNNNNNNNNNNNNNNNNNNNNNNNNNNNNNNNNNNNNNNNNNNNNNNNNNNNNNNNNNNNNAGGCACUUAACUGUUCUGGAACCCUGCAUCAGAAAAACUUUUUUAAAAAAUAAAAAGAAAUUUGAUAAAAAAAGUAGUUUACAUGCACACAAGAAAAAAGUUGAGUAAAAUGAUGUUUCUUACAAUUUUUUCUCUUAUUACAUCAAACGCGUUCUUAUGCCACAAUCUGCUUCGUUUCCCAAUAUCAGAAGAUUCUUGACGAAUAAUUUCUCGUCCCAUAUCUCUAAUCAUUUGGUGCAUCAUUAGCUUAUUUUUUUCAUUAAUGAUUAAGAGAGACCUACCUACUAGAUUUUCAAUUCCAAUUGUUGUAUAAUAAUCACAACCAUCUAAAAUUGUAGUCAUGUAAUCUCUAUCCUUCCCAAUGAAUAAACAAACUAUGUCAAGGAAAAAAUUUUUGUCAUGAUCGUCUUCCAAAGAAUCAUAGCUUAUUCUUAGAAUCUCUUGAAUUUUGCUGUCAGGGAUUUCUUCCAAUUUCUCCAAUGCACUUUUCCAAGAACUCACACUUUUGCUAGAUAAUGAAGAGCCCAAAACUUGAAGAGCUAACGGAAGCCCACCACAGUGUUUCACUAAACUUCUUGCAUAUGCCAUCGAACUUUCAGGCACAGAGUUAUGACCAAAAGCAUACCAAUUAAAAAGUUGUAGCGAUUCACUUGAAGCUAAUUCUUUUACUUCAAAUAGCUUGCUUAAGCCUCCACAGCUAGUUGAUGCUUCCAAAUCAAACAUUUGGCUUAUAAAAUGUGCAUUCAAUAGGCAUCGGUUUCUACUAGUUAUGAUGAUUUUACUUCCCGGAUGAAAAGGAAUUUCGAGUUCCCAUUAAUUUUCUUAUUNNNNNNNNNNNNNNNNNNNNNNNNNNNNNNNNNNNNNNNNNNNNNNNNNNNNNNNNNNNNNNNNNNNNNNNNNNNNNNNNNNNNNNNNNNNNNNNNNNNNNNNNNNNNNNNNNNNNNNNNNNNNNNNNNNNNNNNNNNNNNNNNNNNACUAAACCAUUGCAAUCUUGACUUGUUUCUCUAACAUCAGCAAGGAAACUAUAACUUUCAAACCUCGGGAUGUUUUGAUUGUAAACAACUUUGGCAAUGGUUGUCUUCCCAAUGCCUCCAAUGCCACAAAUAGUUGCAAUGCCAACUUUAUUUGCUCCAUCUUGUUCUAACCAUUGAUUAAUUUGUGUCACGAGAGAAUCUAUUCCAACUAAAUAAGGAGGGACAUAUAAAGAAAUAAGAUGAAGCUUAUUUUGAACUUCUUUAACAAUAUCUUGAAUGAAUUGUGAUUCAUGCCUGCAAAUUUAAAAAAUACAACUCGAUGGUAAAAUCUUGGAAAGUGAGUAAAAGUUAUUAAUGUAUUUUCUCUUUUUUUGCAUAUAUUUUGAUUGUUUUUAUGAGAUUAUAUGUUCAAAUAAAAAUAAGAAACUAAUGCAACAUUUUAACAUAUAUGAUAGAAUUAUUACAUUCAAAAUCAAAUCAAAUCAAAUAAAGAACAUAAAAAUUAAUGAAAUUCAUUUGAAACAACCUAUACUCAAAAUUUCAACUUUCUCUUUGUGAAAGUUUAAUAAAUUCAUGUUAUUUACAUGAAUUUAUAUAUUUAUUUUUUAUUCAUUUUAAUAUUUUGAAUAUGUGUAGACCUAUUACACGAAUAAUUUGGAUAUGAUUGUUGGAAAUAUACUACUGCAAAAUAGAAUUGUUACAGGAGACCAAACUGAAUGUAAAUAAAAUAAGAAUCACUCUGUCGUAGAAGAACCAUUGCAUUAGAGGCAAAAUGGCCCUGAUCGGUGUAAUCUCGCUUAAAACCUAAUCUCUUAGACAGAAUUUCCCUCUCGUAUAAUUUUGCAGAACACUAGAAUUUAGAGAACAUAGAGAAGUUGCUUUUCUCUUGUUGUGUUCUGUGAAAAAUGAGGAGAAUGACCUCCUAUUUAUACAGUUUUUUGAAGGGCAAAAUGGUAAAAUAAUCGUUUUAGUUUCCAAAAAUAGUAGAGGAUUUCCCUAACUGAAAAUAUUCUGAAAUAUAUUUUCUGCAACAGUGAGAGUAUUUUCCACAAUUGAAAAUAUUCUUUUGCAUUACCAACAAUGACAUCUUAACCACAAAUAGUGUCAUUAAUUUCAAGAGGCUACUUCUUUUUGUUUUCAACUCGUCAAAUCUAAGUUGCUCAUGUGAUAGGUGCAUACGUAUUUAAAAUUUGAUUUAUGUGUUUUAAAAACAUUCCACAUCAGAUUCGAGCUAACAUUUAAUGCUUAAACUGAUGACUUGUUUGAUAGACAGACCUUAUUGAUACAAUACUAAUACUUUAAUGACCCAAUUAAAACAUGUUAAUUUUUGAGAAAUAAUUUAAAACUUGAGUUAUAAUUAACCCUUUAAAAUGGAUUGAAGUAACCAUUUUAAUUUCCAAACGCUACCUAACAAUAUUUUCUAUUAAUUUUCUUUCUACUCUAUCAAGUCUUAAUGAAAAGGNNNNNNNNNNNNNNNNNNNNNNNNNNNNNNNNNNNNNNNNNNNNNNNNNNNNNNNNNNNNNNNNNNNNNNNNNNNNNNNNNNNNNNNNNNNNNNNNNNNNNNNNNNNNNNNNNNNNNNNNNNNNNNNNNNNNNNNNNNNNNNNNNNNNNNNNNNNNNNNNNNNNNNNNNNNNNNNNNNNNNNNNNNNNNNNNNNNNNNNNNNNNNNNNNNNNNNNNNNNNNNNNNNNNNNNNNNNNNNNNNNNNNNNNNNNNNNNNNNNNNNNNNNNNNNNNNNNNNNNNNNNNNNNNNNNNNNNNNNNNNNNNNNNNNNNNNNNNNNNNNNNNNNNNNNNNNNNNNNNNNNNNNNNNNNNNNNNNNNNNNNNNNNNNNNNNNNNNNNNNNNNNNNNNNNNNNNNNNNNNNNNNNNNNNNNNNNNNNNNNNNNNNNNNNNNNNNNNNNNNNNNNNNNNNNNCACCUCUAAAACUCAAGAAUACAUGAUAACUACAUCGCGAGAUUUCUGACAUUGCCAUUGAAGAAGAAAAUGAAGUCGUCCUGUGUUUAAUAACAAGGUUCCAGCAUAUCCAGCAUAUAUAUAUAUAUAUGAAUGGCAAAGCAGAUAUUAUUAGCAGUCAAGUGGCAGUUCCCAAUCCAUGGUGGGUCAAUCCUUCGACCAGUUCAUACAACUGCCCGAAGACAUUCAAGUCGGCCAUGUUGUGUUUUUCCAAAUCUACCAACUUGGGUUACGUAUUCUAUAUUAUUAAUUUUGCUUGACAAAUACAAUGUAUUGAUUAACUUGAUGGUUAUAGCUAACACAACACGUAUAUAGACAUCAUCUUCAGGCUAAUAUUAGUAAAAAUAUUAUGAAGGUUCUUGUAUUUUAAGUCAUAUUAUAUUUUGUUUUCUCUACUUAAAAAAUAUUAAAUUAAUUUUUGUAUAUUAUAUUAAAAAGUAAAUUAGUUCAUUUGUUAAAAAAAUUAUCUAUUGUUAUUGUUAAAAAUUGAUCUAUGUAAUCAACAUGAGGUAUAUGUGACACGCCACAUGCAACUAUCUGAUUAUUUCAUCAUUCAAUUUAGUUUUUAACAACAAAAAUGAAUGAAAUUUUUAAUAAAAAUGAUAAAUUUGUUCUUUUAUAUAAUGUAUAUGGACUAAUUUACUUGUUUUUAAAUAAAAUGGGUUAAGUACAAUUUGACUCUCAAUAGAAUGAUCUCCAUGAUACUUUUACCGGCUAAUACCUUGGUGGAUACACUCAAUAAUUAAACCACAACCACAUAUAUCACAUAGACAUCACAUUAAACAUUCAAGCUUGGUAUAGUAAAGAGACAAUUUUAGUAUCUAUGCAUGAAUGAAGAAUUAAUUAUUUUUGGAAAAGAAUUGGUGAUUAAAUUGAUCAGAUCAUCAAUUUUUUAUUUGAUUUGUUCGUGUUAUCUAAAAUAAAUAAAUUUUUAAAGACUAAAAAAAUAAUAAAAAUUCACUUAUAUUGCACAUUAAAGUAAAUUGAAAAUGUGGAAAUUUAGCGAGGGACAUAAGAGAAGAAGAAUAAUUCCGAAGUAUUUGGUGUGGAAAAUAUUGGUNNNNNNNNNNNNNNNNNNNNNNNNNNNNNNNNNNNNNNNNNNNNNNNNNNNNNNNNNNNNNNNNNNNNNNNNNNNNNNNNNNNNNNNNNNNNNNNNNNNNNNNNNNNNNNNNNNNNNNNNNNNNNNNNNNNNNNNNNNNNNNNNNNNNNNNNNNNNNNNNNNNNNNNNNNNNNNNNNNNNNNNNNNNNNNNNNNNNNNNNNNNNNNNNNNNNNNNNNNNNNNNNNNNNNNNNNNNNNNNNNNNNNNNNNNNNNNNNNNNNNNNNNNNNNNNNNNNNNNNNNNNNNNNNNNNNNNNNNNNNNNNNNNNNNNNNNNNNNNNNNNNNNNNNNNNNNNNNNNNNNNNNNNNNNNNNNNNNNNNNNNNNNNNNNNNNNNNNNNNNNNNNNNNNNNNNNNNNNNNNNNNNNNNNNNNNNNNNNNNNNNNNNNAUUACCAUUAGCAAUUAAAGAGGGGCUUCAACAAAAUUAUGGCCCCAACUGUUUCACCUAACAUAAUAAAUUCGUGGACUAACCAAUUUCAGUGCAAUAAAAGUAGUGAAGAGGAUGGGAUAAGGUUAAGGUUUACAUUGUUGGUAAUGCAAACUAGAAUCCCUCGUUACAGCCUUCAAAUUUUUUGGUUCACAAUAUUUUAGGAAGAACUAGAUUCAAAUAAUAUUUUUCCGUGAUUAUUUUUUCAAUAAUAUCAUCUUUAAAGUUUAGAUCUAUACUUUUUAAAAAAGUAUAAUAUGUCUUACCAUUAUGUCUAACACUCAAAUAAUAAUGUUAACAAAAAGGUUGAGCACCAAAUGGUUGAUAAGUACUAACAAGCUCAUGGUCUAAAGUAGAGGUGUCCAUGGGCCGGGCGGCCCGACCUUGCCCGACCGCCCGCCCAAAAUAUGGGAGGGUUCGGGUAAAAAUAUAGGCCCCAAAUAUGGGUUUGGGCAAACGAGGCCCGUUUAGAAAAUGGGCCGGGCCACGGGUAUCUCUUUUUGGCCUAGGCCCGUCUCGGCCUGAAUAUAAUAAAUAUAUUUUUUAUUUUUUUAUUUUAAAAUAUUUUUAAAAUACUUUUUUUAUUUUUUAUUUUUAAAAUAAAUUUUUUGUGUUUAUUAAAAAAGGGCCAGGGCGGGCUCGGGCUUAGAAUUUUUUUCCCAGCCCGGGCCUGGACAAAUUUUCAUGCCCAUAUUUUGGGUCGGGCCUGGCCCGGGCCUAGGAUGCAGCCCGAAUUUUUUUCUGGACUCGACCUGAACCCGGCCCGGUCCAUGGACACCUCUAGUCUAAAGUCUAGAUCGAGUAGCACUAUUAUCCAAAACAUAGUGAAACAGAUUAAUUCUUUCUUCGACGUUUGUUAUAUAGAACUCUACAACCUAGUGCUCCUAAUUAUCAAUUUUAUUCUUGUGACUCCAUAAUUAAAAUUUAGCUGAUCCCUUCAUUCAAGAGUGUAAUUAUUCGAAUAGGAUCAUGUCUCUUUUAUGGUGGAACACUAAUUCAUUUUAUUACUUGGACUUGUUCAUAAAAAUUCUCUUAAAAUAUCGAAUAAAUAUCAGUUAGGUGUUCUGAUGAUUUAAAUAUUUAGUUUUUAAGAGAAUAUAUUCUUACCUCGUUAUGCCUUCUCGAAGAUUUAUGUCAAAUUCAAACUGAUGUGAGUUGGCAGCUAUAUAUUUUUAUUUUUAAGGAUUUUAGUCCCUCUAUUUUUUGAGAUUUCUAAACUCAAAUCCAAUUGUUAACACUGUUAAUUUUUUUUGUUAAAUUUGAGUUAAUUACAAUAUCAUUUUUGUAAUUACAUGGUUAUCAAAUAGGUUUUUUUUUAUUUCAAAAUGCCACCCUAACACAUUUAACAAAAAAAAUUUAAAAUGUUAACCAUCAGAAAGUAAAGAGACUAAAUUUCUGGAAAUAAAAGUACGUGUUCUAAACUCCAAAAUUUUUAAAAGUACAAGAACUUAUGGCAUAUUUUAACCUUUUAACUUCUGGGUCGAGCUACUCAUCCAAUCCCCGCUUGAGAUUUGGGAAGAUUUAGACAAAAUUAUCAAGCUCAAAAAAUGGACUUGGACAAAAAGUUAGUCCGAUUUAAAAUACGAGUGGGGCUCGGGCAUAAAAAUUCAAGGCCCGAGCCAUUUACUAAUUUUCUAAUAUAUUAUAUUAUGUUAUUUUUAUAAAUUAUAUAAUUUAUUUCAAAAAAUAAAUCUAUAGUAAUACAUAUGAUAGUACUAUAAUGUAAACAUUAAAAAAUGUUAAGAUGUCUAUAUAAAAUGUUAAGAUAUUUGGGAAAAAAUUCAAUUCAAUCAGGCUCAAAACAAUUUGUGGGUCAAUUAAUUUAACAUCUCUAUUCAAAUCAACAAUGGCAAAACCUAAUAGAGGCCCAGGGGGCCAUGGCACCCCCAAGGAUUAAAUUUUUUGCAAUUUAGCCCUUUGUAGAUAUACUAUGGCCCUCCCAAACAUAUAAGUAGCCCCCCCCCCAAGGUUUAAGAUUUUUGCAAUUUAAUUUCCAAAUAUACUGCUUCUUUUGGAUUGAUUAUCAUGUUGGAAUAGUGCUUCUUUUGAGUCGAUUCUUUGUAUGUUUAAAUCGAUUGUCAAAUUAGAACACUACUUCUUUUGAAUCGAUUGUGUAUAUGAUUAAAUUGAUUGUUAUGUUGGAAUACUGCUUCUUUUUAAUUGAUUGUGUAUAUGAUUAAAUUGAUUGUUAUGUUGGAAUACUACUUCUCUUGAAUCGAUUGUUUAUAUGUUUAAAUCGAUUGUUACAUAACACAUCUAAUUAAUUUGUUCUUUGCUUCUUUGAUUGUUGCGUAGCAUUUCCUUUUAUUCUCUACUUCUUUGAUUGUUGGUUGUUUUAAAUAGCUUCUUUUCCUAAAAUGAUAAGGGACCAAAUGAAUAUCAGCAAAGAAUUUAUGUUGGAGUUUGAAUCGAUUCUUCGCUUAUUUCAAUUGAUUGUUUGUUGUUUUGAAUUAAUUCAUUAUUGUUUGAAUUGAUUCAAACUCCUACAUAAAUUCACUAUUGAUAUUCAUUUGGUCCCUUAUCAAUAUUAACUUACACAGAUGUGUGUAAGUUCUUUUUCCCUCAAACCUCCUGUUGAACGUGUGAAGCAAGCAAAGGUAUAUUUAUGGUUAUUCUUACUCUAGAAGAGAAAUGAUUCCUCAUACUUUAUACAGUGUAUUUACAUAUUUGCCCUCAACCGAAUAUUGAGGGAAUCUCCCUUCACUUUUGACACGUUCAAUAGAAAGUUUAAGGGAAAACAACUAAUUUACACCGGUGUAUAUAAGUAUUGAUAACUCUUUGAUACAAUAGAUUAAAUCGAAAAAUCAUUAUAUAGUAUUUUCCUAUACUAUGUGUUAUGUUUAUUAAUAAAACAUAUUUUUAAUUUAAAUGAUAUACUAAAAAUUGCUCAUCCACACAAUCAUUGAUAUGUUGAUUUAGGAUCCAAACUUGAAUCAUAUAUUCUUACGUAGUGAAACUAAAAAAGGCCUCGUCGCCAUUCUCCAUCUAUUCCUAUAUAUUCAUCUGUUCGGAAGAAACUGAACUUAACAAAACACCAUGAAAGCAUAAUCGAUAUUUUUUCACUUUUAAGAAAUAUAAGUUGUUAAUAAUAUCAAACCCAAUAAUACAAUAUAUCAACAAUCAAACCAAAUCAACGACCAUACCACAAGCAAAAACAUAAAAUCAAUUCAUUUGGAAGGGUCUUCCACCUCAUUAUGUGCAUGAUUUUCAUACGAAUCCAGUUGCAAAGUAACGGUGUUUAACACUUUGAAUCGAUUCAAACUCCAACAUAAAUUUACUAUUGAUAUUCAUUUGGUCAUUUAUCAAUACUUGCACAACAUUUGUCCCUUAUCAAUACUUGCACAAAAAUAACUUGUGAAUACUGCUUUUUUCGAAUAGAUUGUUUGUAUGUUUAAAUUGAUUGUCAUGUUGGAAUAUUGCUUCUUUUGAAUCGAUUGUUAUGGUGGAAUACUACUUCUUCUUUUUAAUCGAUUGUUUAUAUGUUUAAAUCGAUUGUUAUGUUGGAAUAUUGUUGCUUUUGAAUCAACUGUUUAUAUGUUCAAAUUGGUUGUUAUGUUGGAAUACUACUUCUUUUGAAUCGAUUGUUUAUAUGUUUAGAUCAAUUGUUACGUAGCGCAUCUAAUUUUAGCUUGGCCCCCAAGAUUAACAUCAUGGCUCCGCCACUACGGAUCGAUAUAUAGGUCAAUUCUUGAUUCAAUUGAUCAACUAAUCCUAUUUAAUCCGAUUUAAAUAACUAUGCCACAUAUAUACAUAUUUCUAAAAUAAUAUGUUAGUAUAAAAAUAUUUAAUCAAUUUGAGUUAUGAAAUUGUCGUCUAACAAUAGUUUUGGGUAUCUUAUAAACUCAAAAUUUUCAAAUUAUGUUGGUGUCCAUUUGUGCUUUAUUUUUGGUACAAGCUCUUUUUGGAGUUAUACCAUACAUUAUAUAAUUUAAAAUAUUCUUAAAAAAUAGAUUGAAGUAAAUUAAGCCUAAAAUUUAAAUGUUUAAGUCAAAGCUUAAUUGAUAGUUUAAAUGAGAUUAUUCUUUUUUUUAAAUCUCAUUUUUUUAAUUUUAUCAAACCACCUCUAAAAAAUAAAUAAAAGAUGGUUGUUAGCCUUUUCCUAUAUAUGAGCAACAAUCUUUGGGCAGAGUAUAAAAGAUAGUUUAAGGUAUCUGAUUUUGUAGUAGUGACUAAUCUUUUCAUUGUUACUGCUUUUCAAAAGGUAAUAUGUAAAAAAUGGUAAUAUAUAAUUUACUUAUAAUUAUGGUACGUUUAGUUCGUUAGAGUGAAAUAAAAUUAUAAUAGAAUAAUAACUAUUAGGAAUGAAAUAGAAUUGUAAUUGAAUGGAAUAAAUAUGAUAAUUUGGUUGGGUAGAAUGAAUGAGCUGGUAAUAAUAUUUUUGUAUCUUGAUUUAAAAAAAUGAUAGUAAAAAUCGGCCAUUUUACCAAAAAAGCCCUUUUUUAAAAAUUACCGAAAUGGGCCCAUUAUUUAAUUAUUUACCGGAAUGGUCCAUUUUUCAGCAAAUUGCGUCCACGUCAGCGCGAUGUCAAGGGACGCGUGCUGACGUGGCCGCGAUUUCCUUCGCCACGUAGCGCAUUUCUGGGGACGCAUUUCGGCUUUUAGGGCUUAGGGUUCAGGCUUUUAGGGUUUUUAGGUCUUGGAAGAAAUAAUUUCGAGUUGAUGUUUCUGAUCAAAUAGUAUAAAAUCGCUUCUAACAGGAUGCUAUUUGAGAAGAAUUUGUGAAAUUGCGCCCUCGUGGACGCGCUUUUGCUACAGUAGGUCAUGGAAGAAAUAAUUUUUUUGACGUUUCUAAGCAAAUAAUAUAAAAUCGCUUAUAGCAGGAUGCUAUUUGAGAAGAAUUUGUAAAAUCGCACCCUCGUGGACGCGCUUUUGCUACAAUCGGUCAUGGAAGAAAUAAUUUUUUUGACGUUUCUGAGCAAAUAGUAUAAAAUCGCUUCUAGCAGGAUGCUAUUUGAGAAGGAUUUGUGAAAAUCGCGCCCUCGUGGACGCGCUUUUUCUACAGUAGUAUGUUUAGGCUGAGGCUAUAAAUUAGGCAGAAAAUGCUCUCAGAAUGCAUAAGUCACAGCAGAAAUAAUUUAGAGAGGCUAAAAAGGUUAGAGUUUCAAAUAUGAGUGAACGUAUUAGUGCUGUUAUUUACUACGAUGGUGAGGUUUGCCACACUGAGAAUGGUGUUAUUUUUUUGUAGGAGAAUACGGUGUGACUGGUUUUUAACCAGAACAUAGAUUUGACAGAACUUCGUAAAAGAAUUAGGCGUAAAAUUUUCAGAACGACGCCAAUGAAAGUUUUGUCUAUCACAUAUCGAUUUUGUUCUUCUGUUGAUCCGGUGACAUAUGACUCGUUCGACAUAAAAGGUGCUCAUAGCCUAGAGGCAAUGGUGCAGACUCAUCUUGCUAGUGGAGCACCUUAUAUUGAGUUAUAUGUACAAUUUACAUCGCCAACUAAUGUACUUUCGACCGGUGUUCAAGAUGUAUACACGACCCCUGGCUGACACUCGGUUAGCAGGUUACAAAAUACGGAACAGCCCAUGUUCGGUAGCGGUGUCGAAUGCACAUCCCCCGCGAGACACUCUGUCGGUGGAUGAGACAUCUACCUCAGUAGCUCGAUGUUUGAUGCUGGAAAUACGUACUGGGAACGGCAUCAAGUUCUAGUGGGUGGCAAUCUACAUCCAAUUGGGGACGUUAUCAAAUGCCCAGAAGAAGGAAUGACGUACUCCCUACGACGUCAACCGGUGAGGGGACCUCGUACGCUGCAGAUGAUUGUGGGUUAGAAGAUGACUCCGAUGUGGAUCCACUUCGAGAGCCCGGGCCGGAUGGUGCAGAAGUUGGCUAAUUUUCUGAACCGGAGCCUAUUCCAACAGAACCUGAAGAUGCUGAAAGGAGUUCAGAUGAAGAGGAAAACCCAUGAUUCAGAGCAUACUCACCUCCAGCCCACAUGCAUAAUGUCGAUCUGUCUGCAGAUGAUGCGUUAGAGUUUCCAGAUCUACCACACUGGUUGCGUGAUUGUACAAUUUCGGGGGCAGAUUUCGGUGAAUUUGAAGUUGGUAAUCAGUUUACCGACAAGGAUAGUUUUAUUGGUGCUUUGAAACAACAUAGCAUCAAAAACGUCAUUAACUACAACGUCGUUAAAUCCAAAUAUGAUAAGUUUGAGGCGAAGUGUGCGGUCCAAGAUGGCACAUGUUCAUGGAAAAUCUACGCCUCGUUAAGGAAAAAGGACAGGGUUGUGGGAGGUUAAAAAGUACAAAGGUCCACAUACAUGUGCUGCAGGUAUAGUAUUGACAGUUUCUGAAUAAUACUUUUAUUAUGCAAUGUUGCAUUAUUUAAUUUACUCGAUUUAUAGGUGUUUUACAAAAUCAUCCCAAGAUGGAUUCAGCUAUGUUAGCUAGCUUGAUACUGCCCACGGUAAAAGCAGAUCCCACGACUUCAGUGCCGGUGUUAAUUGCCAAUAUCCGUAGCCAAAUGGGGUACACGCCCUCUUACUGCAAGGCUUGGAUAGCUAAGCAAAAGGCGUUGGAGAAGAUGCAUAGUGGGUGGGACGCCUCAUAUAAUGAAAUAUGGCAGUGGUGUCAGGUGCUAGAGAGAUACGUCCCAGGUGCCAUCACAGACCUUGAAACGGAACAUGCGUACUACAACGGUCGAUUUCUACGUGGAUGCUAAGUGUUCAAAUGCCUGUUUUGGACCUUUAAGCAAUACCGAGACGUAUUUCCAUACUACAAGCCGUUGGUACAAAUUGACGGUACCUUCAUGUUCGGUAGGUAUACUCAUCGGCUAUUGCUUGGAGUGGCACAGGAUAGUGAUGGGAGAAUUCUUCCAAUUGCAUUUGCAAUAACACCGGGGGAGUCGUCUGAUGACUGGGAUUUCUUUCUCUCUAGGUUAAGGAGGCAUGUGUGCCCCCAACCUGAUAUCUGUGUUAUUUCAGAUUGGGGCACCGGUAUACUAGCUGCAUUUGAUCGACAGUGAAGCUUAUGGCAGCGCACACACCAUAUAUAUUGCCUAAGACACAUUGCUUCGAACUACUACAGGCAAUAUCCAUCUAAGAGCGAACGACGACAAGUGACCAACAUUGGUAUUUAGUCUAUAUCUGUGUUAUUUUGUUUGUCAAUUUGAAUUAGUUUUAUUGGUAGAAGUGGUAUAAAUUAUCGCUAUGAUCUUAUAUUGGCAGGGUAUGAAAUAAAUAAAGAUCGUUUUCACGAGAUGUUGGCAAUUUUACGUUCAAUUAACGGAGAAGGGGCGGACUACCUUUGUAACAUACGUUUCGAACAGUGGGCACAAGCAUACGACGGCGGCCUACGAUAUGGCCGUAUGACGUCAAACCUGACUGAAUGCAUAAAUUUUGUUCUUAAAUGAACGCGCCAUCUACCGAUAACAUCGGUUGUGCGAGAGACAUAUUUUCGGUUGGCGGCGCUAUUUCCAAAGCGAGCAGCAAGUUAUGCAGGUCAGAUGCAGGGAGGCCAUGUAUGGUGCAGUAAGGUAGUUCAAGAAAUUAACAAGGUCAAGGCGAGGGCAAACACCAUGCACAUAGUGUGUCACGAACGAGACAAUUUAUGGUUUCGCGUGACAGAGUUUGACAGACCGCACCAAGGUGUUGUUGGCGGGCAAUAUCGUGUACACUUGCGAAAUAGGACUUGUGACUGUGGGAUGUUUGAUGCACUUCGUUAUCCAUGCGUGCAUGUUAUUGCAGCUUGUCUGAAUCUCCGUCUGGAUUCGAUGAGUUAUGUGGACGAAGUGUACAAAUUAGAAAACAUGUACAACAUCUGGAGACACGUUUUCCCACCUGUCCCAGAUGAACGUAAGUGGCUGUCCGUAUCUCUUGCUCCUUUUAAGCUGUUUCCUGAUAGAGAAUUACGUCGCAAACCAAAGGGUCGACCUUGCUUGACUAGAAUACGUAACAAUAUGCAUAUCCGAGAAACAGCCAGUCAAACAAAGUUGUACGGAUGGUGUAGGAAUCCAGGCCAUACAAGUCGAUCAUGCCCUAAUCGUAAUAGUUGAAUGUAAUUGUAAAAAAAUUAAGUUUGUCAAAUUAUUAAUUGAUAAAUUGUAUUAAUGGUUAGUAAAAAUUUCAAAUUAUAUAAAAUUAUUAAUUGUUAGUGUUGACACCAUUUUUUGGAUAAAACGGGGUCGACUUGGGUUUUAAAAAUGAAAACGUAAAUUGGAGUCGCCACCGUUUGAUGAGGUGUGAUCGGAUCACCUCGAAAAGUGGUUCUUUUUAAUAAACGGUUUGAUUUUAUUAAAACAACAAGUUUGGUCCACGAAAUUCAGAAAAACAGGUUCGGGAGUCGGUUACACACGAGGAAGGAAUAGCACCCUCGAUACGCCUAAAAUUGGUACCUAGUUGAUUACUUAAUGUCUUAAUGUCAAAAAUUGAAACUUUGAAGAAUUUUAAAAAUACGAUCCUUAAUUUUCUUUGAAAGAAAUCGAGCUACUCGUUAAGACUUUUUCAUUUCAGAAAAAGAAAAUGUCACACCCAAUGCGUUAGAGUACGAUAUUUUACCUUUUCAGAAAUGAGAUAGUCUAAAACUCGCAUAGUAAAGUUUAAAAGGGUGUUUGAUUGUUUAAAUCAUAUGAAAAAAAAAAUUGCAACCCAAUACGUUAGGGUACAAUUUCUUCAAAUGUUAAACAUUGAAUAUUGCAUUUAUUUAAAAAAAAUCUUCGUUUCGAGAAAUCAACGUGUCAUGUCCAAUGCAUUAGGACACGACGUAUUGAAUUUUCGAUAAUGAGUUUUUAUAUAUGUCUUUUUAUAAAAAAAGAGUAACUUCGAUUAUUUAAAUUCAACAAAGAAAAUCGAAACCCAAUACGUUAGGGCUCGAUUUUCUCGAAGAUCUCAAAUACCGAGUGUUACUUUUAUUUUGAAAUUUUUCAUUUUUGAUAAAUCCGGGUAAAAAUGGAUGCAAAAUAAUGAUAACGAUGAUAAUGUAAGUAAAAUAAUGUGAGCAAAAUAAAAGAUAAAUAAAUAAUAAGACUAAUGUAAAAAAAAAUAAUCAUGCAAGCACAAUAACAAAUAAUAAAUAAAAAUUCUAAAGCAUAACAAAUAAUAAAAAUGAACAUGUAAAUAAAUAAAGAAAAUAAAAGAUAUUUAUGAAUUUUAAAAUAUAAAAAUAUAAGUAUUUACAUAUAUGUGCAUAUGUACAUAAAUAUAAGUUAUAUAAAAAUAUGUAAGUGUAUAAUGCAUAUAUGUAUAUAUAUAUGAAAUAAAAAUAAAGCUAAAAUAAAAUAAAACUAAUUAAUAUAUUAACACAAUAGUCAAAAAUAAAUAAAAGGAAAAUAAAACUAAUAAUAAUUAAUAAUAAUAAUAAUGAUAAUAAUAAUGAAAACAAUAAUAAAAUAAUUAACUAAAUAAUAAAAUUGCUAAACAAAGGCUAAAUCAAAAUAGAAACGAAAAUACUGGGCGAAUUUGAAAUAAAAAACCGAAAAGGAUUAAAUUGCUACACGCGCCGAAAGAGGAGGGACCAAAACGGUAAAUAAACCAAAGCCUCAAAACGCAGCGCUGCAACGGACUAAAAUGAAACAAAAAUAAAACUAUGUGGCUAAAUUAAAAUAAAAGAAAAUAACGAAAAAGGGCCAAAUUGCAACGCGCUGCAAAGUCAGAGGGACUGCGCGCAAAUAUCCCCUUUUGAAAAAACACGCUGAUCCUCCCCCCAGGGUCGGGUCAUCUCGCGGGUCAUGCCAAAACGACGCCAUUUUGGUGCCUGUAAGGCCUGCCCAAAACGGAGUCGUUUCAGGGGCCUAUAUAGGUAAAAAUAAACAAAAAAAAUCAUUUUAAAACCAUUUCAAAAAAAAAACUUUAGCCCCCUUUUUAUUUUCUCUCUAUCCCCUCUCCCUCCGGCCACGUUCCGGCCACUGACCACCGUGCCGGACUCCAGUCGCCGACGUCGGCACCGCCGUGCGCAGUGACCGGCGGGGGUAAAAAAUUUCCUUUUUUAGAUCUCGGCCCACUAAACUCAAAUCCGGCCUCAAAACACCCAAAAAAACAAAAGGCACGUAACAACUAUGGUGAGUUCCUCUUUUCCUUUUUUGUGUUUAUUCAUAUGUAAAAAAAACGAAAGAAAGAAUAAAAAUGAAAUAAAAAUAAAAAAACAAAAACAGUAAUGAACCUGUUCAAAGUUCUUUCUUUUAUUUUUUAUUCUAGUAAAAAAGAGAGAGCUUUACAAUCAGUUUUUGCUUGGCUUUUAUAGCCAUUUUACAAGUUUUUUUUUAUUUGCUUGCUUGUUGCUGUUUCUUUGUGUGCUUUCUUCUCAUUGUAGGUGGAGCAGGUGGCGUUGCAGGUGGUGGUGGCAGAGUUGGUGAUGGCAGAGGGUAAGUGGUGCGGCGCCUAGGGUUAGGGGGAUUAGGGUUUUCUAAAAUUUUUUAGUUUUUGGGCUGGGUUUUUAAUUUUUUUUGGGGCUGUUUUGAUUUGUUUUAUUUUCUCUGGUGGGCCGGGCAAAUUUGGGCUUCUACAGUUAGUAUCUGUCAAAACAUUUUUCCAAAUCUAACAUUAUGUGAAAGUAAAAUUAUUAAUUGAUAAAUUGUAUUAAUGGUUAGAAAAAUUAUCAAAUUAUAUAAAAUUAUUAAUUGUUAGUACUAGGAAAAAACAUUUUUCCAAAUCUAACAUUAUGUGAAAGUAAAAUUAUUAACUUAGUUUAGGGUUUUUAAUUAACUUAGUUUAGGGUUUUUAAGUUAAGGGUUAGGGUUUUUAAGUUAAGGGUUUAGGGUUUUUAAUUUAAUUAGGUUAGGGUUUUUAAUUUAAUUGUUAGAGUUUUUAAUUUAAUUGUUAGGGUUUUAAUUUAAUUAGGUUAGGGUUUUUAAGUUAAGGGUUAGGGUUUUUAAUUUAAUUAGGUUAGGGUUUUUAAGUUAAGGGUUAGGGUUUUUAAUUUAAUUAAAUAAUAUCAAAAUAUUCAAAAUAUUUGUACAAAUAAAUUUAAAUACGGCAAUCAAUGUCUAUGCCCGGGGGAUUCAGUGCCACAUGGUGGCCGUCGACGGUUAUGCGCUGGAUUCCUUCUUUCUCUAGCUUCCGGCGACGGUUGUUGCUCCUCCAGCAGGGAUUCUGGUCCUUCCGGUACGACAUCUAUUGUCGGACUUGGGAUGAUGAUCCACCUUCAAAGAAUAGUGUAUGUGGAGGUGUUUGCAUCACGAACGGCGACGGUGUUUGAAACUCAUACGUUGGUGGGGAUUGGUAAAAAGGAGAGCUCCCCGACGGCCCCUCUUGCGAUCCCUAGUGUGCCGCUGGCCUAUACAUCGGCGGUCCACUCAGCAUAACAAGAAAUGGAGCUGAACCGGGCAUUUGGCUCCAACCUGCCAUAGGACUCGGAAAAGGAUACAUAUAAGGGUAAGGAUACAUAUAAGGGCUAGGAAACGCACCUGACAUCAUCUGAAAAGACGAUUGCGUGGGUAUCAUCGACUGAACUGCUGCAUUGGGUGACUGUGUCGGUGCUCUCGCUGGGCCUGGUGAUUGCAUGGCCACUGAUGAUGAGCCGGGUGAAUGUCUGGGCCUCGUUGAGGGGCUACCUUCGUCGUCUUGUCGUCUUGGAUUUAGAGGCUCGAGCCUUUCCCUUUCGACACGUAUUUGUCGCUGUCUCUCCUCUGGCGUCAGUAAAUACAGCUUGCCAUGGAUCCUAAACCAUGGCAUGUAUUCUGGAACGCACGAUAACUCCGGAACGAUGAUUGGUUCUCGAGUAGGUAUAUAUUCAUACCGAUCUUCCCACAUUUCCAUGUACUCGGACCGAUAACUCAGCCAAUCCGUAUUCAAUUGCCAAAGGUCGACCUUGUGUUGAUUGUCAAACACCUCAGGAUCCACGGGAAUCGGUUGUCUACAUCUAAACUGUCGUAGCACUCUGUCUGACUGGUGCGGCUCCAUGGUUGCGUAGUUGAUCAACACGACUUUCACCUGCCAAGCUUGUGGAUUUUGUAAGAACUCUUCCGGGAUUACUGCCCGAAUUGCCAGAUCCUCAUAUGGUGUCCAUUGAAACUAUAUGAACAUGAUAGAAAUAUUAGUUAUAUACAUAAUACUAAAUACCAAAUACUAAAUACCAAUUGACUAGCGAAUGAUGGAAAUAUCAAUUUUAUUUAAUACUUACAUGUGCUUCCGACUGUUGGUCUAAUAGAAGCCGUAUAUCUUCAAGAGAGGUAGGUAAUCGAGCAUGACUUGCCGGAUGGUUCCACCUAAUUAAAUAAAAUUUUAGCAUACUUUUAUUUUUAAAAAUCUACAUAAUAAUUGUAAAAUCUAAUAUAAAAUUUACCUCGUUAUGAGUGGGAAUGUAUAUGGGUGGUCCACUCGAGGACGUAGAAAUGGAAAGCGAAAUCGUGCCCACGACUGUAGUAGUGAUAGGCAACCUCCAAUUUUUGCUCUCCUCGGUCGCGUCGCCCUGCACAUCUCCCGAUAUAACGUUGCCAAGACGGCAGACCCCCAACUCAAUUCACUGGCUACUCUAAAAUCGACGAGUUUCAGCAGUCAUCUUAGAUGUACGCGGCUCCCUGACGUGUCGGGCAUCAGAUAACCACCAAUUAUUUGAAGAAUGUAGGCCCGAGCAUAUUGGAUUCUUUCAAUUUCGGUUGAAUCUUCAUCCGGAUCAGGGAAUGUGUCACGUAACUAGCCCAUCUCAAUCUUACCUCCCUCCAUUUUCUCCGGAAUAGCGCCCAAAAGCUUGUAGCACACCGCCCCCCAAUCGCUAGAUUGGGCAGACCCGAUGACUGGGUACCCGUCCACCGGUAAUCCUAAUUGGAAACUGACAUCUUCUAGAGUGAUAGUGCACUCUCUACUUGGAAGAUGGAAUGUGUGCGUCUCGGGUCUCCACCUCUCGAUCAACGCACUGAUUAGUUUCGGGUACAACUUGCAUCCCCGGCCUACCGUCGCCACGUGCCAAAAACCUGCUUCCCGCAGGUAGUUCUCUACUAACGGUGAUGGAGGAGCAUGCAUAUUCUGGAUCUUGCAUUCCAAUACCCGAUCUACAGACUUUUAUAACAAAUAAUAAAUUAAUAAUUAUCUAAAAAUGCAUAAAUAAAAAAUUCUUAAAUAAUAUUUAAAAAUUAAAUUUCACACUUACCAUUUUCAUUUGUUCCACCGAUAUGUGAUGCUUAUCAAGACAAGUCAAUGAUCCAGCCAUUGAUGAAAUCGUACAAAUUUUUACGAAUUAUAAAAAAUAUAAAAUUAUUUUUAAAAAGGAAAUUGAGAGCAAAUUGAAAUUAAAUAUGGAUUUGAGAGAAUUUUGGAAGGAAAUUAAGAGAAAAUUGAAAUUAAAUAUGGAUUUGAGAGAAUUUUGGAAGGAAAUUGAGAGGAAAUACGAGAGAGCAUUAGUUUGUGAAAAAAUAAAAAGGGGUGGGGGUAUUUAUAGCUUUUUUUUACCGUUGGGGGGGCAACAGUCAAAUUUUUGACCGUUGGAGCAUUGUUCAUGCGCGGAGGAAAUCGCGGCCACGUCAGCGCGAUUUGCUGACAUGGCAUCAAAUCGUGUUCUAGAGGGCGCGAUUUGUUGCCAUGUCAGCAAAUCGCGCUGACGUGGCCGCAAUUUCCUGGCGCGUCCCCUGACAUCGCGCUGACGUGGACGCGAUUUGUCGAAAAAUGGAUCAUUCUGGUAAAUAAUUAAAUAAUGGGCCCAUUUCGGUAAUUUUUGAAAAAAAAGGGCUUAUAUUGGUAAUUUGCCCGUAAAAAUCAUCUGAAAAUAAGACGAAAUUCAAAGUACAACACCAAGUCUUCAUCAAGCAGUGUACAUGUCCAAAUUACUAUAUUGAUUAAUAAUAACAUUGAAUAAAUAACCUUCAAGAUUCAAUCCUUUAAGUUUUCUUUCUCCUUUAUUUACUUCCAUUUUAUAUAUGAUAUUUAGACUUAUUAAUGGGUUGAGUUAUUGAUCUAAACUUAAAAGAUUGUUUAAAUUUUGAAGGAGUUUUGGUAAAAAUAUUAAACCCUAAAAAUAGGACUAGACAAAAAAAAUUAAGUUUAUUUAAAAUAUGAGUUAAACUCAUAUAUGAACAUUCAAGGAUUGAACUAGGCUCGGCCCAUUUUUAAAAUUUGUAAUUUUUAUAUUAUAUUAUUUUUAUAUAUUAUGUAAUAUAUAAUACAAAAAUUAAAUUUAUAGUAAUAUAUAAUAUCGUAAAAAUUAAAAAAAACAUUAAGAUGAAUAUAUAUAUAAAAGUUUAAUAAAUAAAAUAUAUAAAUUAUUAAAUAGUAUUAAAAAUAAUAUAAAUAAUUUUAAAAAAUAAUUAUAUGGGUGGAUUUAAAAUGAAUUUGGGUUAACUAUUUAUAAGUAUGGAUGGGCUUAAACAAAUUUUAGGUACAUAUUUCAGACUGGGUUUGGUUUCUUGACAACCAGAAAAUGUGUUAACAACAUACUUAAAUCUAACCGAAACUCAACCCGACGCAUAGGGGAUUAUGUUUAAACAUCAAAUAAUAUUUGUGAAAUAUGAUUAAUUUUUAGAUAUUGCCUUAUGAGUAAAACUUUUUUAUUAGUUUGAAGAGUUGUGAGUUUAAUACUCUCUCAAAAUCGAUUCUUUAAUCAAUUUCCAAUUCAACCAAUUUAUCAGUCGAUCUAAUUCGGUUCAAACAACCCUAAUUAUAUGAAUUUCAAGCUGUUGAAGUUACAACUGAUAUUAAAAUAAAUCGGAACCUUCUCUAUCUCACCAAACUUACUCUAAACCAAGAGCAUAAAAAAUAAAAAAAUAAAAAUCCUCCUCUAAACCAUGCAGUGUUAGCAAUCGUAAGAUCUGUUAGUGAAACAUUGAGUAGAAACUAUAGAUGACAACAAGUGGGAACCCUCACCUUGUCAGAGAUCAUAGGAAGUAUUGAACUCUUAUAAUUAGAAUAAUCAAGUUCCACUGCAAAUAACGAUCAAAACCCACAAAAAUAAAAAUGCAUACCAUGAACAUGCAGCAGUUCAUAAUAUUCUUUGAAGUUUUAGACUCUUGACAAUAACCAGAAAAUUCAAACACAAACACAGUCUGUAUCUUCAGUUCAUAAACAUCCCAAUAAACCAUUGGGAUUCAAACACAAAACCAUCACACAAACACAUAUUGUCAGUAUCUUCAGUUCAUAAACAUCCCAAUAAACCAUUGACAUUCAAACACAACCAUCACACAAAUGCAUACUGGCAGUAUCUUCAGUUCAUAAACAUCCCAAUAAACCAUUGAGAUUGUAUUUCAAAGAAGCAAAUUACUCAACCCGUGGCUUUUUCGGCAAACUGGCUAGAUUCAGUUGGUUUUCUUUUAACCCAGCUUCGUCCUGAUCCAGCUUCAGUUUCUUUUCUUUUAAGUCAGCUUCGUCCUGAUCCAGCUUCAGUUUCUUCUCUUUUAAGUCAGCUCCAUCCUUCUCCAGCUUCAGUCUGUCUUUUCUAAUAUUAGCUUUCUUCUUCCACUACACCAAAACAGGGUUUUAGCGGCACUUUCUUAGGUCUAUAGUGGCGUUUUUUAGCGCCGUAAAUACUUUUAGCGGCGCUUCGCAAAGUGCCGCAAAGAUUGCUGCUAAUGACAGCGUCGGUAACUUUCGCGGCGCUUUCUAUGAUAAACGCCGCUAAAGAUCAGGAAUUUUAGCGGUGUUUUUUUUACAACGCCGCUAUAGACCAUGUUCUUUAGCGGCGCUUAAAUAAAAACACCACUAUAGACCGUGAUCUUUAGCGGCGCUUAAAAAAAACGCCACUAUAAACCGUGGUCUUUAGCGACGCUUACCAAAAAAUGCCACUAUAGACCAUGGUCUUUAGCGGUGCUUAACCAACAAACGCCACUACAGACCAUGGUCUUUAGCGGCGCUUAACCAACAAAUGCCACUACAGACCAUGGUCUUUAGCGGCGCUUAACCAACAAACGCCACUAUAGACCAUGGUCUUUAGCGGCGCUUAGGCGAAAAACGCCACUAUAGACCAUGGUCUUUCGCGGCGCUUAGGCGAAAAACGCCAAUAUAGACCAUGGUUUUUCGCGGCGCUUAGGAAAAAAACGCCACUAUAGACUGUGGUCUUUAGUGGCGCUGACCAAAAAAUGCCACUAUAGACCAUGGUCUUUAGUGGCGCUUAGGCGAAAAACGCCACUAUAGACCAUGGUCUUUCGCGGCGCUUAGGCGAAAAAUGCCACUAUAGACCAUUGUCUUUCGCGGCGCUUAGGAAAAAAAUGCCACUAUAGACCAUGGUCUUUAGUGGCGCUUAUGCAAAAAACGCCGCUAAUUUUGGUAGAUUUGGAAAGUUUUUUUUUUAUUUGCAGCCCUCCCGUAAAAACAAAUCAGAAGAAACCAAAUCUAAACCAACCAAAAGUAAUAAAUCUAUAUAAUAUUUAAAAUAAAUGUCAAUAAAUAAAAUAAAAUUCGUAUUAUUCUUACAAAAAUUGUAAAAGUUUAAAUGAUAAUACCAAAGUCAAAAUUGAAGUAUAUUUACACGAUAGUCUAAGACGACGGCGGUUGCGAUUGCUGAAACAUCUUCAUCAUAUUCUGAAGCUGCUGCUGGAGUUUAUCGAACUUUUUAAGUUGUUCUGCUUCCCUCGCCGCAGCCUCUACUUUACUCGCUUUAGCCUCUGCUUCUCUCGCUGCCGCAUCUGCUUUAAGCUGCUGCUGGAGUUCUUCAUGCUUUCGUUGAACCUCAACUUCUCUCGCUGCUGCCUCUGCUUCUCUCGCUGCCGCAUCUGCUUUAAGUUGUAGCUGGAGUUCUUCAUAUCUUUUUUGAACCUCAGCUUCUCUCGAUGUUGCCUCCGCUUUAAGUUGUGUAAUUUGCUCAGUUGUUGUCGCUUGCAUCUGAGAUAUCUGGUCUCUUAACCUCUAAACUUCAGCUUGGGCCUGACUCGCCGAACGCAUGUGUUGUUGCGAGCUGGAUCCAAAAUAUUGGGAUGGGUUAACAAAAGAUCCUUGAAAUCGAACCCGACCAUACCUUUCAGGACCCAAAACUUCAGUGAUAAUUCGGUUAUCAAUGUCGUCAAUAUGAACAGAACUAUCACUGGAAGUAAUCGCUUCGUACUCUACUUUUUUAUCCUUCAGUUUUUCCUAAAAAAUAAAUCACAUAGUUAAGAACGCAAUAUAUAUUAAAAAAACAAAUGCAACAUAACUUAACAAUAUUUGCAUUACAAGAAAUGAAAUAAACCAUUAGAAAAUAAACAGUAUAAAUAAUUAAAAUAAGUCAAACUGUAUUAAGCAAACGUACCAUAAUUUCUGCAGCUUCAGGAGUCAUAGGGUUUCCAUCUUUCUUCCUAUGUGUAAUGUUAAAAAGUUGAAGGCGUCCAACUUUUUGACCCGACAACACUUCCUACAAUACAAUAGUAAAAAUAUUAUUUGAUAGAAAGAAAUAAAUAUCUGCCAGUAUUAAAAAAUUCAAAAUACCUCGGCCUGAGCUACACACGCAAAACUUCUCGACCCAGCUGUGUGCGUGAAUUUUUGUUUCUGCCUACUACUUGNNNNNNNNNNNNNNNNNNNNNNNNNNNNNNNNNNNNNNNNNNNNNNNNNNNNNNNNNNNNNNNNNNNNNNNNNNNNNNNNNNNNNNNNNNNNNNNNNNNNUAAAUACUAUAAACCAAAAUAAUUACAAGAUUUUUGUAGUAACACAUACCUCUCAUUUCUUCGAAGUCCAAAAUCUAACGACCUCUUCCCACUGGUACCUUAGCAUUCCCGGCGGGACAUUUUGUAAUUUCUCGUCGAGUGUUGUUUUUGUCUUAAAAUAGUCUUUCUUUAAAGUGCUCUUAUGGUCUCUCCAUCUUUUUCCCAAUGCCUUCUUUACAUAAGCAUCGGAGACCUCUAGAGCAAAUCUCGCCUAAAAAAAACACAACUUAAGAAAGUAAAUGUAAACGAAACUUAAACCCAAGUAUUAUAAAUGACAUACACGUUUUUUUACCUUAAUGUUAUCGAGAGCUUGGUUCUUGUUACUCUCGGGCACUUUAUGCCAUGACUCGAAGUUAAUUGGCAACAUAUUUGCAUUCUGUGCUAGAAUGCCCAUGUAUCCUGCUAAAAGGCGAGCUUCUGAUCCAACAGGCUGACCAAAGCUAUUACUGGAUACUUGGACACGCUCGACUGGAUCUAGAUCGUAUAAAUCCCUCAGUAGCGUACGUCCGUGAACUCCUCGCGUCCCAGCAGUUUCAGCUAGAAAAUAAAAGUAUUGUAAUAUAAGAAAUUUAAAAAAUAAAAUAAAUAAUAUGUCAACACACAUGUAAGUUAAAUGUUAAAUUACUUUUAGCUUCUAUAGGUUCAAGUGUAACCGGAACGUUCAAAGAUCCAAUAGCAGUUUUUGUUCAGUGCUGUUUGUUUCGGUCGAGUUUGGAGUACCUUGAACAAUACGGUGCGCUCGCACGGGUCUUCUAGGCAUUUUAUCUACAAUAUAAAUAAAUUAGUGGAAAGCUUAAUAUACAAUUACAACAAUAAUAAUAUGUUUAAAAUAGUUUAAAUAUAUAAUAAGACCAAUAUUAUGAUAUGAUAUUACAUAUAAUUAAAUAAUCGUAAAAGCUUACUAUAUUAUAAUCCAUAAAUAUCUUCAUUCGUAUCCUGGCGGACCCAUUGACUGUGUGUACUAGUACUAGGGAUGUUUUCGUUUAAGUUUUGUUCUGGAAAUGGCAAAGUUUGUGUUCUGUCGUCAACGCCAUCUCUGCUUCCACUGCCCAUGUCAAACAAGUCCCUAGGGAUGUUACGAAGCACAACGUACCAACCCUCAUCAAUUGGAUCUUUUGAGUAAAAAACGUGUUUGGCUUGAGAAGGAAAUACGUACGGCUCAUCAAUCAAUUGUUGUCCGGUAUGAAUCAAUCGAGUGAAGUUCACCAUUGUGAAACCAAAUUGAUCUUGCUUAAUUCCACAACCAGUAUUAACAUCGGCCCAAUCACCUCGAAAUAAGACAACUUUCCAUUUUCCGUAGUAAUCCAACUCAAUUAUAUCAGUAAGAAGUCUGAAAUAUUCUACAUUUCCCUCGACAGGAUUGUUGUCCCUAGCACUAGCAUAACUAGUAACUGAGGAAUUAACAACUAUUCCACAAUUUUGCGUUCUCCUCAAUCUCUCGCGAUAUUUUGUAUGAAAUCUAAAUCCGUUUAUGAGGAACGCACUAUAUCUUUUAACCACCAGAUUUGGACCUUGAGAAAGCCAUUUGACUUCGUCGGUCACGUUCUUCCCACUCCAAACCUAUUGUAUGAUAAGUCAACUGAGUAAUUUCAAAUGUUAUGAGACAAGAUUAUAAUUAUAUGUUGAUGAAAGCUACAAUUGCAUACCGUUUCAGUUAACCAUUCAUGGAAAGAUUCUAUGAACAACUUAUUGAUGUCUCGAAGUUGUGUUUUUCGGGAGCGCGAACGAGAUCUCAGUAUUUGUUUGUACUCACUAUGUAAAAAAUAUGUUCAGCUUGUUAGAAGAUAAACAACUGAGGACUAAUUGAUGAAUAUCAAUCAAAUGGUUAAAAGAUAAAUAAUCUUACUUGCGUAAAGGUUCCAUUGAUUCGUGGUGAAACAGAACAUACCGAUGUGCUUGUACCCACGAAAAACCAUCUAAUUCUGCAAUUUCCACUUUGCCGAUUAGUUCUCCAAAACUUUGGAACAAAUAAGUAUCGGCCAAGUUAUGAUCUGUGAGUCCAGCAUUUCUAUUUGGUCUGCUCAACCUUGUUUCAACAUCAUCCAAAUAUUGCGAACAGAAGGUCAUACAUUCCUCUGCUAAGUAGGCUUCAGUAAUCGAUCCUUCUGGAUAACGCUUGUUGCGGUAGUAAGACAUUAAUUUGGAUAGGAACUUAAACACAAUAAAUAAUGUUAUGAAAAGUUGUACUUAAAGGCAUAUAGGGUUUACGGAAGGAGAGUUUUUAAAAUAAAUUAACACAUUUCUAUGGGAUACAUCCAUCGGUGAAAAACGGGUACGCCAAGAAUUGCUUCUCCCGGGAGGUGGUUUAUCAAGUGAACCAUAAUAGUGAAGAAGGAUGGUGGAAAGAUUUUCUCCAUGUUGCAUAAAGUCAAUGCGGCUCUAUCCUGUACCUUCUGAAGUUCUUGAACAUCCAAAAUGGCUUUCAUUAUAUUGGAUAGUUCAAUUAUACAGGACGUCACCUUCUUCGACAUACAACAUCGUAGAGCAACUGGCAGUAAAUCUUGCAUCAAGAUGUAAUAGUCAUGUGAUUUUAGCGAAUACAGUCUUCGAUCUUUAACACUAACACAUCGAGAUAUAUUUGAUGCAUACGCAUCUGGAACCUUUAUAUCCUUCAACACCGUACAGAACACUUCUUUCUCUGUCCUCGACAUCGAAAAAAUUGAAGGCGGCAACCGAUAUUUCCCAUUAGGAAGUGGACUCGGAUGAAGAUCAGGUCGAAUUCCCAUUUGGACUAAAUCAAGUCAACUCUGAAGAUUGUCUUUUGAUUUUCUAUCUACAUUCAAAAUUGUACCCACAAUGUUCUCGCAGACAUUUUUCUCAAUGUGCAUAACAUCAAGAUUGNNNNNNNNNNNNNNNNNNNNNNNNNNNNNNNNNNNNNNNNNNNNNNNNNNNNNNNNNNNNNNNNNNNNNNNNNNNNNNNNNNNNNNNNNNNNNNNNNNNNCCACAAGUCCGCCUCAUUGGGAUCAUCCUCUUCAUCGGAGUCAUCAUCAGCUUCAUCAUUUGAUCUUCUAUUUAUUUGCAUGUUUGUCGGGUGGUUCAUCUUUCCAUAACCGAAAUUUAUAUCUUUCAACAUGAACAAGAUAUCAGAUCCACUUGUCUGCGAAGGAGCUUCUCUGAACUCUUCGGUACCGUCAAAUACUGAACUCUGAAAUCUAAAUCUAUGAUUUUUCGGUAACCACCGACGAUGCCCCAUGUAAGAGAACUUUUUCCCAUUGUAUAACCAUUGCGAACAUGUUUGUACAGCACAACAAGGACACGCAUAACGACCCUUUGGACUCCAACCGGAUAAAUUGGCAUAAGCGGGGAAGUCAUUAAUGGUCCACAUCAAAGCUGCACGUAAAUUAAAGUUAUCCUUUCUCAGCACAUCGUAUGUCUCGACACCAGCCCGUAAUUGUUUUAACUCUUCAAUAAGUGGUUGUAAAUAAACGUCGAUAUCAUUCCCGGACCCUUUCUCUCCAGGGAUAAUCAUAGAUAAGAUAAGGGAAGAUUGCUUCAUGCAAAUCCACGGAGGCAGGUUGUAAGGAACAAGCACUACUGGCCAAGUACUGUACGCAGUGCUCAUGAUCUUGUAAGGAUUAAAUCCAUCGGAUGCUAGGCCAAGCCUCACACUCCUAAGAUCUCUUGCAAAGGUUGGAAAUUUAUUGUCGAAUGAUUUCCAAGCUAAAGAAUCUGCUGGAUGCCUUAAUAAUCCAUCAUCGAUUCAUCCAUCAUGGUGCCACGUCAUUGACUCCGCUGUCCUCGACGACAUGAAAAGCCUUUGAAGCCUUGGUAUCAGCGGAAAAUACCACAAAAUCUUGACCGGCUUCUUUCUUGGUUGUGCAUCAUUUUCAUCGUCGUUCCCGUCUUCUGUGUUUCUAUUUAUCCAACGGGAUUCGCCGCAUACAUGACAGCACUGUUGGUUUCUCCGAUCGCCCCAAUACAACAUGCAGUCGUUCGGGCAACUAUGGAUUUUGUUGUACCCAAGACCUAAGUCUUUUAUCAUUUUCUUCAUAUCUUUGCAUGACUGAGGGAUUUUUGCAAAUAGAAACAUUUCUCUCAAAAACUCUAGCAGCAUUGUCAAAGAGCACAAUGUACCAACCCUCCCAAACAUUUUAACUGGAAAAGACGAACGCAGAAAGCCAUUUUGGAGAAUUUUGAUCCCUCAUAUAGUUCUUCGUUCAUCUCAUUAAGAAGCGCAUAGAACUUCACCACUUCUCCAUUCGGCUCUUCAUGAGGUACACUUGUUCCCCGUUCAGUAAAAGCAUUUGCACCAGCAUUACAAUUAUCAGAUGCCACAAAGUCGGUCGGGAACGACUGAAAACCAUGACUGUGCAUAUUAAAUGCAUCCCGCAACAUACCUUUCAUGUCAUCCCCUCUAUCAGACUGAUGGUAAGCAGUACCAGGAUAAGAUACACCUAUUCUUGAAGAGGAAGUACUAGGCGGGCAUUCUCCAUGGAAAAACCAUUUUUUAUAACCUCGAACAAACCCAUCAACAACUAGAUGCUCGUAUACAACUUCACGAUAAUGCCAGUUUAUGUUGACACACUUGUUACAGGGGCAAAGAAUCAUGUUCUCUUGGCUUGCAUAUUGAAAUGCAAAAUUCAGAAAAGUUUGUACUCCAUUUCUAUAUUCGUUGCUUACCCUUGACAAAUACAUCCAAGACCGGUCCAUUGCUUAAUUAUUGCAAGUCUGAUUUUCAGCAGAAAUUACAAGGGUAAGUUGUUAACUUCAUUGGUAUUGUUUCACUAUCUAAGUUAUCAUAUGAUAUAUAUUAAUAAGUUAUGUCGUAUUAUAUAAGUUAUGUAUUAAAAAUGUAAAAGUAUUAAUAAGUUAUGUAAGUUAUGUAUCAUUUAUCCAUAAAUAUAUUAAUAAGUUAUGUCGUAUUAAUGUAAGUUAUGUAAUUUAUGUAUAAUAUUAAUGUAAGUUAUGUAAGUUGUAAGUUAUGUAAUUUAUGUAUAAUAUUAAUGUAAGUUAUGUAAGUUGUAAGUUAUGUAUAAUAUUAAUUAAUUAAGUUAUGUAAUUUAUGUAUAAUAUUAAUGUAAGUUAUGUAAUUUAUGUAUAAUAUUAAUGUAAGUUAUGUAAGUUGUAAGUUAUGUAUAAUAUUAAUUAAUUAAGUUAUGUAAUUUAUGUAUAAUAUUAAUGUGGCUUCUACGUCUCNNNNNNNNNNNNNNNNNNNNNNNNNNNNNNNNNNNNNNNNNNNNNNNNNNNNNNNNNNNNNNNNNNNNNNNNNNNNNNNNNNNNNNNNNNNNNNNNNNNNNNNNNNNNNNNNNNNNNNNNNNNNNNNNNNNNNNNNNNNNNNNNNNNNNNNNNNNNNNNNNNNNNNNNNNNNNNNNNNNNNNNNNNNNNNNNNNNNNNNNNNNNNNNNNNNNNNNNNNNNNNNNNNNNNNNNNNNNNNNNNNNNNNNNNNNNNNNNNNNNNNNNNNNNNNNNNNNNNNNNNNNNNNNNNNNNNNNNNNNNNNNNNUGUAUAUAAUGCUCAAAUUCUUCACUAAUAGUGCCAUCAAAGGAUAAUGACAAGACAUUUUUCUCAAUUUCCAUAAUUUAGUCAAAUGAUCCUCUUUCGAUUCCAAUUCCAACCAUUGUUGCUUAUAACCAUUGAGAUUGUAAACUUACCAACGCUAGACCACCUCCACAUGCAUUAAUCAAAUCCUAAAUUAUAUUUUAGAAGGGGCACCUCCAUAUGCAUUAAUCAAGCCCUAAAUUAUCUUUUGGAAGGGGAAUCGAAGCAAUCUACAAAAGGAUCGACUAUUCUAAAAGAUAAGCAAAGGAAUCCCAUUUCCAAUUGUCAUGAUUAUCUACCAUAUCGGAGACCNNNNNNNNNNNNNNNNNNNNNNNNNNNNNNNNNNNNNNNNNNNNNNNNNNNNNNNNNNNNNNNNNNNNNNNNNNNNNNNNNNNNNNNNNNNNNNNNNNNNGCUAGCUUCCAUAGUGCUUUUGCUAAUCAAAGGUCUUACAUUAAGCAGCUACCUUUCUAUUAACAUCGUCACACUUCUUCCAUUGUCUACUGACCAACUUAUAUUAGUUCGAAGCAUCUCUUGUACUUUCAUGAAUGAACCUCAAACUUAUAUUACAUUUUACCAUGUACUAAAAUGAGAAUGAGAUAUUAAACCAUAAUAUGUUGAUCGGAAAGGCAAAUGGGAGCACAUGGGAUAAGAAUUAGAGGACCCACAUGCAAAUAUGUCCUUAAAUUUGAAAGCUUUUUCAUGGGAACUUGAAGAAUAUGCAAAUUAUUAACAAAUUUUUCACUACAAGCCUGCAAAUCUAUUUCAGUGAAGGAGAGAAGGAGGAAAACCUGUCGACUGUUGUACCCUAGCGACGGCAGAGAACUGCGGUGGUACAGCACUGUGACGGUCGACGGUUGACGAGCGAGAACAGAAGGGUCGACGAGCAAUGUAGCAGAGAUGGUUGGGGCGCAGCAGCCUAGGGUUCUAGAAUUGGGGGAUUUUUGGGGGAAAAAUCGGGAGCAAUUUUGGGGAGAAAUUUGGGGGGAAUUUCGGCUAAGUGUUGGGAGUAAUUGGGAUGUAAGAGACGAUCUUUUGCGGUGUUUUUAACCUAUCGCCACUAAUGCUGUUAAUGUGGCAGAUAAAACGACACCGUUUAUUUAAAACCGGAAAGAAAUUUUGCGGCGUUUUCCACAUAGCACCGCUAAAUCCAACCUUUAGUGGCGUUUCGACACUUGCGCCGCAAAAGCCAUUCAAUUCUCAAACAAAACUACAUCGUUUUCACCAAAUCUUUAAUAACUUGUUGCGGCAGUUUUGCUAAGAACGCCGCGAAAACUCACAUCUUUUAUUUAUUUAUUUAUUUAUUACCUGUAUCUUUUAUUAACUGUAUCUUUUAAUUACUAAGUAUAAUUAAAGUUUAGCAAUCCUUUUGACAAUGAUAAUACAAUAAUAAUAAAAAUUUAUUAAUUAUUAAAACAAUUGUACACUACUAAAAGUUUACUUUUAUAUUCGUAAUUAACUUUUAAUAUUUUAGACUAAAUUGUUAUAAUUUUUUCUUUUGCUUUCUAGUUCUUAUUUAUUAUUAUACAAAUACAUAACGAAUUAAUCAAGUAUUAUAUUUCAUUACCAAGGAAUAUAUCAAUGAAUUCAAAAUUCCUACAUUUUUCCUAUAUAACACAUUUUAAUAAUAUAAAAGUAUUAAUUAAUUAAUUGUAUCAUUUAACAAGUCUCAAUUAAACCUUAAACCCUAAUUUAACCAUUCAAUAUACAUGCAUAUAUAAAGUUAUCUAUACAGUAUUACGACGUCGUUUUUUUCCUAUCUAACCCAGUUGCGGCGUUUAUACAUAAGCACCACAAAAUAUACAGUCAAUUGCGGUCGUUUCGACAUCAGUUAAAUUAAACUCCUGGCAUUUUCAACCCUAAACGCCACAACUAAAAUACGUAAAACGGCACCGUUUAUAUAUAAAACUUAAACUAUUUGCGGCGUUUUAGGGAAAGCGCCACUAAAGACAAUGCCAAACUACGCAGUUUCUUAACUCAUAAUACACUAUUGCGGCAUUUACAAAAAGCGCCACUAAAUGGAAACAACAAAACGGCGAUGUUUUGCUAACAUUUCAAUAAAAUUAACCGAUAUUUCAAUGAUUUCGUUUAAAUUAGAGAGAAAAUUUUAACUAAUAAUUACACAUUUUAAAAAGAAAAUACAUCAGUAUAUUUUUAUAUUGAAUAAAUAUAACUAUUUAUGUAUGCAAUAUGAAUAAAAUUUUAUUUUAAUUAUAUCAAUAAUUAUGUUACUAUUUUACAAGAUUAUCUGGAUCACACACGAUAAAAGUUAAUGUAUAAAAUAGUUGAACAAUAAAACAUUGUUCGUGUCUGCUUUUGGGAUUUAACCCAUUUUGAUAUAUUUUUUAAAAUAUUAAUUUAUAUUUACAUUAUUUUCAUUUAUAUUAAUCUAGAAUAUCUAUAAUUAAACACAAAAGCCCCAACCUGAAACCCUAAAAUCAUCAACCAUGUUAUUUAUCCGUAACCAUCAAACCCCAAACUAUAAACCACUAUACUGUAAGCCUUAAUUAAUUAAUCGUAAACCCUAAACCUCAAACUAUAUAAACCUUUACCCUAAACCACAAACCCCAAAUCAUAAAACUUAAACCCUAAACCCGUCAAUUAACCAUAAACCACCAAACCACAAAAUCCAAUCCACAAUAUAUCGUACGCAUGAACCGUAAAUCUUAAACCCUAAAUUAACCAUAAAAAUUAAACUCGUAAACCACAAACAACAACCACCAAAUCAUAAACUCUAAACCCUAAACUUGGCCACCCCUAAAGUCUAAACCGUAAGUCAUAAACCAUAAUCCUAAACCAUAUCUUUGAAAAUUCGGGUGCCCAAUGUGUUAGUUUAGUACAGAACAUAUAUUUUAUAUUAUUUAAUUAUUUAAUAUAGGUGUGCUACAACGUGGCAUGGAUCCCAGUAAAAUUAAAAUGUUAUUCUUUAAUUAGUUUUCAAAUAGUAGUAGAUAUAUAUCUUUAAACCUUAAACAUCAAACCUUCAAUCCCUACCCCCAAAAUAGAAAAUAGUAUAUAUACCAAAAACCCUAAAACUCUGUAGCAAAAAUAAUGGAAAAAUAAAUCCUAAAAUAAUGGAAAAAUAAAUUAAGUUUCUUGUGGCGUUUUUAAUCUAAAGCGCCACUAAAAAUUACUCUAUAGCGGCGUUUCCAAAUAAGCGCCGCUAAUUAAUCUAUACAUGAAGCCGUAACGAUGCGUUUUGGACAAAUUUUUUGCGGCGCUUAAGCAAAAGCGCCACUAAAAGCUGAUAUCUAGCGGCGUUUAUGGGUAAGCGCCACUAAAGGCACUAUAGCUCAAGACGAAACGUUGUGUUUCGCUUUCAAACUUUCCGGCGUUUUUCAGUUACACACCGCUAAUAUCAGGCUAUAGCGGCGUUUAUCACAAGCGCCACAAUUGGCUCUAUGCCUCAUUGCCAGACGCUGCGUUUUGGUUCAAAUAUUUUGUGGUGCUUGUUCUAUAGCGCCGCUAAUGAUGUGCUUCAGCGGCGUUUAUACAAAAGCGCCACUAAUUCUACCAUAACUCAAUAUUGUACGUUGCGUUUUGUUUAACAUUUUUUGCGGCACAUACAAAAAAACGCCGCUAAUUGCACUCUAUAAUGGCAUUUUCAUAAUGCGCCGCUACUGCCACUAUUCCUGAAUAUUGAACGAUGCGUUUUGUCAGCUUUCUUACGGCGUUUUUGUUUAAAAACGCCACUGAUGGUGCUCUUUUUGCGGCGUUUUGAUAGAAUCGCCGCUAUUGCUGGAUCUUUACCUGCGUUUUGUGAUUAACGCCGCGAAUGCCUGAUUUUUAGCGGCGUUUAAUCUACAAACGCCACAAAAAGCCGCUAAAUCCCGCUUUUGGUGUAGUGUUCUCAAAUCUCUUCUCCUCUGCUUGAUACUCCAUUUCAUAAGCACGAGCCUUCAUCAACUUAUUCAUGAUGUUUUGCACCAUUGCCUCCAUAGUUGUGAUGACUUUUAGCUCAAGUAUCUCUGGGUUACUUACUAUUUUAUGGUAAACUUCAUCUAGUGAGUUCAUAAUGAUCCUUUGAACAUCUGCAUGACUACAUAAAAAAAAUUGUUAUCAGUAUAAGGGUGCUUUUGAAAUGUCAGUGAGCACUUGAGUUCAUAAAUAUUGUAUACCCCUGGACAGUUGACAGCUUCAUAUCGUCUUGAUUUGCUCUGACAUCACCGCUGCCUUCAGUCAGAUCAUUGUAUAUCUUGUCGUCUAGAAAACAAAGUUAUUAAGUAGGAAACAUAAAGGAUAUUAAUAUUUACAAUUAACAAGUAAAAAGCUGAGGAUUUUAUAAGAUCAUUUAUCAACUUGCAGCAAUUACCUGACAGAAGAAAGUUUUCAAUAUCAAACAACGGCAGUGACAGAAGCUCCUGUAGAGAAAGAGAAUCAGAUCUGAUCCAAAAAUAAGCAAUUUGAAUUUAAAAAAUAUAUACAGGCCAAUACUUACUGGAUCAACAUUAAGCCCCUUUUCUAGUGAGUCUACUUCAUGAUAACCCUGCAAAUAAGGAGAGAAGUACACAACAUUAAGCCCCUUUUCCUACUCAGGACUUUGGUGUGUGUUUGACUAAUAUUUCUAUGAUUGCGUUUAUCUGUAUUUGAUUCCAAUUCAUUGAAAUCAUCCAUGUAUUCCUUGAAUGAACGUACAAUCUAAGACCCAUAAGAAAAAGGACAUAAAAGGAUCAUAAGACAUAAAAAUCCGAAUAUUUAAACUACAAAUAUUUCUGUCUGAUAACUAAUGUUCAGGUAGAAUAAUCUGAGUUCAACAAUUGCUUACAAAGAAAGUAACAAACAUUUCUGGCCAAUAUAUAUAUAUAUAUAUAUGUAACCCAGAGAAUUAAUAAAAAGAAGUGAUAUUUUUGGUUGUGUCACUUUAUAGUUUGCANNNNNNNNNNNNNNNNNNNNNNNNNNNNNNNNNNNNNNNNNNNNNNNNNNNNNNNNNNNNNNNNNNNNNNNNNNNNNNNNNNNNNNNNNNNNNNNNNNNNUGACAAGUUGUACUUAUAUGACAGUAGGAAUAGCUGAGAAGGGUUAAAAUUUUCAUUGGUUAAAAGAGAAUCUAUUAUUACAACAGAGAAUUAAACUUGAUUUUUGCAUCAUUUAUUGAAAGGAUUGAAUAGAAAACUAGUCGACAAUACAUGAUUGCCUAUUCAAGUCAUAAUUUGCUCAACAAAAAUCAAAAUUCGGUUCUAAGUGAAAAAAAAGAACAGAACAGAACAUGAGAGCCAAAAGACAAGUUAUUCUGUGUACACCUCCAGAAGACUGUGAUAUAGACGCUUUUAUUGCAAUAGGAGUUUUAGUUUUAUUUAUUUAUUAUAUCAGGUUUUAUUAAGAGUUUUAAUUUUACUUAUUUUUUCUAUUAUAUUAGGUUUUUAUUUUCAAGUUAAGAAUUCUACUAGGAUUCUUUCCUUCGUUAUUAACAGACUAUAAAAUGCUGCCAAUAUGAAAUAAAGAAAUAAGCAAUUAUUCUAUCAAAAAGAAACGAUAUUAUAAGAGGGGGUUCAGUUAAGGAUGAAUCUGUCUUUUGAGUAAUCAUAGGUCGAUGUAAGAAUUCUUUCUCGUCUAGACCUGUGACUAGAUUGCAAAGGGAGGGGGACAAACAACAAAACCAACGGGGAACAACGGCAAAAUAGGUUCUUCUGCACCAUUUAUUAAGAGACUGACACAGACAGAAAUGGCGGAAAGAAUGGCUAAGGGGUUGUGUUAUAAUUGUGAGGAGUCCUAUUCCAUGGGACACAAAUGUAAAAGGUUAUUUUGGAUAGAAGUACCAAAUGUUGAAGGCAAGCAAGAUGAUGAUGAGGUAGAUGAUUUUGGAUAAGUUCUGAAGUUUAUUCUGAAUUUGAGCUUGAGGACAAGCUCAACUCCAAGGAGGGGAGUAAUGAUAUGGACGCUUUUAUUACAAUAGGAGUUUUAGUUUUAUUUAUUUAUUAUAUCAGGUUUUACUAAGAGUUUUAGUUUUACUUAUUUUUUCUACUAUAUUAGAUUUUUAUUUUCUUCAUACACUCUAAUUUAGGAUUUCUAUUUGGACUCUUUCCUUUGUUAUUAACUGUCAAUAAAAGGUUGCCAAUUGAAAUAAAGAGAUAAGCAGUUAUUCUAUAAAAAAGAAACGUUAUUUUUGAGUAACCAUUGGUCGAGGCAAGAAUUCUUUCUCAACUAGACCUGUGACUAGAUCCUACGCCAAGGCGCAUAAGAGACAUUUUCUAAAUAAACUUACCACAUCAACCCUAAAAAUUUAAUAAUGCAAGAACAAAUUACCAAGAAAGAAAAGUCAUGCCGCUACUACUAAGUUACAGAGUCAUGUUUUCUACAAUAAUUUUCAUGAUAAAAGUAAAAUCUAAAGCUCCAUUGAUUAAAAUACUAAUGACAAAUUGGGUGCUUCUACUCAAAAUGUUUACCUGUAGAUUGAUGUGAAUCUUCGCACCUCUGGUACAAUCAGGGGUUAGAGGAAAAUGGAACAUAAACUGUUCAUCUUCCAUUUGCACAAGAUCUUGAAUACUAACAGGAUUUGUAAGCUUUUGGUUCUUAAUAUCUUGUAGCAUUACUAAAACAGAAGCCAAAACUUUGUUUACUAUUUUUUCCACUAUGCUAAAGAACUUAACCUCUGAGAUUAAUUCCUCUGUUUGGUCCACAAUAGCCUCUCCCUGCAAUGCUUUUACUGAAAUAUAAAGAAAGCAGAUAACAAAUUUUAAUUUAAAUGAUUAAAACAAAUCAAGAUUAAUAUAUUUAUAUAUGUAAAAAAGAGUUAUUAAAACAUGCCUAGGAUGUCUGUCUCUGGUAUUCCUUAAGCAGUCUCCAGAACAUCAACAACAAAUGGCAUUAAUCAACAUAAAAAUCGUACCUAUGAGUGAGAUUACGUGAGGAAGGUCCUUGCAAAUCUCAUCAGCACACUCUAUGUUCCGGACUGGAUUUGUUGACUGGUUCAAAAAUGAAUCAAGCUCUUGAAAUGCAUUUUCGAUGCUAAGACUGGAACUGGCAUUAUCGACAAUCCUGGGCUGCAUCAAAUUUUUCAAUCGUUGCAGUAAGAGUUGAGGGUCACGAAGCCGAUUCAUCCCUUCCACUACUAUCUCUUUCUUUUCUUCCCAUUUCCUCUACAUUCAAAAAAGUUACUAAAAGCAAUUAGAAACAUAAAUGAACUUGCACCCUCAGUUUUUUAGCUCAAUAUUCUUGAGUAAAAACAAAAGCACGAUAAUCUGAUACUUGUAGCAAAAAGUUGAACACACUCCUGGUAUUUGGAAAAAAAGAGUCAGAAAUUGCAGGAUUGACAUGUUACGUUGUAGUGGGAGUCGGAUUGGCAUGGAUUAGUUUGCUCUUUUUUCUUUCUUUUUUUUCAAAAUACAAAUUAUAAAAAGAGAGGAAAAGUCUCACAGCAGCUUGAUAUCUGUCAUCACCAUCCAAUAGCAUACGCAUCAAUUCUCCCACCAGCUCGUUACAGUCCUGCAUAUAUAUGGAGAGUAACUAUUAUUAAACAAACCCUAAACGAUAAAGAAAAUAGCUUAAUUGCAAGAAAGGAAAGAAAAUGAAUAGGUACCUUGAUUCUUUUACGACUGCGCUUAUCUUUAUCUGAUUCCAAUUCUAUGAAAUUCCCCAUAUAUUCCUUGAACGACGUACAAUCUGAGAAUCAAGCAAAAUGAUAUAAAAAUAUCUUACAAUAUUCUGUAAGUUCAAAUUUUCCUUUAAAAGCAAAAUAUAUUUCUAAAAAAAGCAAAGUCAAACUCGAUUCUAUCCAGUAGACCAGAGAAAAAUAUAAACCAAACCAGCAAAGAGCGAAGAGAAAUGGAGCUUAACAUUGCUUACGAUUGCAGAGUAGAGACUUCUUAUGCCGUCGCAGAAAUCUUUUAUCAUUUUUUCCUCAAGACUUUUAUUUCUGAUGCAUUCGCACGAUCGUGCGAAUUUCGCUUUUCUGAAUUAUUCGAAAAAAUAUUAAAAAGAAAUUGAUUAAAUCCCAAAUUUUGAAAAAGUAGUCUAUUUUCCAUUUGUGUGUUCACAAUAAUCUACAUUUACUGUUGAAGUUAUCAAUAAUUCUCGUUUCUCCCGUUUGAGAAAAAUUAAGUUGAUACGUUUGCAGGGGUAUUGCCAAGGGUGUGUUAGCAAAUGUCUGUUCCUUUAAAGAAAAAAAAUUAAAUUACUCAACUCUCGAUAAUAAUAAAAAAUUCACUAAACUAUAAAAAGUUACAUUUUAAUCACUAAUGUUUUUUUAAUGAAAAAAUAAUAAAUAGAAAUUCAAGUAUCAACUAUUGAAAGACUCUAAAGGUUUUUGUCUCGUUAGAUAGCCGUAACCACCGAAUUAAGAGGUGCUUCAAAUAUCUGAAGGGAGGUCUGCCAAGAGAGACUAAUCUUUGCCAAUUGAUUUGCAAUUAAAUUACACUCCCUAGGAACAUACUUAAUUUUCCAUUGAUCUUCAAAACGUAAAAUACAUUUAACUCUUCUAAGCAAGGUAAUACCGGAGUCCACCGACUCCUCCAUAGACAAGGCACUAACCACCUCAAGGUUAUCUGUCUAAAUCUUGACUUUCUUGUAGCCCUUAUUUAAUAAAAUGAGAAUUCUGUCAAGAAUACCCCAAAGUUCUACCUCCAAAGGUGAACAUCUACCCAAAUAAUGAUUAAAGCCCAAAAUCCAAUUGUCAACCUAAUCACGAACCACCCACCCACGGAUGCAUUUUCGAAAGCUCUAGCCACUCCUCCAUCAAAAAAUAAAUAAACCCAAUUGCCUUUAUAAUGGGAAUGAAUUUCCGAAUUUGGUGAAUUAGGCUUGGCCUCAUUUAGAAAAGGUUCAAAUUGUUUGGCCCAAUUGAGAGAGACUUUUACAAUUUCAUAAGUCGUCCAGUUAAUGUUUUGGAAGAUGAAAAGAUUCAUGUUCUUCCAAAUUCUCCAAGCAAUUAAUCCAAAUAAGCUUGACCAAGUAAUUUCCUUAUCCUGCAUCUUAAAAUGGCAACAAAGGUUAGUGGAAAACCAACUUUGAAGGGAAUCAAAAAAAAAAAACCUGGAUUGCAUCUUAGGAAGGACUACAAGCUUCCAUGCUUCCUUAGCCGUCAAACAGUCUUGGAGUACAUGCAUAAUGUCCUUAGUAUUAUGACCACAUAAAGAGCACGCAGUGUUUUGCUCAAUUCCUCUCUUAACGCUCUCUAAAUUAGUAAGAAGUCUAUGUUUGAACACAAACCAAAGAAAAAGAUGAACUCUCUGUGGGCUUUGAUAUUUCCAAAUAGACUUUCAACUAUCAUCUUUAGGACUCCAAGAAUCUUCUUUUAAAGCCCAGUAAGCAUUACGAACAGAAAAAGACUCUCAAUCAGAUCGAGCCAAAUGAUCCCAUCCUCUCCACCAAUACAGUGAGAAGGGGGGAUACUUACUAUACACUUUAUCACGUCAUUAGGUAGCCAAAUACGAAGCAAAUUAACUUUCCAAGAACCAUCAAGAAGAACCCAAUCCCUCAAAGUGCUCUCCAAACCUAUGCUUGCAUGAGCUAGAACAUAAGAAAAAAAGAGGACCAACUUCUAGGAUCCAAGAAUCUUUCCAACAACGAAUUAGAGCCAUCACCUACAGACCACAUAAGAUUCUCACAAAAAAAUGGGUCACACCUUAGAAAGGGAACUCCAAAGAUGAGAGCAUUGAUUUUUGUGGAUAGAAUUUGGAAGCUGAUUCUUCCACCCAUAUUUCGAACAAAGGACACGAACUCAUAAAGCACCCUUUAUAAAGACUAGAUUGAACCCAAUCUUCAUAAGUAAGGAAUUAUUUUGGUCUUGGAGGUGCCGAAACCCGAGGCCCCCUCAAGACUUAGGUUGACAAAUGGACUCCCAACCUUCUAAAGUUGUUUUUGGAUGCCCAGCAGAACCACCCUAAAUGAACUAUCUUGCUAUCCUCUCUAUCUCAUCACACACCUUUCGAGAUUAACAAGGACUGCAUAAAGUAGUUUGAAAUAGCUAAGAGAACUGACUGGGCAAGAAUGAUAACUGAUUGGGCAAGAGUGACAUGUCCCGCAAAGGAGAGUUUCCUAACAUCCCAAUUUUGAGUUAUAGUGACUUGGUACAUUAACCCAAAAGAUAUUAUCUAAUUUGACCUUGACCUCUAGUUAAAAUAUUCAAUUUCAUCCUUUCGCAACCUUUUUUAACGAUAAUUCUAAAAAAAUUAUUUAAAUUUUCAAAAAAUUAUUUAUUUUCUAAAUAUAAAUAUUCACUAAAUUAUAUUUAUCUUUUACGGGUUUUUUAUGCAAAGGUUAAUGUUGUAGUAGCUAGGGAUGUUCAUAGUUCAGUUAAAACCGAAUCAAUCGUUUUAACCAGUCUAAUUCGAUUAAUCAACCAAUGGUCGAAUUUAGUUCAAUCGAAAGUCAGUUAAUGAUUUUUUAAAAUUUCAGUUAUCAGUUAAUUCAAUUCAAAAUCAAAUAAUUAAUCGAAAUAAAUAAUAUAUAUUAUAUAUAAUUAUUAACUUUAAAGAUUUAUGUAAUGUUUUUACAGUUUUAUUUAUUACUUUCAACCCCAUUUAAAAGCUUUUGAACUAUUAAAAGAAAUGACCAUUAGCACUAUAUUCUUAUUAUUUUUUAUACUUAUUUUAAUCAAAAGAUAAAAAAUAUAUAUUUCAAUUAACCGACCAAAUUAACCAAAAUUUUUCAAUUCGAUUAAUGUACUUGAAAAAACUUAAAUUCAGUUCAUGGUUAAAACUUUUUACAUUUCAAGUAAUUCGGUUCAAAUAUUAAUCGAACCAACCGUUUGAACAAUGCAAUCGAUACACUUAUUGAAUGCUUUUAACGGCACCGAUUAAAUUAUCCAACGAAUUCUACAAGAAUAAAUUUAGAAUUGAAUUGGAGUUUGUUCGUAUAUGAAAUACGCACAAAGUCCAUGUAAACCAUUCUUGGCAAAGCCAAUCCUUGAAUAUCCUCUUGUAGCACUUGAGCAGGUCCUGCUGGCGGCACACUAAAAAUUUGCAUGCCAACAUUCUGGUUUGAAGAAAGACAGAGCAUCAGCUAGCCGAUUCGCUUCCCUAUGCACAUUCUGAAUUGAAGUCAGCAAAGCCAAACCAUUCUUCCAAGUUGUAAAAACUCCUGAUUCAAACACAAAAGCAUCCCACUAAACCAUUAAAAGAUUCUAUUCCAACGUCAAAUAGAUUUCGACUUACUUGACCGCAAUAACAAGUAGCAAUUAGUCAACCCGUGGUUUCUUGGACAGCUUCAGUCUGCCUUCUCUUUUUCUUAGAGAAGCAAAAGCAAUUACUGAGAUUUAUAAAUAUAGACACGAACCAUAAAUGAAAAUUUGGGGUUGGAGUAUUAACAGUUCAUCCACUAUUUGCACAAUGUCCUUGAAAAGGAUUUGCCAAGUUCAAAAUGUCGUAGAUCUUAACAUAAGUCGUUGCUUGUUUCUUCUUGCCUUCUUGUGGUCACAAAAGACAUGUUCCUGGAUAUGCAAAGUAGACAAUUAAUAAUCAUUUAUCCGAAGAAAAGAAAUGAGAGAAAGGAGACCCAAAGACGAGAUGAUUGGUACCUGUCUGCAUAAAUUACGGCUAAUACACUGAUGUAAAUCAUAAAUGAAGCACUUUACCGUCCAUCAGUCCGGCUUCUAAGUUAAUAAUUUUGAUCUAAAUCCAACAUCUACUAUUGCCAUAGAUAUCGCACUUAAUACUAUCGGUAUAGUCUUCAGAACUGGAUUCUUCGAGGGAAAAAGAAAACUUGAUUCGCUUUGCUAAGAAAGCUUAUUUGGUCCCUAUCUGUUGAAAUCAGCCAAGAAAUUUGGGCAUGCACUUUGCAGCUUAAAAGACCAUACACUCUGAGCAUCAAUUAGGAAAAACAUUACGGUAUGUUUAUUGAUGAUAAAAAAAUGUCGAAGAGAGGGAAGAAACGACUGCAAACUAAACAUUACCUAGUAAAAUUUAAAGGUAAAUUUCAAAAGAAAAGAACUUUCCCUGAAUCAGACUGUUGAAUUGAGUGAGGAAGGGAUUUGUGAAUCUCAGCCCAAUCUCAGCUCAAACUGGUAUUUGUUGACUGGAAAAGCAUUUUUAGAUUUGUUAUCUGCUUCAAAAAUGCAUUUGUCAACAAAUCCAGUCCGAUCCAAGACACCGGAAUACUGAACUGCAUCUUGAAUUAAGGGUCUUGGGGGUGACUCAUCGCUUCAAGCACUAUCCACUAUCAACAUCCUUCCCCUAUAUAAUAUAAACUUCGCAAAAUAAAAUACUGAAACAAAUUAAAACAGAUUAUAAAAGAGAUUGUGGAUCUUGGUUCAUCGCUCCUUAUACUAUCUACUAUCUACAUCUCUGCAAAAAUAUAUUAAAACAAAAUAUAAAAGACAGUGGUUGGUUCAUUGCUUCUUUUACCAUCUACUAUCUAUUUCCUAAAAGUUACUAAAAAGAAUUAGUAACAGAAACAUCAGCAGAUAAGGAAAAACAACUACAAAAUUUGCAUCUGUAAAAGGAAACACCAAAAUGGUGAGAAUGAGACUCAAGACUAGAGUGAUUUUGCUUACGGACGGGCAAAAACGGAAAAGAACAAAAAUGACCUAAAGUGAAAAGAACUCCUCCACACAACUGAAUAGCAUUUAUGUUCUCCAAUAACAAAAUUUACACUUAUAUAAGGCAAAUGGCCGAAUGGCCUCAGGGUUUCAAAUAGGGUAGGCAUAGUGGUUUCACAGCCGCUAAUUCAAAAUAGCAGCAGCAUCCGCUACCACUAAAGAUCUCAAUAGCUGCGUCAACAUAUUUUCAGAUGUUCUUCGAACUAAGUAAAUAGAGAAAGAGUACAAGAUAAGGCGGAAUCCAAAGUAGAAAAUAAAAUGUAGAGGAGUAACGUAGAGGCUGAGAUAAGGUAAUUGAUACUGUAAGUAGAUAUAUUUUAGGGUUUCGAAAUUUACCUUGCAAAAGAGGAUUUGGAUCUGAGUAAUGGUGAGAUCCCUGCUUGGCGGCCAACGCUGAGAGAUGAGGGUAGGAAGGAGUUUCUUUUUAAAGAAAAUUUUACUAUUUUAGCCCCACAAAAAAAUUAUUGGGCUGUACUUGGGUUUUAGUUUUUGUUCCCUCUACUUUUGUUUUGUUGUCAUUCUUUUUUCCUUUUUUUUUUAUGAUAAUUUUUAUAUAAACUCGGUAGGAUAGUGUUAAGGUGUUCAUCACCCCAAAUAUGAUAUAGGUUUAAGUUGCAUUAGUCGCAUUACUGUUAAGAUUUGAUUUCAGUUUUAUUAACACAAUUAUAUUUUAAUUUAAUAUUCAAGUUUCAUUUAAUUCUUUCUCCUAAUCUUACAUCUUGAUUCUUACAUUUUUUUUAUUAACACGAUUCAAGCAAUUAUAAUUCAAAUGAAUCCAAUUUAAAAUACAAUUGAAUUUAAAAUCAAAAUAUAUUCAAACUUAGACUAAAUAAAUCUAAAAAGAACCUAAACUAAAAUUAAUGGACAUGAACCUAAACAGCAUUUUGCAAUAUGGUCCUUAUAUUCCAUUAAAAUGUAAUAAUGAGACAUGACAAUAUUGUAUCACAUCACCACUUGAGCUUAUUUAAUUUUUAAAAUUUUCAAAUGAAGAAUUGAUAUAAUCUCUUAUUGUCACAUCAUCACACAUUAACAGUAUUUAAGUUCAUGGACCAAAUUAGAAAGAAUUCAAUGACCAAGAUGAGACAUGAGUGCUUGAUAUAAUUUUUCUUUCAUAGGGCUCAAGCUUGAAGAAAAUAUGGGUACUUAACAUUAUCAAUUCGUAACAUUUUAAUCAUUGUGUCCAACCCAACUAAGUCUAGCAUGGCAGAAGUUAUAUUUUAAUUAUUUACACAUAAUCGUUUAUUAUUAUAUUGUGAAAUAUUAUAUUAAUGAUCAUAAAGUACCAAAGUAAUGGUUCUUUGUAAGUUAACUAAAGUUAACUUUAUUGACAUGACAUGUGAUUAUCUAGGUAUAUACUUCAUUAGUAAUUAUUUAACUUUAUAAAGUAAAAAGGAAAUUAUUAAAAAUAUAAAAAAUUAUAAAAAUGAUUUAAGCCCAAUAAACCAUUAAACUUACCACCAAACCAUUAAACUUACCACUAAAGAUAAGUUAAUUUACACUUUACCACCAAACCAUUAAACUUACUUUAAUAUAAAUUGAACAAAAAUAAUAUUUAAGCCCAAUGAACAAAGAUAGGCCUAGGAACAAAAAUAAAUGAUUUUCCCAAUAGAAGGAUUUGAACCUAAAACUUCCAACAAACAACUAAAAUACUUAACCACUAAAACAUAUAUUACUUUAUAAUAAAUUUUAACAAAUCAAAAUUUUAAAACUUAGAGCAUUAUAUGGGAAAUUCACCGCUAUGUAUGUACUAUAUUGUGAUAAUUCUUUAAUACCUUAAGGGUCAAGAUCGUAUCACCAGCUCAAAUACCCUAGGGUACAAGCAUAUUCUGGUGUGGUUGGUGAGGUCGAUGCAUUUAUGCUUGAUUAGUACUUCAGUACAUCUACUUCUUUUUCCUCCUCUUCUCCAUCAUGAAAUCAAUUUAAUUUCUUAGAAAAGUUUUGGAUCAAUUUUCGGAUUCCAAUCGAUAUCAUCAAUAUACAUAUCAGUUGCAUAACUUGACAACUUAUCCUUGUAAGGAAAAUCAUAAUAAUUUUCCCAGAACCUCUGUUUAGCUUCCUGAAAAGCUUUUAAAUUAGUCGAAUCAUCUCAUUCGAAUACUUUAUAAGCUUUAUACAAAGUAUUCUUCGCAUCAAUAAAUAUUUUCCAUGACAUUGCACCCACUUUCAUGCAAAAUUUUUAAAACGAAUAAAUCGAUUAAGAUUUUAAUUAUUAAACCCAUAAGACCAUAACCUAUUUACAAACCCAAACCCAAACCCAAAGUAAACAUUAAAUCCAAAUUCCCAUUAAAACUCGUUAUUCUUACAAAAUUAUAGCCUAUUAAAACUUUAAAAUCCAAUACCUUUUCUGAGUCAUGCUAUUCCAUAAGUGCAGAGGUAACCCAUGAACUUCAAGCCAAGUUGCCCUCCGCUCAGGAAGGAAAUCAACUAACCUACAUCAUCUGAUUGACAGCACAAGUUAAUUGAAUUACCAAGAAUCAAUAUCAAUAACUUACAUAAAAGAAUAGAGAUUAAAUAUAAGAUGAAAUCAACCAAGCCAAGCUGGCAAUGUCUAUUCAUUUACCCCAUUUCAAUCCUACAAUAGUCAAGAUUUGACUAAACUUUGCAACCUAUACAAGUCUUUUUGGGAUUUUGACAAAAUAUAAAUAAAAGCCCCGAGAAGAUACUUAAAACAUUCACUCAUCCAUGGCAACUGCUUGAAAGAAUUGGGGUUGUCAUCUAGCUCAUAAUCAAAUACAAGAUCAAUACCGAAUUCUAGCACAGAUAAAUCUGAAAGAACCCGAAGAGUAAUAUGAUCACCGGCUUCUAGUUCACCACCCCUAAAGUCCCAACAAGUAAACCAGUAUAAGGUAUUCUUGGUUCCAAGAAUUCCUGUGAAAUGUUUGGAGUAGGUCCACUUUGUACCUUUAGUCUCGUUCACAAUUUCAAGGAAUGGUAAAAAUUCAUUUGUAUUAUCAUUCUUGGCAGAAAAAAUGAUAAUCGAAUUUAAGAAGCAACUAAUCUUUCGACUAGAGUUUGGGGGCACUGAUAAUGAAACCUCAGUCUUGCCAGCUUGAUUGCCAAAGUAGUGGCCAUAGUAAUCAAAUGGCAUUGGAUCAAAUGUUGUAAUUAUGCCAUAAUCGUAGAGUACCUGUAGCAUUGGGUUAAGGAAUUAGUUAUUAAAAAUAUAUAGUAUAUAAAGAAAUUUUGAAACUUGGAACUCGUAAGGAACCUGUGGGGAAGAAACCACUUUUGAUUCUUCUAUAUAACUACAAAGUUGCACUUUAACAUUUCCAUAAGAUUCCAAAUUGAGUAAGUUUUUAGUUAGGUCCAUCUUGAUAUUUCUUGGGGAAACUUCAUCUCCUAAAAUGUGUACAAUAAUGUGUUAUUUAUCAAUUUUAAUGAUCAUCAACAUAAUAUGCCUAUUAUAAUACCAAAGUAUUAAUUUUGACAUGAAAAAAAACGUUGAGUAAAGUUUUUAUCAGACACCCAUAUAAUAUGGGUUUAAACUGUGUAUGAAAAAAAAUAUCAAACAACUAAUUUUAUGUAUUAUGACUAAAAUAUGUUAUAAGACUUGUUAGAAAUAACCAAUUAUACACUUUUUUGAAAAAAAAAAUCAAUUAUAUCUGUAUCUUUUAUUUUUAUAUAAAAUAUCAACUUUAAAAAUACCACUUUUAACUUCAUCCAUUAUUUUAGUUUCCACUUAGGUGAUAGAUUAAUCAUCUAUCAAACAAUUAACUUAUUUUGAUUAGACCUCAAUUGCAACAUAAUUUUAUAAUUAUUAUUUUAUUAUUAAGCUAAAUUUCUCUCAGAAUCUAUUAAACUUAAGUUAUAUUUUUAUUGUAUUGGAAAGCCUUUUAGAGAAACAUAUAUCAAUUUUUGAAUUUUUUUUAUUGACAUCUAAAAGGAAACAUAUGUUCAAACAAUCUAAAGGGGGCAUUAAAAUAAAUAUAAUAGGAUGUAUUAACUAAAAUACAAUCUUACCGUCGAAAACACAAUUAGAUAUUCAUAUAAUUCAUUAUUUCAAUAAGGAUAUAUCUUUUUAGCCAUGUGUUUUACUCAUUAAUGUUAAUAGUGCAUUGGGUAAUAUGCCAUAAACAUAAUUAUUUGAAAUCUACUCAUACCUGUAGAUAAAUAUGAAAAACCAUAUUCAUAUCUAAUGUUGUGUUCGGAUUCAUAGGUAACGCCAAAUUUUUUUAUGCGGAGAUGAAUAGGCACUAUCAUGCAACUCACAAGGUCACCACCUUCAAACUGACAAUCCGUUACUGGCCAAUGGAUCAACCACAACAUUGUGUUAUCGUUAGUCUUAGGAAUUCCAAAAAAAUAUAUAUGUAUUUAGCAUAAAAAAUAAAAGGAUCAUACAUUACCCAAAUAGUGAAAAUGGAUCCAAAUUCAAUCAAAGUCCUCUAAUUAAUUUGUCCAAAUCAACAUUGAUUCAGAAUUUAGAAUUUUCUUUUCAUUUGAAAAAUUAAACUCAAUAAUUGGUAGACUUAAAUAAAAUUCGGUGUCUACACUACUCAAUAAUUAUCAGCUAACAAAGUGAUGAAUUCAACUACAGUAAAUUUGGUUAACAUCAGUUUUGGAUUUCAUUCAUGGACUCAUUAAGUUAAUAAUAAUCAUAAUAAUUAAAGUAAGAAAGUGAUGAACAUUUGCUUUAACUAAUAAAUUUAGCAAAUUAAAUAUACAUACCUCUUAAAGUUCACAAGGAAGUAAAGGCUGCAAGGAAGUAGAGGCUGCAAGUUCCUGGGAUUGCUUCACGAUUGAAUUUCCAGCAGUUUAUCAAUUGAUCAAAAAGUCUACUUUCUGCUGCAGUUGACUAAGAAAACAUUAUACAGGGUCAUCUAUACAGAGAUGAGCCAAGCAACAAUAAGGUAAAUAACAUAUAUAAAGAGAAAGCAGCAGUUUAAAAUAUACAAUAUGCAUAUAAUUUUUUAUGACAAAACAUGCAGACAUAAAUUUUAAAUUUCAAAAUAUACAUAUAUUCAUACCUAACACUAAUCUCAUUUAACUCGAAUUCAUACCCAACACUCAUCUCAUUUAACUCGAAUAACAUAGAUGGCAAAUACGUCAGUAAGACUAACCAAAACCAAAACAUGUAAAGGGAUAGUGAAAGUGAAUCUAUUGAGCUCUCCCCUAAGCCAAUGUUACAAAAAUGAAUUGCCAUUGAUCCAAACCCAAAAUGCACAAAAAAAAAUGGGAAAGGGGAAGUCCAUCCAUACCAGAUUUAUGAGUUCUCCUCUCCCUUUUUUCCUUUGUAUUUUCUCUUUCGAUAUUAUAGCUUUCGUUUUCUCCUCUCUGAUUCUGUUUCUGUUUGUGUUCUGCCUUACAGAAAAUGAUAAGUAAAAACACGCGGAACAGAAAUGGCGUCGUUUUGCCAAAAUUUUAAGACACCAUUCCGGCGUUUGUUAGGAAAACGCCACUAUUUCUUGUAUAUUUCCGACGUUUCCAAAAAACGCCACUACAAAUUGAAGUUAUAAUCUGAAACGACGCCGUUUAAUAAAGCUUUAAUGCAUAUUUCAAACUAUUUUUUAACUUAUUAAACUUAAUUCUAUUUAAAAUAAUAUUUAAAUGACAAAAACAUUAAUAUAAUUGAUAUCAAUUGGUACUUUAAUUUGAUUUUUUAAAACAUUAUUUAAAGAAAUUAAUCUAAACUAACCUAAUUAAAAUCCUUAUCCGACGGCGUGAAACCCUAAACCAUAAAUUCUAAACCACUAACCCUUAGCCCGUAACUCGUAAAACUUAAACCCCUAACCCUAUAUCCCAAACCUUAAAUCCAUAUAUACCCCCUAAUCCUUAAAAUAGCACGGCCAUCAGAAAUAAUCCCUAAAUCUUUAAUAAUCAUAUAUAAAAUAGUUAUAAUUGAUAAAACAAUAAUUAAUAGUAAUAAAAACUUUUAAUAAUUUGUAAUAUUACCUUUAUAAUAUUUAUUUUUUUGUAUAAAGUUUGAAAUUUAUAAUAUUUAAUUUUAUUGAUAAAUAAAUAAAUUUAAACUAUAUACUCAUAAUUUCAAUAUAUUAAAUUUAUUAUAUAUUAUAUAUUUUAGAAAUAUAUAUAUAAGAACAUAUUUGAUAAAACUAAAUUAAUCUAAUAACUUAAAACUCUAACAUAACCGUUGAAACCCCUAAAACCCGGGCCCAAAUCCAUAANNNNNNNNNNNNNNNNNNNNNNNNNNNNNNNNNNNNNNNNNNNNNNNNNNNNNNNNNNNNNNNNNNNNNNNNNNNNNNNNNNNNNNNNNNNNNNNNNNNNNNNNNNNNNNNNNNNNNNNNNNNNNNNNNNNNNNNNNNNNNNNNNNNNNNNNNNNNNNNNNNNNNNNNNNNNNNNNNNNNNNNNNNNNNNNNNNNNNNNNNNNNNNNNNNNNNNNNNNNNNNNNNNNNNNNNNNNNNNNNNNNNNNNNNNNNNNNNNNNNNNNNNNNNNNNNNNNNNNNNNNNNNNNNNNNNNNNNNNNNNNNNNNNNNACCGUUGAAAUGCGCACAAAAUCUCAAAUCCCAAAACCUCUAACCCCUAAAUUAACCUUAAAUCCCCAAUUACCUUAAAUCUAUACCCCGUACUCAUUAAAAUACCGUCCAUAAAAAAAAUUCCCUAAAUCUUUAAUAUAUAUAUAUAAUCAUAAUUAAAUUAAAUAUAGUCAGUAAUUAUUGUUAAAAUAUAUAUAAAUUAGUCGAACAAUAUAUACGUACUACCAAAAUUAAUUUAUUACUCUUAUAAAAAGUUAAUUCUAUUUUUAAUUUACUCUUUACAUUAAUACAACAAUUUAAGUUUUACUAUAUUUUAUUUUAUUCAUAAUUUAAUAUAUUUUCUCUCGUAAAGUAGUUUAAAUCAACUGUUAUAAAUAGUUAGCUGUUACAUAUAUACGACUUCUCUUUAAUAAAAACUUUUUUUAUUAAUCAAUAUUAUUUGUUAAUUAUAAUUUAAAUGUAAAUUGUCCCACUAUAUAUAUAUAUAAUAAAUAGAACAAAAUAUUAAUUAUUUCAACUUAUAAGAUUUUUGUUACUAUUAGCGGCGCUUCGGCAAAAACGCCGCUAAAGGUUAAUACAUUCGCGGCGCUUAGAUACAAACGCCGCUGAAUACAGGAGAAUUAGCGGCGCAUAUAUAAAAACGCCGCUAAAAACCUGAGCAUUAGCGGCGCAUAGGCGAAAACGCCGCUAUAGACCCAGAGCAUUAGCGGCGCUUAGACGAAAACGCCGCUAAAGACUCGGAGCAUUAGCGGCACUUAGACGAAAGCGCCGCUAAAGACUCGGAGCAUUAGCGGCGCUUAGACAAAAACGCCGCUAUAGACCCGAGCAUUAGCGGCGCUUAGACAAAGACGCUGCUAUAGACCCGAGCAUUAGCGGCGCUUAGAUAAAAACGCCGCUAAAUGUUUAAAAAAUCGCAAAAAACGACGCCGUUCGUCUUAGGUUUUUUGUGGCGCUUUAUAUAAAACGCUGUUAAUUCCUAUUUUUAGCGGCGCUUCCGUAUAAACGCCGCUGAUGCUCUACCUUUAGCGGCGCUUUGGCUAAAUCGCCGCUAAUGCUCUAUUUUUUGUGGCGCUUUUGUUCCAAACGCCGCAAAAAGUACCGCUAAAAGCCUAUUCUGGUGUAGUGGUUUAUUUAUAAGAGUUCUCUUAAAUAUUUAUGUCAAAUCCAAAUUGUUGUGAAUUGGUAGCCAGGAUGGAAAUCAAUUCUUUUAACAUUUCAAGGAGUUUUGUCCAUAAGUGAAAGUCUUUGGUAAAAGUAUUAGAUAAUAAGUAAUUGAUAAAAAUUUUCAUUCUAAAGGCAACUAGCAAAGAGCUGUUUAAUAUUUUUCAACAUUCAUGAAGGGUUUUUAUUUACUUUUAUUGAACGGAAUAGAUUUUUUUUUCCUAAUAAAUGAACCACGAGAAGAAAAAUGUUUUCCAAGGAAUAUUCUUACCAUAUCUAUUUAAUAUGUAAUUCGCAACUUGUUCUUGAAAGGAAAACCAUAAUAAUUUCCCCAGAAUUUCUAUUUGAAAAUUUGGAAAUCUUUUAAAUCAACCGAAUCAUCUCACUCGAAUACUUUAUCAGCUUUAUACAAAUUAUUCUUUGCAUCAAUAAAUAUUGUUCAUGACCUUGCACCCACUUUCAUGCAGAAUUAUUUCUCCCAUGCAGGAAAUGGUCUCCAUGAAUUUUUGACGUGAUAUCUAUUUUGAUGAUAUGACAUGGUUUCUUUUGAUCCAAAAAAGAUGAUGAAUGACAUGAAAUUGAACUAUGAUUUUAAAGAAGGGUCUUGAGUUUAUAUAAGAUUAUAUAGGCGGUAAUUCAAUUUCCCUUUCCUUGUUGGAAAAGGAAUUCCAUUUUGACUUUAAUUGUAAUUUUUAAGUUGUUGUUUUUUUAUUGUUAAUUAUUUAAAAAAUAAUCGCAUUUUAACUUGCAAACUUAAAUCUUAAACUAUUAUCUUUAUGUUUACUUUUUAAUGAUAAUUAACAAAAAUAUUUGGUUUUAAAAUUUUAAUACAAUCAAUGAAACACAAUUCACACACAUGAAUGAUAAAAUUUGACGUGAUUAAAUAAAUAUUGAAUUUUGUUAUAUUUUUAAUAAUAAAUAUAGGUAAAAUGGUAAUAAAUUGGGAUUUUAAUGUCAUUUAAAACGGGUCAACUAAAUUUUAGAUUAGAUAUUCAAUAUUAAUAAUUAAUAUAUAUUAAUUGAAUUAUAAAUGAGUUUAGAAAUUCAAAAUUGUAAAAAUUAAUAUAUAUAUAUAUAUAUAUAUAUAUAUUGAAUUAAAUGACUACCAUACAUAAUCUUAUUCAAAUAAUAAUAAUGAAAAAUAAAACUGAGUGUUUAAGACAAUUUCGUUGUAUUUGUUUGUUCUAUGAUCCAACUAUGGUAGGAAAGCGUGAUGUAGGUUCAUCGUACUCCCAUCCAGUGGCUUUAAUUUGCUCUAAUGGAAUCGAAAACGAAUCAAUCCUUUUAACUUCUUCUUUUUCUUCUUCUUCAUCAUCGGAAAUCGACUUUAUUUCCAAAAAAAGUUUUGGGUCGAUUUUGGAGUUCCAAUCAAUAUCAUCGAUAUACAUAUCUGCUGCAUUACUUGGUAACUUAUUUGUGCAAGGAAAACGAUGAUAAUAUUCCCAGAAUCUCUGUUUGGCUUCCUGGAAAGCUUUUAAACCAGCUGAAUCAUCCCAUUCGAAUACUUUAUCGGUUUUGAACAAAUUAUUCUUUGAUUCAACAAAUCUUUUCCAUGGCAUUGCACCCACUUUUAUGCAGAAUUUUUUCUCCCAUGCAGGUAAUGGUUCCCAUGAAUUACCGUUAUCAUUUUGUUUGGGACGAGUAAAUUUCGAACUGUAGUACCUUUCUCGGCAAUUAUGAUAUCUUCUUUGAUAGUAUGACAUGAUUUCUUGUAAUCCAAACAAAUAAAUGAAUUGAAAUUGCUAAUGACAUGAAUUUACAGUGAGGAGACUUGUUGGGUUUAUAUAAUAUUAUUAGAGUCGCUGGUGACUCAAUCCUUUUCCUUGUUAGAAAAGGAAUUCCAAUUUCAGUUUAAUUAUGAUUUCUAUUUUUUAAAUAUUUGUAUAAUAAAAUUAUUAAAAAAUAACUAUAUCUGUAUUGAUAAUAUUUUCUUAUUAAAUGGGUUUUAUGAGUUAAAUAACAAUCAAACCAAGAUUGGGAGAUUGAACUGCAUCAGGUCUUGGGGGUGAUCCAUCUCUUCAACCACUAUCCACCAUCUACAUCCUUCCCCUAUAUAAACUCUGCAAAAUAUAUACAUAUAUAGAGAGAGAGAGGAACAAACAAAUUAUAACCAUAGCAAAAAAAUCAAAACUAAAAUAUAACCAUUUUUCUUAUAAGGUGAAAAGAAAUAAUGGGCUGAGUACUUGAAAGAACUAACGACCUAAGUUUAUAAAUUAUUAUUUAGUACAAUGAUUCGAAUCCAAUUGCUUUUAAGAAAAAUGAAUACUCGACCAAUAUAUUACAAUAUGAGUUGUUAUUAUGAUUUAAUGUAACAUUCAAUCAAUAAAAUAUAACCAAUUUCUGAACGCUACCUAACAAUAUUUUUUUUGCCAAAGGGAAAGCAGAAAAAUUAUAUAUUUUUUAUAUUUUUAUUUUUUCACCCUUUUAAUUUUCUUUUCAUUCUACCAACUAAAGUUUUAAUGAAAAACAUGGAACUUGACUAUGCAUAUAACGUACCUAUCUUGUAGAACCAUACCUCCUAUAUCCGCAAUUUCUUUUAAAGCAUUAAUUCCUCCAUCUUUGUACCAUGUUGGUUUCGGACUAGAUGUUUUGUUCAUGUUGAGUAAAUGCAUCUGCAUAACUCCCCGUCUGGUUCUUGACUUGGCUCGACUCGGAUCCACAUCAUAGAAAAUUGGUAAAACAAUGUGUUUAGAAGAUUUCUUCUGCUCCAAUAUCAUUACAAGUUCGUUAAGACACCAUGUGGAUGCAGCAUAAUUCUUCGAGAAAAAACGAUAGAAAUUUUGGAGUGGUGUAGUAUUGCUUUUUCAAUUUCAUCUUUUAUGUUAUUCCCUCUCUCGAUUUCCUCAUCAUCUCUAAAUGUUUGAAUUCCUAAGUGCACCAAAGCUGUGUAAAGAUGAUCCGUGAAACUUUUGCGCGUAUCUUCACCUCUAAAACUCAAGAAUACAUGAUAAGUACCUCGCGAGAUAUCUGAUACCGCCAUUGAAGAAGAAAAUGAAGUCGUCCUGUAUUGUUAUGUGAAGAAAUCUAGGUAAACUAGAGAAAAUCAAUGAAGAAAUAUGUUUUCAAUCUGAAUUUAGUCUAUUACUUAGUCCAAUACAAAGCUAGACGUGUAUAUUUAUAGGUACAAUUAACUGCCUUCCUUAACAAAUUAGCUAACAACUCAGCUAACUCUAACUGCCUCUCUAACAGUCUUAUUAUCUUUAACACCUAUGUAGGAAUGAAGCAUUAAUAACCGGUUGAUUUCAGAAACAGAAUUGGUGGUUAAAUGGACUAAAUCACCAGUUUUUAUUUGACUUCUUGUUAUUAUUUAAAGAAAAUAAAUCUAAAAAAAUUAAAAUUAAAUAAAAUAAUAAAUAUUGACGUAUAUUGCACAUUAAAGUAAAUUUGAAAAAGAGAAAUGAGAGGGACAUAAGAGGGGGAGAAUAAUUCCCAAGUACUUGGUGUGGAAAAUAGAGGUACUAUAGAAAACGUUUCGAUAACUUUCCAUUUGGAGUCAUGCUUACGGUCUUAGUCUUUAGACCAUUGAGCUUGUUAAUAUUAUCUGAAUAGAGUUUAUUUGAAUAAAUUAUCAAAUUCAGACUUUAAAUAAUGAUUUAUAUCAAAUCAAAGCUGGCCCUAAAUUAGCAAAUUACGAGGGGCUUCAACAUAAUAAAUUCAUGGGCUAACCAAUUUCAGUGCAAUAGAAGUAGUGAAGACGAUGGGAUAAGGCUAAGAUUGACAUGCGAUGUGAAAAAGCAGGUAAGAGCAGUAGACUAUGAAAAGUCAUUAUAUAUUAUAAACAUUUCUUACGUUACAUUUCAACCACCUCUAUAAUUCCACCAGUGUCUGGUACUACUCGCUCGAGUGCUAACACUCUCCUCGUUACGGCCCUCCAACUUUUUCGUCCACAAUAUUUUAAGAAAAACAUAAUUCAAAUAAUAUUUUUUGGUAUCAUUCAUAUUUGUUUUAUAGUUUAUACUCAAGGUUUGUAAUUAUUUUUAAAAUUCGGACCUACAUUUCUCUUAAAAGUACAAUACCUUAAUUAUUCAAAUAAUAAUUUUAACAGAAAGGAUGAGCACCAAAUGGUGGAUAAAUACUAACUAUUAUCUUUAUGUUUACUUUUUGAUGAUAAUUAACAAAAUUAUUUGGUUUUAAAAUUUUAAUACAAUCAAUGAAACACAAUUCACAUACAUGAAUGAUGAAAUUUGAUGUGAUUAAAUAAAUAUUAAAUUUUGUUAUAUUUUUAAUAAUGGAUAUAAGUAAAAUGGUAAUAAACCGGCAUUUUAAUGUCAUUUAAAACAUGUCAAAUAAUUAUUAAAUUAGAUAUUCAAUAUUAAUAAUCAAUAUAUAUUAAUUGAGUUAGACAUUAUAAUUAGUCAUGACUGUCGAAAUUCAAAAUUGUAAAAAUUAAUAUAUAUUGAAUUAAAUGUCUACCAUACAUAAUCUUAUUCAAAUAAUAAUAAUGAAAAAAAAAAAAAGAGUAUUUAAGACAAUUUUGUUGUAUUUGUUUGUUCUAUGAUCCAACUAUGGUAGGUAAGCGUGAUGGAGGCUCAUCAUACUCCCAUCCAGUGGCUUUAAUUUGCUCUAAGGGAAUCGAAAACGAAUCAAUUCUUUUAGCUUCUUCUUCUUCCUCUUCAUCAUCAGAAAUCGACUUUAUUUCCAAAAAAAGUUUUGGGUCGAUUUUGGAGUUCCAAUCAAUAUCAUCUAUAUACAUAUCUGCUGCAUUACUUGUCAACUUAUUUGUGCAAGGAAAACGAUGAUAAUAUUCCCAGAGUCUCUGUUUGGCUUCUUGGAAAGCUUUUAAACCAGCUGAGUCAUCCCAUUCGAAUAGUUUAUCGGUUUUGAACAAAUUAUUGUUUGAUUCAACAAAUCUUUUUCAUGGCAUUGCACCCACUUUUAUGCAGAAUUUUUUCUCCCAUGCAAGUGUUGACACCAUUUUUUGGAUGAAAAACGGGGUCGACUUGGGUUUUGAAAACGAAAACGGGAGUCGCCACCAAUCUUUUUGGAUGAGGUGUGAUUGAGUCACAUCGUAAAAGUGGUUGUUUUUAAUAAACAAUUUAAUUUUAUUAAAACAACGAGUUUGGUCCACGAAAUUCAGAAGAAUGGGUUCGGGAGUCAGUUACGUACGAGGAAGGAUUAGCACCCUCGUAACACCCAAAAAUUGGUACCUAGUUGAUUAGUUAAUGUCUUAAUAUCGAAAAUUGAAAACUUUGAAGAAAUUUAAAAAUACGAUCCUUAUAUUAAAAUGUUGAAAAUUUUCGGAAAAUGGGGGCAUAUUUCACGUUAAUCGAGGAAGAGAAUCAUAUUCAGUAAGUUAGGACACAAUGUCUCGAAUUCCCGAUGCUCGAAUGAAUGCUGGAAAUUUAAAAGGUAUUUAGCUAUCUCGGAUUUAAAAAAGGGAUCACGACCAGUAAGUUAGGACACUAUCUUUUUUAUUCCCGAGAUCAUUUAAAACUUGAGUUUGAAAAGAUUCACGUAUUUAGAUUUAUUGUGAAAAUCGAAACCCAGUAAGUUAGGGUACGACUUUCUCAAAUCUAAACACGAAAUUUUGCUUAUUUUAAAAAUCAUAAUUUAUGCAUCUAAUAAAAUUAAUCUAACAUGAAAUAGUAGAAAUGAAACUCGAUAUUAAUACACGUGUUUAUAUAUAUGUUACAUAUAGACAAAAGAGAUAUGAAUGUGUAUAUUAUAAAACAAUGUAAGUAUGUAUAUACAUGUGUAUGUAUAGGAAGAAUAUAUAUGUGAAAUAUAUAAAAAAAUAAAAUAAGAUAAAAAUAUAAAAAAUAUAUUUCAAUAUAUAUAUAUAUAUAUGAGUAUGAACAUACAUAUUUGUGAGAGAAAAAAAGUAUAUAGAUAUACCUAUAUAUAUAUAUAAAAGAGUAUUCAUGUAUAUAUUAAAUAAGUUUAAUAUAUAUAUAUAUGUAUACGUAUAUAUAUAUGUAAGUAAUUAUAUAUUUAUAAUAUAAUAUGUCACAUAUAUCCAAAAUUUAUAUAAGUAAAUAUGAGUGGAAAUAUAAUGAUAAUAAUAAUAACAUUAAUGAUAUGAUGAUAGUAGUAAUAAGAUUAAAAUAAUUAAUUUAAUAAUAAAAUAGCUAAAAAAAACAAAAGCAGUUUCAAAUUGAAAAUAAACUAAAUCUCAGGGGCGAAAUCAAAACUGAAAAACAAAGAAAUGGAUUAAAAUGUGACGCGCGCGAAAAGAAAUAGGACCAAACGGGGAAAUAAACCAAUCCCUGGACACGUGUCCACUUUCCAGCGCGUCAGUGAGCCAGGGACCCGAUUGAAGACGAAAUAAAAUUUUGGGGCCAAAUUAAAAAAUAAAUAACAAGCAAAAGGGCUAAAUUAGAACAAAUCAAUAAUGAGGAGGGACCAAGAGCACAAAUAGCCCCUUGAUCAGAAACGCGCGGAUCCCCUAGGCGGGUCGGGUCUACGCGCGGAUCCCCCACUAAAACGGCGCCGUUUUGGAAUUUUGAAGGGCUGGGCAAAACGGUGCGUUUUGCCAGCCUAUAUAAAUCAAAAAAAUUUUUAAAAAAAUCAUUUUUAAUCAUUCUAAAAAAAACUCUCUCUCUCUCUCAAAAACCUCUCCCCAGAAACCGACGAAAGGCUCCGGCGCACCUCCGCCGUAGACGGCAGCCGGAGGUGCAAAAUGGAACCUUUCUUAGCCCUACUUGAAGCCCGUUCCCCUUAGAACCUGGAUUCAAAGCCGAAUCCUUUAAAAGUCGAGUCAAAAUCAAAAAGAAGAGAAGGAAUCCUUUAAAAGCCGAACCUCGAUGCCUCUUCUUAGGAAUAAACGCGUCCAACACUUUGCCAUGGAACUCAGAGAUUUUCCAUGGUCCCUUCCAAUGAAAACAAGAAGGAAGAUUAGAAACAUAAACUGAAAUCACCAUUUUCUCCAAGGAUUUAGCCUAGUAAUAGUUAACAGUAACUCCACGGAUCUGAUUAAAAGCACAAGUUAAGUGAAUUACCAAGAAUAAUGUUCUUCAAUACUAUUCCAAAUUCAAUUUUGGAACUUCUGUUAUCAUAGCUUUCAACUGUUUGAAACUCUGAUGGCAUUAUUCAAUCGCACAUAACUAACAUUUUCUGUAGCAACUUCGUCAUGGUAGAGCUAUCAUCGACAAGCCUGAACAAAUCAUCUAUAGUAUACAAUAAAUCCUAGAAAACUACACACUUCUAUAUUAUUUCCCAGAGAUUCCCUAAUUCACAUUUAUCAGGAGUUCAUUUGAAAUAACUCAAAUAUCUUNNNNNNNNNNNNNNNNNNNNNNNNNNNNNNNNNNNNNNNNNNNNNNNNNNNNNNNNNNNNNNNNNNNNNNNNNNNNNNNNNNNNNNNNNNNNNNNNNNNNUUCACAUUUAUUGAUCUUCACAAAUAAUUAUUUCUUUCGUAAUGUCUGUAACACUGUAACACUGUUUCUCCAAAACUAAUCGUGUUCAAUUUUUUUUUCUUCACAUGAAUUGAGUAUCUUUAAUUAUCUAACAACAACUCUGAUAUGAUACAGCUAGAAACUUUUGUCUAUUAAAUAUAGAGUAAACUACACCUAUGGUCACUUUUGUUUACUUUAGGUUACAUUUUGGUAACUUAUGUUUAAAAUAUUACGUUUUAGUCACUUACGUUAUCGUGUUGUAACAUUUUAAUCAUUGAGCCGUUAAUUGCCAUUAAUGGUGUAAUGGUAAGCUGACAUGGCACGUUAAAUCAUCAUUUCAAACAACAAUUUUAGGUUAAAUCAUACAACCGAUCCCCAUAUUUUUUUUAUUUUGGGCAAUUUAAUUUUUUUUGUUUAAUAUUCUUUAAAAUUUACUCUCUCUUUUUUCUCUUUAUUUUCCAUUAUCUUCUGUUUCUCCUUCUAUUUUCCUACCUUCUCCAUGUCUUUUAACAUAUUAAGAAGUCGAAUUGGCAGUGAAGAAAGAAGUAGAAAGUCGAAAGCCAUCAUUGCCUAUAAUCAAAACCCAUAAACCAGUUCGACUUUCUGAUAUGUUAAAAGAAAUGGAGAAUGUAGGAAAACAGAGGGGGAAGCAGAAGAAAAUGGAAAAUAAAGAAAAAAAAGAAAGUUAAAAGAACAUAAAAGAAAAAAUUUAAAUUGCUCAAAAUGAAAAAAAUAUAAGGACCAAUUGUAUAAUUUAACCUAAAUUUUUGUUUGAAAUGAUUAUUUAACGUGCCACGUCAGCUUACCGUUACAUUGUUAACAGCAAUUAAUGGCUUAAUGACUAAAAUGUCACAACAUGAAAAUGUAAGUGACUAAAACGUAACAUUUCAAAUAUAAGUGACUAAAAUGUAAACUGAAGUAAACAAAAGUGACCAUGGAUAUAGUUUUCCCUUAAAUAUAUAAAGUGACCAUGCAAUUGAUAAUCAUAUACAAUAAUCAACAUUUGACUAAACUUUGCAACCUAUACAAGUCUUUUUGGGAUUUCGACGAAAUAUAAACAAAAAUCCCGAGAAGAUACUUAAAACAUUUACUCAUCCAUGGCAAUUGAUUGAAAAUAUUUGGGUUGUUGUCUAGCUCAUAAUCGUAUACAAGGUCAAUACCAAAUUCUAGCACAGAUAAAUCUGAAAGAACUCGAAGACUAACAUGAUCACCAGCUUCUAAUUCAUCACCCCUAAAGUUCCAACAAGUCGUCCAGUAUAAGGUAUUCUUAGUUUCAGGAAUUCCCAUGAAAUGUUUGGAGUAGGUCCACUUUGUACCUUUGGUCUCAUUCACAAUUUCAAGGCAUGGUAAAAAUCCAUAUGUUUUAUCAUUCUUGGCAGAAAAAAUGAUAAUUGAAUUUAAGAAGCAACUUAUCUUUCGACUAGAGUUUGGGGGCACUGAUAUUGAAACCUCAGUCUUGCCAGCUUGAUGGCCAUAGUAAUGACCAGUGUAAUCAAAUGGCAUUGGAUCAAGUGUUGUAAUUAUACCGUAAUCAUAUAAUACCUGUAGCAUUGGGUUAGAGAAUGAGUUAUUAAAAAGUAUAUAGUAUAUAAAUAGUUUUAAAAACUUGGAACUUGUAAAGGGAACCUGUGGGGAAGCAACCACUUUUGAUCCUUCUAUAUAACUGCAAAGUUGCACUUUAACAUCUCCAUAAGAUUCCAAACUGGGCAAGUGUUUAGUUAGGUCCAUCUUGAUAUUUCUUGCGGAAACUUCAUCUCCUAAAAUAUGUAAAAUAAUGUGUUAUUUAUCAAUUUUAGUGAUCAUCAACAUAAUAUGCUUAUUAGAAAGUAAUAGUAUUGACUUGAAUGAAGUGAUAAUUAAAGCUUUUAUCAGAUACCCAUUUGACACGAAUUCAAAUCGUGACCCAUCCCCUAUACUCAAUAUUAUAUAAAAAAAAAGAUAUGAAAGUAGUAAUGUUAUUAUCACUAAAAUGUAUUAUAAGACUUGUAAAAAAUAAUCAAUUAUACACAUUAUAUCUUUAUUUUUUAUUUUUAUAUAAAGUAUAAACUUUAAAACUAUUAAAUAUGUUAGUCAAAACACCAUUGUUAUAAUUUUAUCCAUUAUUUUAGUUUCCACUUCUAUUAGUACUAUUGGAUUAAUCAUUUAUCAAACAAUUAACUUAUUUUCAUUAGACGCCAAUCGCAGCAUAACUUUAUAAUUAUCACUUUAUUAUUAAGCUAAAUUUCUCUCAUAAUCUAUUAAAUUGUCAUAUUUCUUGAUAAUAUUUUAUUGUAUUAGAAAGUCUUUUAGAGAAACAUUCAUCAUUUCUUGAAAACUUGUUAUUCACAUAUAAAAUGAAACAAUAAAAUAAAUAUAAUAGGAUGUAUUUACUAAAAUAUAAUUAAUUAAAAAUUUUAAACCCUAAAUCUUAGUUAAAAAACCGUUCUAUCUCCCCCUUUUUUUAGUUUUCUUUUUUAGUUGACUAAGAAAGCUAUUAUCAACAAAAGAGGAUUCAAUGGAGGGUCCAGGUAUGUCUUCUUUACCGAUAAAAAUUCUGAUGAUAAUAGCUUUCUUAGUCAACUGAAAAAGAAAACUAGAAAAAGGGGAAGAUGAACGGUUUUUAAACUAAGAUUUAGGGUUUAAAAUUUUUAAUUAAUUAAAUUUAAUUAAUUAUAAAUCUAUUCUCAUCCCAUUAGGAAAUUCAAGUUGGCACUUAAAAUCUAGUUGGACUGCCACGUAGGAUUACCGUUAGGGAGAUAACGGAACUUAACGGAAGAGUGAUCACUUCGUAACAAAAUAAUAACAUAAGUGACUAAAAUGUAACCUGAGGUAAACAAAAGUGACUAUUUUUGUAGUUUACCCUUUACUAAAAUAAAAUUAUUUGAAGUCUACUCAUACCUGUAGAUAAGUGCGAAAAGCCAUAUUCAUAUCUAAUGUUGUGUUCUGAUUCAUAAGUAACGCCAAAUUUUCUUAUGCUGAGAUGAAUAGGCACUACCAUGCAACUCACAACGUCACCACCUUCAAACUGACAGUCCGUUACUGGCCAAUGAAUCAACCACAACAUUGUGUUAUCGUUAGUCUGAGGAAUUUCAAUGAAAGUUGAGCUAUAUCUCUGCAUGAUCAUUUUGGUCUCAUUGAAAAUGUGGACACUUGGAAGAAUCUCCAACAUUUGAUCACUAGCUAAAGAGAAAACAAUGCAUAAGCUGAACCGAUGGAUCUUUUCAUCAGGAUGAGAUGGUGUUGGCAAAGAAAAAGAGAUUCGGUGCUCGUUAGUGCGAUGCUUAAACACAAUCGGAACUUCACUUCCUAUAACAAAUGUGCUUGUUACACCAUAUUCCUGCAAGACCUGAUCCAAAAAGAACAAGUUAGAUGAUUUAGUAGCAUAAGAGAAAAAAUAGAUUUAAAAUUUAACUUGGAGAACUAUUGGACCUGUGGGGUAGCUAGCAUUAUGCUGUCUGUUAGGUAGCUAUAAAGUUGCAGUCGGUUUCUGUUAAUGGAAUCCACGUUGAAUAAUCUUCUAAUCUCUUCUGCUUCAAAGUUUUCAAUUGGUUCCAACUUGAAUAGAUCUUCAACCUCAGUCAAUUUUUCACAUCCAAAAAUAACACAUCGUGUGGAAGAAAAGAAGCAUGGAAGAAUUAUUCGGAAUGAAGACUUGUCUCCAAAAAUAAAGUUGCACUUAAAAACAUUGAGCAAGACCGGAAGCUUUGGAAUCAUUUGGAGUUCAGUGCAAGAAGUCAAUAGAAGUUCAUCAAGUUUUGUAAGGUUUUUUAAGCUUUCGGGUAGGNNNNNNNNNNNNNNNNNNNNNNNNNNNNNNNNNNNNNNNNNNNNNNNNNNNNNNNNNNNNNNNNNNNNNNNNNNNNNNNNNNNNNNNNNNNNNNNNNNNNNNNNNNNNNNNNNNNNNNNNNNNNNNNNNNNNNNNNNNNNNNNNNNNNNNNNNNNNNNNNNNNNNNNNNNNNNNNNNNNNNNNNNNNNNNNNNNNNNNNNNNNNNNNNNNNNNNNNNNNNNNNNNNNNNNNNNNNNNNNNNNNNNNNNNNNNNNNNNNNNNNNNNNNNNNNNNNNNNNNNNNNNNNNNNNNNNNUCUUCAAGUGAUAUUAAUGAACCUAUUGUCCUUGGAAGUUUCCUAAGACUUGUGCAAUCUUUAAGGUUCAAGAAAGUAAGUAUCUUUAGCUCACCAAUGGAUUGAUCAACUUCCACCAAAUUUAUGCAAUCUUUGAGCAUCAACUUCUCAAGGCUAGGGAGUCCUGAAAAGCUUGGGGUUUUAAGAAGGCUAUGUGAAUGGUUGAGAUUAAGGAUCUUUAAAUUUGGGAGGCACUGCAAAAAAAGAAAGAAAGAAAGAAAGAAAACCCUUCAUUUAUAUUAUUGUUUCACACACACACAAAAAGAAGGAAAAUUAGUAUAUAUCAUAUACCUCUGUAUCCUUCCAAACUUGUUUAAGUUUACUGUUGCGCAUGUCGAGAACAACUAGUUCAUUGAUAUCAAAAUCCACCGGAAAAGAUUGCAUACAAAACCCAUGCCAACGUAACCAUCUUAAUCUUUUGGGAAAGUCUUUGAAGUCUCCUUUAAGUCUUACAUAAUCCAGUUGAAGCAGUUUAAGUCUCUUCAUCUUUGCAAAUGCUUGAGUUUCCAUAUCAACAUCAUUUGCCAUGAGAAACUGACUUUUGGAAUGCUUUGGAAAAUGUAGAGUUGUAUUUGUCCUUUCAGCCUUGUCUUCUAGCAAUCCUUUUAGGUCAAUUGUGAGGCACUUAACUGUUCUGGAACCCUGCAUGAGAAAAACUUUCUUAAAAAAUAAAAAGAAAUUUGAUAAAAAAAAAGUUGAGUAAAAUGAUGUUUCUUACAAUUUUUCUCUUAUUACAUCAAACGCGUUCUUAUGCCACAAUCUGCUUCGUUUCCCAAAAUUAGAAGAUUCUUGGCGAAUAAUUUCUCGUCCCAUGUCUCUAAUCAUUUGGUGCAUCAUUAGCUUGUUUUUUUCAUUAAUGAUUAAGAGAGACCUGCCUACUAGAUUUUCAAUUCCAAUUGUUGUAUAGAAAUCACAACCAUCUAGAAUUGUAGUCGUGUAAUCUCUAUCCUUCCCAAUGAAUAAAGAAACUAUGUCAAGGAAUAAAUUUUUGUCAUGAUCGUCUUCCAAAGAAUCAUAGCUUAUUCUUAGAAUCUCUUGAAUUUUGCUGUCAGGGAUUUCUUCCAAUUUCUCCAAUGCACUUUUCCAAGAACUCACACUUUUGGUAGAUAAUGAAGAGCCCAAAAUUUGAAGAGCUAAUGGAAGCCCACCACAGUGUUUCACUAAACUUCUUGCAUAUGCCAUUGAACUUUCAGGCACUGAGUUAUGACCAAAAGCAUACCAAUUAGAAAGUUGUAGCGAUUCACUUGAAGCUAAUUCUUUUACUUCAAAUAGCUUGCUUAAGCCUCCACAACUAGUUGAUGCUUCCAAAUCAAACAUUUGGCUUAUAAAAUGUGCAUUCAAUAGGCAUCGGUUUCUACUUGUUAUGAUGAUUUUACUUCCGGGAUGAAAAGGAAUUUGAGUUCCCAUUAAUUUUCUUGUUUUUUCCAAUUCAUCAACAUCAUCAAGAACAAGAAGAACUCUUCUACAACAUACAAUUUCUUUGAUCUUGUUAAUUCCAUUGUCUAUAUUGUAUAUUUUAUGUGAUUUUCCUUUAAGAAUAUCUGAAAGAAGUUGGCUUUGCAAACGGACUAAACCAUUGCAAUCUUGACUUGUUUCUCUAACAUCAGCAAGGAAACUAUAACCUUCAAACCUCGGGAUAUUUUGAUUGUAAACAACUUUGGCAAUGGUUGUCUUCCCAAUGCCUCCAAUGCCACAAAUAGUUGCAAUGCCAACUUUAUUUGCUCCAUCUUGUUCUAACCAUUGAUUAAUUUGUGUCACAAGAGAAUCUAUUCCAACUAAAUAAGGAGGGACAUACAAAGAAAUAAGAUGAAGUUUAUUUUGAACUUCUUUAACAAUAUCUUGGAUGAAUUGUGAUUCAUGCCUGCAAAUUUAAAAAAUACAACUCAAUAGUAAAAUCUUGGAAAUUAAGUAAAGGUUACUAAUGUAUUUUCUUUUUUCUUGCAUAUAUUUUGAUUGCUUUUAUGAGAUUAUAUGUUCAAGUAAAAAUAAGAAACUAUGCAGCAUUUCAAUAUAUAUGAUAGAAUUAUUACAUUCAAAAUCAAAUCAAAUCAAAUAAAGCAACAUAAAAAUUAAUGAAAUUCAUUCGAGAAACAACCUAUACUCAAAAUUUCAACUUUCUCUUUGUGAAAGUUUAAUAAAUUCAUGUUAUUUACAUGAAUUUAUAUAUUUAUUUUUUAUUUAUUGUAAUAUUUUGAAUAUGUGUAGACCUAUUACACGAAUAACUUUGAUAUAAUUGUUGCAAAUAUACUACCGCAAAAUAUAAUUGUUAAGGAGACCAAACUGAAUGUAAAUAAAAUAAGAAUCAUUGUGUUGUGGAAGAACCACUGUAAUAUUAGAGACAAAUUCGCCCUGAUCGGUGUAAUUGUGUAAUGGAUGUUACCCCCCAACACAAUACUCCAAUAUUCUUAAACCCAAUAAAAAAGAUGGAACACGAUUGACAAUACUCCAAAUAGUCCUACUUAAAACCUAGUCUCUUAGACAGAAUUUCCCUCUCGUGUAAUUUUGCAUAACACUAGAAUUUAGAGAACAUAGAGAAGUUGUUUUUCUCUUGUUAUGUUAGGUAGGAGAAUGACCUCCUAUUUAUACUAUUUUUUGAUGAGCAAAAUGGUAAAAUAAAAGUUUUAGUUUUUAAAAAUAACAAAGGAUUUUUCUAACUUAAAAUAUUCUAAAAAUAUUUUCUGCAACAGUCAGAAAAUUUUCCGCAAUUCAAAAUAUUCUUUUGCAUUACCAACAAUGACAUCUUAGAAAACCACAAAUAGUGUCAUUAAAUUAAAGAGGCUAUUUCUUUUUAUUUUUAACUCGUCAAAUCCAAGUUGUUCAUGUGAUAGGUGCAAACGUAUUUAAAAUUUGAUCUAUGUGUUUUAAAAACAUCCCAUAUCAGAUUCGAGCUAACAUUUAAUGCUUAAGCUGAUGACUUAUUUGAUAGAAAGACCUCAAUGAUACAAUACUAAUAUUUUAAUGACUCAAUUAAAACAUGUUAAUGUUUGAGAAAUAAUUUAAAAUCUAUCUUAUAAUUAACCCUCUAAAAUGGAUUGAAGUAACCAUUUUAAUUUCCAAACGCUACCUAACAAUAUUUUCUAUUAAUUUUCUUUCUACUCUAGCAAGUCUUAAUGAAAAGGAUUGAAGUAACCAUAUGGAACUUAAUUAAGUGUAUAACGUACCUGUCUUGUAGAACCAUGCCUCCUAUAGCCGCAACUUCUUUUAAAGCAUUCCUCCAUCUUUGUACCAUGUUGGUUUCGGACUUGAAGUUUUGUUCAUGUUGGGUAAAUGCUUCUGCAUAACUUCCCGUCUGGUUCUUGACUUGACUGGGAUCCACAUCAUAGAAAACUGGCAACACAAUAUGUUUAGAGGAUUUCUUGUGCUCCAAUAUCAUUACAAGUUCGUUAAGACACCAUGUGGAUGCAGCAUAAUUCUUUGAGAAAACAACGAUAGAAAUUUUGGAGUGGUGUAGUAUUGCUUUUUCAAUUUCAUCUUUUAUGUUAUUCCCUCUCUCGAUUUCCUCAUCAUCUCUAAAUGUUUGAAUUCCUAAGUGCACCAAAGCUGUGUAAAGAUGACCCGUGAAACUUUUGCGCGUAUCUUCACCUCUAAAACUCAAGAAUACAUGAUAACUACAUCGCGAGAUUUCUGACACUGCCAUUGAAGAAGAAAAUGAAGUCGUCCUGUAUUUUUUAUGUAAUAACAAGGUUCCAGCAUAUAUAUAUAUAUAUGAAUGGCAAAGCAGAUAUUAUUAGCAGUCAAGUGGCAGUUCCCAAUCCAUGGUGGGUCAAUCCUUCGACCAGUUCAUACAACUGCCCGAAGACAUUCAAGUCGGCCAUGUUGUGUUUUUCCAAAUCUACCAACUUGGGUUACGUAUUCUAUAUUAUUAAUUUUGCUUGACAAAUACAAUGUAUUGAUUAACUUGAUGGUUAUAGCUAACACAACACGUAUAUAGACAUCAUCUUCAGGCUAAUAUUAGUAAAAAUAUUAUGAAGGUUCUUGUAUUUUAAGUCAUAUUAUAUUUUGUUUUCUCUACUUAAAAAAUAUUAAAUUAAUUUUUGUAUAUUAUAUUAAAAAGUAAAUUAGUUCAUUUGUUAAAAAAAUUAUCUAUUGUUAUUGUUAAAAAUUGAUCUAUGUAAUCAACAUGAGGUAUAUGUGACACGCCACAUGCAACUAUCUGAUUAUUUCAUCAUUCAAUUUAGUUUUUAACAACAAAAAUGAAUGAAAUUUUUAAUAAAAAUGAUAAAUUUGUUCUUUUAUAUAAUGUAUAUGGACUAAUUUACUUGUUUUUAAAUAAAAUGGGUUAAUUACAAUUUGACUCUAAGGGUCCACAGUGGGCGAACCAACUCAUGUCGGNNNNNNNNNNNNNNNNNNNNNNNNNNNNNNNNNNNNNNNNNNNNNNNNNNNNNNNNNNNNNNNNNNNNNNNNNNNNNNNNNNNNNNNNNNNNNNNNNNNNUUAUAUAAUGUAUAUGGACUAAUUUACUUGUUUUUAAAUAAAAUGGGUUAAGUACAAUUUGACUCUCAAUAGAAUGAUCUCCAUGAUACUUUUACCGGCUAAUACCUUGGUGGAUACACUCAAUAAUUAAACCACAACCACAUAUAUCACAUAGACAUCACAUUAAACAUUCAAGCUUGGUAUAGUAAAGAGACAAUUUUAGUAUCUAUGCAUGAAUGAAGAAUUAAUUAUUUUUGGAAAAGAAUUGGUGAUUAAAUUGAUCAGAUCAUCAAUUUUUUAUUUGAUUUGUUCGUGUUAUCUAAAAUAAAUAAAUUUUUAAAGACUAAAAAAAUAAUAAAAAAUAAAAAUUCACUUAUAUUGCACAUUAAAGUAAAUUGAAAAUGUGAAUUGAGAGGGACAUAAGAGAAGAAGAAUAAUUCCGAAGUAUUUGGUGUGGAAAAUAUUGGUACUAGAAAACGCGUUUCAAUCGCUUUUCAUCUCGGAGUCAUGCUUACGGUCCAUUAUUUGGUGCUCAACAUUUGGUCCAUUUGGUGGGGAAAAUUCAACGAAUAUUCUUACCAUAUCUACUUUAAAAUUUUAAUAUAAUUAAUGAAAAACAAUUCACAUAUAUGAAUCAUCAAAUUUGACAUGCUUAGAGAACCUCAUGUGAUGACCUGAUGAUUAAGAUUAUUCAUAAACCCAAAUGUGGUCUAGAUUUGAAUCGCGUUACUUGCGUUGGUUAUUCGAGCUUUACUUGUUAUUGUAAUUAAAAAAUUAAUAUAAUUAAAUAAAUAUUGAAUUUUGUCACAUUUAAUAUAGAGGACGUAAGAGGAGGAGGAGGAUAAUUCCCAAGUACUUGGUGCGGAAAAUAGUGGUACUAGAAAACGCGUUUCAAUUACGUUUACGUUCCAAGACUUUAGACCAUUAGCAAUUAAAGAGGGGCUUCAACAAAAUUACAUAAUAAAUUCGUGGGCUAACCAAUUUCAGUGCAAUAAAAGUAGUGAAGAGGAUGGGAUAAGGUUAAGGUUUACAUUGUUGGUAAUGCAAAGUGGAAUCUCUCGUUACAGCCUUCAAAUUUUUUGGUUCACAAUAUUUUAGGAAGAACUCGAUUAUAAUAUUUUUUUCGUGAUUAUUUUUUUCAAUAAUAUUAUUUUUAAAAUUCAGAUCUAUAUUUUUUUUAAAAGUAUAAUAUGUCUUAUCAUUAUGUCUAACAAUUGCUAAUUAUUCAAAUAAUAAUGCUAACAAAAAGGUUGAGCACCAAAUGGUUGAUAAGUACUAACAAGCUCAUGGUCUAAAGUCUAGAUCGAGUAGCGCUAUUAUUCAAAACGUAGUGAAACAAAUUAAUUCUUUCUCCGACGUUUAAUUAUCAAUUUUAUUGUUGUGACUCCAUAACUAAAAUUUAGCUAAACCCUUUAUUCAAGAGUGUAAUUAUUCGAAUAGGAUCAUGUCUCUUUUAUGGUGGAAUACUAAUUCAUUUGAUUACAUGGACUUGUUCAUAAAAAUUCUCUUAAAAUAUUGAACAAAUAUCAAUUGGGUGUUCUGAUUUAAAUAUUUAGUUUUUAAGAGAACAUAUUCUUACCUCAUUAUGCCUUCUCGAAGAUUUAUGUCAAAUCCAAACUGAUGUGAGUUGGUAGCCGUGAUGAUAAUCAAUUCUCUAAUAUUUCAAGGAGUUUUGUCCAUAAGUAAAAGUCUUUGGUAAAAGUAUUAGAUAAGUAAUUGAUAAAAAAAUUCAUUCUAAAGGCAACUAGCAAAGAACUAUUUAAUAUUUUUAAACAUUCAUGAAGAAUUUUAUGUACUUUUAUUGAAUGGAAUAGAUUUUUUUUCCUAAUAGAGGAACCACGAGAAGCAGGAUGUUUUCUCUUGACCUAUUCAAAAUGUACUUGGCAACUUGUUCUUGUAAGGAAAACCAUAAUAAUUUUCCCUGUUUGAAAUCUUGAAAAUCUUUUAAAUUAAUCGAAUCAUCUCGCUCGAAUACUUUAUCAGCUUUAUACAAAUUAUUCUUCGCAUCAAUAAAUAUUUUUCAUGAUAUUGCACCCACUUUCAUGCAAAAUUAUUUCUCCCAUGCAAGGAAUAGCUCCAUGAAUUACUGUCAUCUUUUAGUUUAAGAUGAAUAAAUUUCGAUCAGUAAUAACUUUCUUGAUGAACAGGAUAUCUAUUUUGAUGACAUGAUAUGAUUUCUUUUGAUUCAAGAAAGACAAUUGAUGACUAGAAAUUGAACGACUUGGGUUUAUAUACGAUUAUAACUAUUUAAAGUUUAAAGUGUUCAUGUCUUGCGGUAUAAUAUUACAAUUACAAGUACAAGAGAAGAGAACCAUUUUAGUAAUACACAAUACAUUUACAAUAUGGCACACAUUUACCUUACUACAUUUUUCUUCUUUACAAUUACCUUAUUUAUAAAGUUUAGGGGUUGUUAGAUUAUUAACACAUGUAAACAUCCUUACCAUUUAUUUUAUAAAUAUCUAAUAAUUAGGAUGUUCAUCUAAAAUAUUUAAUUUUCUAGAUAAUAUCCUAUAUUCUAGAAUCUUCCCAAUAAAAUAUCUCUUAAAAGAUAAGUAUAGAUAUACAACAUUUCUAUCUUUUAAACAUUGUACAUACAUAUUUUUUUAUGAUUGUGUAAAAAUAAAUAUUGUACAACCUCUUUAAUGUCUUCUAAAAAUAAUAAGAAUAUAAAUACAUAUAUUCACGUACAACCCACGCCAUUUUGAACAUUAGUUUUACUCAAUGUUGUAACUGCCUUGCCUUAUAUUUUCUCUAUAUCCUAUAAUUUAACAUAAAACACCUAACAGAACACGUGUUACUACAAUAUUUUUGGGUGAAUUUGUUAUAUUCUACUUUACCAUCUUUCUUAUUCAUAGUUAAUAUUUAUUUUUUAUGUUUAAAAUAAUAUUAAAAGUAAAAAUUUAAUUAAAAUGGUUUACUGCAUAAAAUUAAUAUAUAACUUAAUAUAUAUCAAGAAAAUUACGAAUUUUUAAUUUAUACAAUUAUUUUUUAUAUUUUAUUUUUUCAAUAUAUUCAAAUUAAAUUUUUAAGUAAAUAAAUGUAAUUAAAUUAAAUUAAUACACAUAACCAACUCGGAAUAAAAACCUAAUUUUUUAAUCUUUUUUCUUAUUCAUAUGAUUUUAACUUUUGCCUUUUAUAUGUCAUCUAAGUGCACGUAUAGUAUCAUUCAUAACCAAACUACUAUUAAUGGAUGAAUCAACUUAAAAACCCUCAUCCAACAUAAAAGUUCCUCUUCAAAUUUAAAAACUCUCAUCCAAUUUGGAUUUGGAAAUUUCUUAUUUGAAUAAUUCUUACCUGAAAAAUCUCAUCUCAUCAAAAUAUUUUCUCUAAUCUGAAUUUACUAGGGUAAUCAAUGUUCACAAAAAGUACCAUGUAUGCAUCACUUGAACAAAAUAACGAGAAGCAGCAAUUACUCUAGCUGUUGUUUCUUCUUUAACCUAGCCAACUUCAAAUUGGCUUCUCGGAUAGUUUCUCGCAAUUUCUUUAUCUCUCACUACACCAAAACAGGCCUUUAGCGGCAUUUUUAGUGGCGUUUGAAUAAAAAAAGCCGCUAAAAAUCGAGUAUUAGCUUGAUCCUCCAAUAUUUGACGAGUCUUUGCCAAGUUAUCCUUUAGCCAUGAAAGUUCCAAUCAGGGGAUCUCCAUGUCUUUCACCCUUACCAACAUAUCAUCGUUAUCAGUUAGCUCAAGCUUAUUCAGAUCGCUUUCUAAUCUUCAAUAAAUUUCAGCAACUGCAUUCAUAAUGUUGCUUUAAAACUCUUGAUUGUUCAAUCGAAAUUGGUCAGCAAAGUGAGCAUGGUUUUGAAAUAUUUUAUUGAGCGCGUCAGCAUUGUAUUGAGAAACCUCGUAUCUGUUGAUGAUGACAGCUGUGACAUCAAAGGUUGAGAAUAAAUGAAAUAAUUAUCUUCAAUAUAACUCAAAGAAACAAUAAAUUCAUGAAAUAGUAGCUUGCAGCCAUUACUUUGGAGCAAAUCAUCUAACCAACUUUUCUGAGCCACAAAAUCUCCACUUCUCCCAAAGCACCCAUAUGAUUAGAAGAUUCAGGAUUCAAAUGUGCUGGAGAAACCUAUAAGCAAAACAGAAUCAGAUAUUGGUCCAAAAAUAAGCAGAUAAAAUUAAAAACUUUACAACAUGACAACACAAUAAAUAAGGAGAAGAGUAAACAGCAUUACGCAGAGAAUUAGAAACUGACAGCCUUCCUACUCAGGAUUUCUCUUUUUUUUGUGUGUGUUUCUAGUUGAUAUUUCUUGUUUGAUUUGGUAUCUUACCAUAAAUGUGGGAUCAAUCAGACAGUCCUGAAAUAACUAUUUAAAGUUUAAGUGUUCAUGUCGUAUCUCUCUUACACUAUAAUAUUAAAGUUUUGGAUUCAAACUUCAACCUGGUACAUAAACUUGAAUGGACAAUAGCAGGAUAGCAUUCUCUCUACAACUACAUGUAAACAAGAGAAUGAAUGAAGAAAUUAAAGAAAAAAUGAAUAGUGAUGAUCCGAUCAGUUUAUAGUUUGCAAAAGAUAAAAUAGACAGCUCGUUAAAGAAAUUAAAGGAAUGACAAGUUCUACAAACAUGCCUGUAGGAGUAAGAGAGAUGAGUUAAAAACUUAAUUGGUGAUAACUGAAUAUUGAACUUCAUUUUUGCAUCAUUCAUUAAAAUAAUAGAAAAGAAGUUAGUGGACGAUACAUGCUUGCAUUUUCAGGUCAUAAUUUGCUCUGUGAAACUCAAAAUUCAAUCCUUACCACCUUUUGGUCGCUUGUUUCCAUUUUCAAUGUUAAUUUCUCUACUCUUCCUCCCACAUGUAUUAGGGUAAAAUUCACUUUCUCAGCUAGUUUCUCUUGAUCAAUCAUCUUCAUUCGAAAUAUAUAAAGAUGAGUAGCAAAGCAAAACAGAGAACAGAACAAUAGAGGCAGACCAGUUACUAAAUGCUCACCUCUUUAAGAUUGUUCAAACAAAUUACUAAGAAAUGUUAUGGCAACGUUAAAAAGCCUACUCCUUAAUUAACUUGAUGAUAAGCUAUUUUGCAAGACUCAUGUUUGCUACAAUUACAUUUUUUUUCUACAAAAGGGUUUUCAUGAUAAAUGUAAAACCUUAUACUCCAUUGAUUAAAAGAGGACAUCCUAACACUCCUUUUGCUAUAUAAAAGCCUUAUAUAUAAUCCCUGCAUGUAAGCUUCAAAUCGUACAAUAGACUCAUAAUUCAUACCUGUAAAUGUUCAUGCUUGCAAAUAAUAGGUAUAUAAAUAAUGACAGGAUCUUUAAUUACCUCUGAUGUCAGAUGUCACAACAGCCAUCGUCAACAGAUACGAGAUUCAUCAACACAAUGCUGACGCGCUCAAUAAAAUAUUUCAAAACCAUGCUCACUUUGCUAACCAAUUUCAAUUCAAUAAUCGAGAGUUUCAAAGCAACAUUAUGACCGCAGUUGGUGAAAUUUACCAGAAAUUAGAAAGCAAUCUGAAUAAGCUUGAGCUAACUGAUACCAAUGAUAUGUUAGUAAGGGUGAAAGACACGGGGUCCCCGGUUUGGAGCUUUCAUGGCUAAAGGAUAAGUUGGCAAAGACUCGUCAAACAUUGGAGGAUCAAGCAGAGAUAAAGAGAUUGUAAGAAACUAUUCGAGAAGCCAAUCUGAAGUUGGCCAGGUUAGAGAAUAAACAACAGCUAGAGUAAUUUCUGCUUCUCGUUAUUCCGUUAAAGUAAUAGCAGCCAAGGCUCUGUCUAGCCUCUCGUACAAAUUGCCGUGACACUAGGUGAAUUUUGGUCUUUGGAAUCCCAGGUCACAUAGAUGAUUAUUAGAGCAAAACGAUUGGAAAUGAGAACACCCCCUACCGCCUUUCCACUCAUCCAUACUUAGAAUAGAGUUAAAAUCACCGCUAAGAAUCCAUGGUUUUGUCAUAUUAUCUACAAUCAAACUUAAACAUUCCCAUAAAAUAUUCCUUUUAUUGAUUUGAGGACUAGCAUAAAUGAUCGAGACAAAGAAUUGUCAUUGAAGAGCAGACUCUUUAAUCUUAACAGUAGUUGAAAUACUUUCAUCGCCCAAUAUAAUUCGUAACAUUUUGACCACUACAGCCCAGCAACCCUGCAUAUCUUUUCCGAGGAAUAUUCUUACUUGAUCUAUUCAAAAUGCACUUGGCAACUAGUUCUUGCAAGGAAAACCAUAAUAAUUUUCCCUGUUUGAAAUCUUGGAAAUAUUUUAAAUCAACCGAAUGAUCUCACUCGAAUACUUUAUUAAUUUUAUACAAAUUACUCUUCGCAUCAACAAAUAUUAUUCAUGACAUUGCACCCACUUUCAUGCAGAAUUAUUUUUAGUUUAAGAUGAAUAAAUUUCGACUAGUAAUAACUUUCUUGAUGAACAUCAUAUCUAUUUUGAUGAUAUGACAUGCUUUCUUUUGAUUCAAGAAAGACAAUGAAUGACUUGAAAUUGAACCAUGAUUUUAAAGGACUUGGGUUUAUAUAAGAUUAUAUGGGCGGUAAUUCAAUUCCCUUUUCCUGGUUGGAAAAGGAAUUCCAUUUUGACUUUAACUGUGAUUUUUAAGUUGUUGUUUUCUUAUUGUUAAUUAUUUAAAAAAUAAUCGCAUUUUAACUUGCAAACUUAAAUCUUAAACUAUUAUCUUUAUGUUUACUUUCUGGUUAUAAUUAACAAAAAUAUUUGGUUUUAAAAUUUUAAAACAAUCAAUGAAACACAAUUUACAUAUAUGAAUGAUGAAAUAUGACGUGAUUAAAUAAAAUGUUAAAUUUUGAUAUAUUUCUAAUAAUGAAUAUAGCCAAAAUGGUAAUAAAUCGGCAUUUUAAUGUCAUUUAAAAGGUGUCAAAUAAAUAUUAGAUUAGAUAUUCAAUAUUCAUAAUCAGUAUAUAUUAAUUGAAUUAGACAUUAUAAUUAGUCAUGACUAUCGAAAUUCAAAAUUGUAAAAAUUAAUAUAUAUUGAAUUAAAUGACUACCAUACAUAACCUUAUUCAAAUAAUAAUAAUGAAAAAAAGAGAGUGUUUAAGAUAAUUUCAUUGUAUUUGCUUGUUCUAUGAUCCAACUAUGGUAGGUAAGCGUGAUGUAGGCUCAUCGUACUCCCAUCCGGUGGCUUUAAUUUGCUCUAAUGGAAUCGAAAAUGAAUCAAUCCUUUUAACUUCUUCUUCUUCCUCUUCAUCACCGGAAAUCGACUUUAUUUCCAAAAAAAGUUUUGGGUCGAUUUUGGAGUUCCAAUCAAUAUCAUCGAUAUACAUAUCUGCUACAUUACUUGGCAACUUAUUUGUGCAAGGAAAACGAUGAUAAUAUUCUCAGAAUCUCUGUUUGGCUUCUUGGAAAGCUUUUAAACCAACUGAAUCGUCCCAUUCGAAUACUUUAUCUGUUUUGAACAAAUUAUUUUUUGAUUCAACAAAUCUUUUCCAUGGCAUUGCACCCACUUUUAUGCAGAAUUUUUUCUCCCAUGCAGUAAUGGUUCCCAUGAAUUACCGUUAUCAUUCAGUUUGGAACGAGUAAAUUUCGGACUGUAAUACCUUUCUGGGCGAUUAUGAUAUCUUCUUUGAUAGUAUAGCAUGAUUUCUUGUAAUCCAAACAAAUAAAUGAAUUGAAAUCGCUAAUGAUAUGAAUUUACAGUGAGGAAAAGGAAUUCUAAUUUCAUCUAUUUUCUAAAUAUUUAUAUAAUAAAAUUAUUAAAAAAUAACUAUAUCUGUAUUGAUUCGUUUCCCUCUUAUUGAUAGCUUACAUCCCUAGCUUCUCUAGAAUCCUCAUUGACUAUCUGAUCUCUUCACCUAUUGGUGUUCCCCCAAGAAUUUUUUUUCUAGUUUUCUCCUCCUAAUUCAUCUCUACGAUCAUCACCUCCUAGCUUACCAUUUUCAACUUUCUUCCAGUACACCACUUUUCCCUUAAAGCGAGCUAAGUUCACAUUUACUUUACUUCCAUAUAUACAGAAUCCGUUAAGUUUACUAACUGCCCUCUUAUCAUCCACAAUGCUUGCAAAUCUUACUCAACCAAAACGUAGACCUUUUCGAUGCCUCUUCUCAGGAAUAAACGCGUCCAACACUUUGCCAUGGAACUCAGAGAUUUUCCAUGGUCCCUUCCAAUGAAAACAAGAAGCAAGAUUAGAAACAUAAACUGAAAUCACCAUUUUCUCUAAGGAUUUAGCCUAGUAAUAGUUAACAGUAACUCCACGGAUCUGAUUAAAAGCACAAGUUAAGUGAAUUACCAAGAACAAUGUUCUUCAAUACUAUUCCAAAUUCAAUUUUGGAACUUCUGUUAUCAUAGCUUUCAACUGUUUGAAACUCUGAUGGCAUUAUUCAAUCGUACAUAACUAACAUUUUCUGUAGCAACUUCGUCAUGGUAGAGCUAUCAUCGACAAGCCUGAACAAAUUGUCUGUAGUAUACAAUAAAUCCUAGAGAACUACCUAUUUCUAUAUUAUUUCCCAGAGAUUCCUUAAUUCACAUUUAUCAGGAGAUCAUUUGAAAUAACUCAAAUAUCUUCUGCUGUUACUAAAAUGUUUAGAAAACUUAUUUCUUGAAAUUAAAAUUCACAUUUGUUGAUGUUCACAAAUAAUUAUUUCUCUUGUAAUACCUGUAACACUGUUUUUCCAAUACUAAUCGUGUUCAAUUUUUUUUCUUCACAUGAAUUGAGUAUCUUUAAUUAUAUAGCAACAACUCUGAUAAGAUAUAAAGUGACUAUGCAAUUGAUAACCAUAUACAAUAAUCAACAUUUGACUAAACUUUGCAACCUAUACAAGUUUUUGUGGGAUUUCGACAAAAUAUAAACAAAAACCUCGAGAAGAAACUUAGAACAUAUUUACUCAUCCAUGGCAAUUGAUUGAAAAUAUUUGGGUUGUUGUCUAGCUCAUAAUCGUAUACAAGGUCAAUACCAAAUUCUAGCACAGAUAAAUCUGAAAGAACUCGAAGACUAACAUGAUCACCAGCUUCUAAUUCAUCACCCCUAAAGUUCCAACAAGUCGUCCAGUAUAAGGUAUUCUUAGUUUCAGGAAUUCCCAUGAAAUGUUUGGAGUAGGUCCACUUUGUACCUUUUGUCUCGUUCACAAUUUCAAGGCAUGGUAAAAAUCCAUAUGUUUUAUCAUUCUUGGCAGAAAAAAUGAUAAUCGAAUUUAAGAAGCAACUUAUGUUUUGACUAGAGUUUGGGGGCACUGAUAUUGAAACCUCAGUCUUGCCAGCUUGAUGGCCAUAGUAAUAACCACUGUAAUCAAAUGGCACUGGAUCAAAUGUUGUAAUUAUACCGUAAUCAUAUAAUACCUGUAGCAUGGGUUGGAGAAUGAGUUAUUAAAAAUUAUAUAGUAUAUAAAUAAUUUUAAAAACUUGGAACUUGUAAAGGGAACCUGUGGGGAAGCAACCAUUUUUGAUUCUUCUAUAUAACUGCAAAAUUGCACUUUAGUAUUUCCAUAAGAUUCCAAACUGAGCAAGUGUUUAGUUUGGUCCAUCUUGAUAUGUCUUGUGGAAACUUCAUCUCCUAAAAUAUAUACAAUAAUGUGUUAUUUAUCAAUUUUAGUGAUCAUCAACAUAAUAUGCUUAUUAGAAAGUAAUAAUAUUGACUUGAAUGGAGUGAUAAUUAAAGCUUUUACCAGACACUCAUUUGACACGAAUUCAAAUCGUGACCCAUCUCCCAUACUCAAUAUUGUAUGAAAAAAAGAUAUCAAAGUAGUAAUGUUAUUAUCACUAAGAUGUAUUAUAAGACUUGUAAGAAAUAAUCAAUUAUACACAUUAUAUCUUUAUUUUUCAUUUUUAUAUAAAAUAUAAACUUUAAAACUAUUAAAUAUGUUAAUCAAAACACCACUUUUAUAAUUUUAUCCAUUAUUUUAGUUUCCACUUCUAUUAGUACUAUUGGAUUAAUCAUUUAUCAAACAAUUAACUUAUUUUCAUUAGACCCCAAUUGCAGCAUAACUUUAUAAUUAUCACUUUAUUAUUAAGCUAAAUUUCUCUCAUAAUCUAUUAAAUUGUCACAUUUCUUGAUAAUAUUUUUAUUGUAUUAGAAAGUCUUUUAGAGAAACAUUCAUCAUUUCUUGAACAUUUGUUAGUCACAUAUAAAAUAAAUAUAAUAGGAUGUAUUUACUAAAAUAUAAUUAUUUGAAGUCUACUCAUACCUGUAGAUAAGUGCGAAAAGCCAUAUUCAUAUUUAAUGUUGUGUUUUGAUUCAUAAGUAACGCCAAAUUUUCUUAUGCUGAGAUGCAUAGGCACUACCAUGCAACUCACAAGGUCACCACCUUCAAACUGAAAGUCCGUUACUGGCCAAUGAAUCAACCACAACAUUGUCUUAUCGUUAGUCUGAGGAAUUCCAAUGAAACUUGAGCGAUAUCUCAGCAUGAUCGUUUUGGUCUCAUUGAAAAUGUGGACACAUGGUAGAAACUCCGACAUUUGAUCACUAGCUAAAGAGAAAACAAUGCAUAAGCUGAACCAAUGGAUCUUUUCAUCUGGAUGAGCUGGUGUUGGCAAAAAAAAAGAGAUUCGAUGCUCGUUAGUGCCAUGCUUAAACCAAAUCGGAAUUUCACUUCCUACAACAAAUGUGCUUGUUAUACCACGUUCUUGCAAGACCUGAUCCAAAAACAAAACAAGUUAGAUGAUUUAGUAUAAGAGAAAAAAUAGAUUUAAAAUUUAAGUUGGAGAACUAUUGGACCUGUGGGGUAGCUAGCAUUAUGCUGUCUGUUAGGUAGCUAUAAAGUUGCAGUCGAUUUCCGUUAAUGGAAUCUACGUUGAAUAAUCUUCUAAUCUCUUCUGCUUCAAAGUUUUCAAUUGGUUCCAACUUGAAUAGAUCUUCAACCUCAGUCAAUUUUUCACAUCCAAAAAUAACACAUCGUGUGGAAGAAAAGAAGCAUGGAACAUUAUUUAUCCCAGAUCCUCGAAAUGGAGAAUUGUCUCCAAAAAUAAACUUGCACUCUGAAACAUUGAGCAAGACCGAAAGCUUUGGGAUCAUUUGGAGUUCAGUGCAAGAAGUCAAUAGAAGUUCUUCAAGUUUUGUAAGGUUUUUUAAGCUUUCGGGUAGGUAAUGAAUUGGGUUUCUACUUAAAUUUAAGGAUUUCAAGGAAGCCAAGUUACAAAGAUCAUUGGGCAUGACAUCAUUAGAUAAUUUGCAACUUUCAAGGCUUAACUUUACCAAAGAGCUCGGUAGAGAUGCCCAAGAGAAACCCAAU
rnacentral:lncRNA from 1 species